GCCGUGAGGUUGUGUGGACUGAAAGGCUAGCUAAGCUGCUUAAUGUGGUAUACGUGCUGGGUAUGCCUUUUAUCGUUGGCCCUUUGGUCUUAAAAGGGAUUGCCAUUCGGAGAAUGUGAGGGGGUAGCAGCCAUCCACUGCUUCGCUUAUUACUGCUGAUGCAUGUGAACUCGUAGUUCAGCACUCUCUUUGUGUUAACUGCCUGACUUGCAAGAGCAGAUAACCAUAUGGGAAUAAUGGCUUGUUGCGUCUGUGUCUUGACCCGCAUUGCGUCGCGGAUAACCUCGUGAUUAUGGCUUUAUGUAGAUUUGUGCAAGCGUAGUUGUUUGCUGUAAUGGUUUCUUGCACUUGUUUGCCGUUAACUUAUGUCUGUCCCUAUGGAGCUACUGUUUCUGAGUGGUGUUGGGUUUCUCCAGGUGCGCUUUGUUGGCCCUGAUUUAUGUACACUGGGCUGCUAUGUGCAGCGCCAACUUUGCUCUGUGCAGAGCUAAGAUAUUAGCGAAAUCAUAUGGCUUAAGAUUAUAAGCAUUCCAACAUAAGCAGGAAGUGCCUGGCCUGAAAUUUUGAAACUCACCUGUUACUCAAGUUUGAGAAUGUGCACAUCAAGGUUCCAAUUUUCUUAUAUCAAAGUAUAUCUUUUCUUUUUUAGUGCAUUUCCUUCCUGUUGACUUCCUUGGAAGUCUUGAACUUAUUAGAAAUUUACCGUAUUUCUCCACAAUGUCGUGUAGUGUUUCCUUGUGUUGUCGAGUGAAAUCAUGCUUUGUUACUCGAGUGAGUCUGCUGAUGUCUUGCACCUCCGGCUUGCAGUCACAUGCAGUAACAGGCUUCCUUAUGCCUAUGUCCUGAGCCAAAGCGACAAGUGACUUCCUUCGUCUGCCGAUUACAACCGUGCAUCGCUGCAGUUGAGUGCAUUGGCAAAACUGCCGCCUACAUUGAUUUUGAAAGAAGAGUGAAAUACACUAAUAGUUCGGCCAGCUCGGGGGAGCUAGUGGUAGGGAAAAAAUGACAAGCCCCGACAAGGAACUUGCCAUGGUGAUCAUGCAUGAUAGCACCUCUGCGACCACAACACAAGCGCUUGUCCAGAGCACCAUCAACAUUUGCCUCCACUCCUCAAUGAGCCUACAGAGAAGAAUCAAGAAUCCCAAAUCCUACCCCUCAUCGGGGUCGGGGUCUCCAUUGAAUCCUCAUGAAUCCCAAAUCGUACCCUUCAUCGGGAUCACGCGGCUCGGGUGCAGUGAUUCCCCUUUGCCCGAACGGUGACAAUUUAACUGUGGAAUUCUAUAUAUUAAAAAUGAACCUUGUCACUGGAAUAUAUGUUGUUUUAGUGUGCUCAACAGUAACAUCCAUCAUCUUAGUUGACAUGCCAUAGCCACGACCAAUCGAGAACGAGGCUAGGGUUCGGGAUCGGCAUACCGAAUGACCCUAAACAAAUGGGAGAUUAUUGCUAAAACUAGGCCCCCCAAAAUCUUAACAAAACCACAACAUGAAUCCCUAUCCCUUUAGAACUACAAAUGAAAAAAACUACUAAGAAGAUCAUGACAAAUAGUACUUUGUCGAAUUCUGAAUCCCUUUAGAACUAUAAUGUUCAACAGAACAUAAGUUCGUAUUUGGUUCAUCUAGCAGAGAUAACACCGGUUCCUCGACAUGAUUGGCACAGUAAGAAAAUACUCAUAAGAAGUCCUACUAUAGGGUAAACAUCUCCCUGAAAAAUGAAAUUUCUCACAACUUCUACCAUGCAUGUCUCUUUCCUGAUAUAUCAUCACAUGCAUCAGAUUUUGUUCUUAUCAGAUUCUGAAAUCCUACAACAGUGUUCAGUUUAUUAACAUAACUGCAAAGAAACCAGGAGUGUCAAAUUUAGCCGGAUUUUUUUAAAAGAGUGCUAGCUGCAGCUAGUUUGUGCUGACAAGCAGAAAUUAUGGCAUGAAGUGAUAUAUAGUGUACCCAAUAAUGCAAUUCAACAUAAGAGGAAAUGUAAUUCUAAUUACUGGAAGGAACUUUGCAUAAAUUACUACAACUUAAAAAUGGAAGCAAAUCUUACUUGAUGCCGUUCAGUAUAUCAUAUCUUCCUUAAGUUUACAAUAAUCUAUAAGCAACUAUAGCUGGCAGGAAUACAGCCUACACCUUAAGGAAAGAAGAUGGUCCCUGGGCAUUCAUCCUAAACCGCGGAAACAAAUCAACAUAAAUCAAAUUAGUAGGGAUGGGGAACAAAUACGCAAAUAAUAUAUAUCAUAACAUGAUAAGGAAAUGUGUAACUCAUCUUCUCGUCGUUUCUUGAAAAUACAGUGCAGCAAGUGUUAGCUUGCUAUAACCAGUUUUAGAAUAACCUCCACUUUGGUUUGAUUCCAGCUGAUGGGCCGCCUUCUGCUGCCAUUUUCUGUCUUGCAACAGCAGGAUCCGGUGGCUGGAAAUAAUCUGUAAACACAUAUGAUGUUACUAAUUAUUCAAUUGCUGUCAUAGUUUUGUGUAAGAAAGCUAUACAUAUGCAUGGUCUAAUAUUUUGUACCUUGUUCUGUCCGGAUUGGCUGGUGCAUCUUUGUGCUGAAUCUGAUCGACAGACGAGGAGGCCGCAUGGAUGUGAACCGCUUCCAAGCAGUUCAUGUGGCGGUGGGGUCUAAGAAGAUGACUGCCCACAUCCUCUGUCGAUGACUUGCUAGUCAGUGUCCAACAGUGCUCUAUUUUGUAUAUGUUUUGUUGAUUGUACUUGAAAAUAGUGGAACUCGGCGUCCAGCGAUCUGCUGUUUGGAGUGAUGGUUAUGAUAGAUUUCUUGCCAGGAAGGUUCAAUAUUUGAGCCAGCACAUAUCCAGCUCGUCCUGCUGAAUGGGCAACAGCAUGGUCUGCCUCCUUUCCAAUGGCGAUAUCGCCCUGAUCUCCAAGUAAAGCAAAUUCUGCAAAUGCUGGAUUAUCCUCCUCGUUGGGGUCCAAGUCAAUCGCAUGAACUGAUAAUUUGCACCUGCAUAAAUUAUGCCGUGUUCAAUUGUUUAUUUUCCAUGAUAUGUUUGAGCGACAACUAAUAUGGAUCGGAGGGAAUAGCUAAAUUUAUAGGUAUUGACUUCAAACUGUCAAAGAGGAUGUCUACUAAUGUGAUUUGAAAUUUGUUUAUGAUAGCAAUAGUACUAAAUUUUGCGGGAAUACAGAAUAGUUUGGAAAUAAGCAUGCAGAUAAAUAAACAGUCUAAUACCAUGAUAUUGGUUGGUUCUAUAGCAGCUAAAUCCUCAAUAGCUCAUUCACUUGCCUGAUGCCGGCUUCUGCUGUGUCCCGCAAUUCGGUUUGCUAAAACCUUGCACCAAUCCUAUAAAGUCAUAUUGAUUGGAAGUACACUCACUAAGCACAACAAAAUAAUGAUAACAUGAUUUGCAUCAUGCAAAAUACCUUUCUAGUAUAGCUUUCAGCCUUUCAUCUCGGGGAUUGCAACAUUAAUGUGUCACUCUAUUGAUGAAGUGUUCUUGAAAGCUAUAGUACCUGUGGUGUACAAUAAAUCAAUUAGUCUCAAAUCAUGAAAUAGGUUUCAACCAUGUAAUAAACAACAGUAUGUCAGUACCUGCAUACUGGUCGACCAUUACCCCAAGAAAGAGAACGAAAACAGGUUCCUUAUUUGAUCGAUUCCGCAAUGUGUCAGCAUCAAAUGUUUCUGCAAAUUUUCCCCAAAGCGUCAUGGUUGCUUGCUUCCUGGGAAAACCAUAUAAUCAUUUGGGUUUAUUAUCAUUAGAUGAGAUAGACAGGAUAGCCGUUACAUGAGUGGAGUUGCUGGGUGCUCCUGUAGUGUUUGAUGCUCCUGUAGCAUGUAGUUGCUGGGUGUGAGAGGGGGUUGUAUCUCCCCUAGUUAAGUCUCUUUUUCUUCUAGAUUAGCACCCCUGAUGUAGGCAGUUGUGUGCCUUGGGGGUGUAUGGCUGGUUUUGCUCCUACUCUGUUUUCUUAAUUGAAAAUGGGGGCUUUUUUUUGAAAAGGAGGAUGACCCCCGGCCUCUGCAUCUGGAAGAUGCAUGCAACCACUUUAUUAAUUAUUCACAAAGACAUUACAAAGUAAUGCAUCAAUAUGUCUGAAGCCGCCAUCUUGGCAACAUCUGUCGCUAUUCCUAUCCAUUGAUGAAGGGGUGCAGAAAGUGUGAGCCCAAUACCCAGACCUCUCACCUAAGCCUAACAUCUAAAGCCGGAGCCCCCAACCAAGCGACCUUCCAGGUCUGGAGCACAAACCGGUCCCACUCACUCUCAUAGGUCGUUGCCACCGUCUUCUAUUGAUCCAUCUUCAGAGCAAAUGCUGACGCGUCAACCUUGCCAGGCCUGCUGUCGACGCCACUAUGGUGCCAGACAGCACCUCCUCCCUACACACGUCCACCAUCACACAUCUAUCGCUAAGGCCCUGCCAUGCCACGCCGCUAAGACUCCACGUCGUCAAUGCGUCACAUGGAACACCGCUCCACCGCAGAUCUCGUCCACUGAUCCCUCAAACCUACGCAUACCUCCAAGAAUUACGCCCCGAAGAGGGAUACGACACAAGAGCGACGCCGAUAUAUGAUAAAUCGGUCUAGGGUUUCCCCCGAAGGUGGCGGAUAGGGGUCUAGAGCUUCUCCAUGACGAUGCCUUCAAGAAGGGGACAAUACAGAAAAGGCCACCAUCACCGGCCUUGGCAAUGAGCCAAGAGCAGGGUUCACCCGGAUCCGCUCGAGGGACCUCCAUCCAGCCUCGUGUGCACAGGACCGCCAUCGAUCACCACCAUCGCGCAUGGAGCAGGCUGCACCAGGUAUAUCAGAUCUGACCGGAAGCCAGACCACACAUACAAUAGAUCCAUCGACCAUGCCCUCCAUGUCGCCGGCCACUGUGCCGCAAGACCCGACCAGCCGUGCCUCCACACGCCGGGGCCGCGCCCCAUCCCAAGUCAUGGGAGAUGAGAGACCCCCACCACUGCCAUCUGCCCCCGGGCUUAGCCUGGCAGCGUCACGCGGCAGCAACGGGAGAAGGGGAGGGAGUAGAUCAGGGCUCGGUGGCGGCUAAGGUAGCGGCCUGCCCGAGUCGCCCGAUGCGGGAGAAACACGGGGGUCUGUCCGUCCGACCUUCAAUGCUCGAAAAUGGGGGCCUAGAGGCUCCUUUGGUCUAAAAAAAGAUGAUCAUUAGAUGAGAUAGACAGGAUAAGUGUUACAGAAGAAGUACCUGAUAGUCAUCUGCGAUGUGGAUUUUGUUAGGAAGUAAUAUAUGUGCCCCUUCGGCCUUCAACAGAAAUAAGUUGCUUUCCUAACAUGGUAUUAGAGCGUAGCUUUAGGUCUUCAGAUGCCGCAACUUGUCCUUACGAUUCAAUUUUUUUACGCCUUUGUUCCCGAGCAACACUAGUAGGCGGUAUAAUGUUUGCUAUAGUAGUGCUUAACCCAACGACAUCUGUAGAGAUAAAGGAAAUCAUAAAACGGCAGUCAACCUCAAGGAGCACUAAAAAUAGAGAAGAAGCAAAGAUAGAAGUCUGUAUAAAUUAACCUGACAUGAGGGCAUUAGUUCCAAUUCAUUUCUCAAGCUCUGUGAUAGGAAGUGCAUUGUAUGCAACCAUAAGAAUUUUGCUGAUGUAUGAGUAAUUAAAGUUUCCACUGUCCUUUGGAUAUAUAUUUUUCUGAGAAAAAGCAAAAAAAAAAUGUGUUUCAUUUCAUUGAACAGGAAGAAGAGGUACAUGUACAACCUCCCAGCAGGAGGGACACACGUACACACACCACCGUCCUCACCAAAUGAGGAGGUGAGGAGGUGCCACCAACUACAAACAUCAACGGCGGAAGGUCUCACCUUGUCCAGCCUCCAACCAUGAAUGUCGAGGCAGCUAGACUCAGAGCGUCAAGGCCGCAUCCAGCCAUUGCCACGGGCCUCCAAAAGAAGACCACGGGUGUGUUUGGUUUGAGCGCCAACUAGCCCCACCAAAUAAUUGGUAUGACCAAUGUGUGGGCAUGACCAAAAUUUUGGUAGCUUGUUGAUGUUUGGUUUGUGGCCAUUGCCCCGUCCAAAAUUUUGGCAAAAUAAAUGUCUUGUUUGGAUUGCAACCAACUGCCAGUUUGGCCCAUUGUAACACUGCAAAUACUUAUACACAUAUUUGAUAGAAAAAUGCGAAGAUGCAAUCAACAAGGAUAAAAGUCGUCGUGAAAAAAAAACGCAAAAGGAAAGGUCAAACAUUUCUAUUGAAACGGGAUUGCAUGCAUCCUUAAGUGACGAGGCCCACUAUUAAUUACUCUGUAAUUAAGAGCCAUAUAACAAUCGGAACUACUCCUAGUAACAAACUGCAUGCAGAAUAAUAAAAUAAUCAUGGGACCCACAGAGGAAAGGAUGGGAAGUUAGGACGCCAAAAUUUUGGCGAACGUUUUUCUCGCCCUUGGCUCGCCCGCGAGUUGGUGAAUUACACAGGCGGGUGCCGGGCGCCUAGGGCGAGCCAAAAUUUUGGCUUCAGUCCAAACGACUCCCAAAAUUCAUGGGUCAGCCAAUUUAUUGGCAUGGCAAGCAUUGGUUGUGAUUCAAACACACCCCACAUCUCCAGGGCUGCCCGGGCCAGCAUACCUUCCAUCCAUGUGCCUAGGAGAAUCGGCAGACGAAUGGCAGGACCCACCGGCGAAGCCAUCGUCUUGGACACGCCGGUACCGGCAUACAUUACAUACCAGACGCCACAUGCCCUAUGAUGCAGCCCACAUCACACCAAUGCAUCGCCAGCAAGCCUCGUCAGAAAGACUAGGGAGGCCACCAUAUCCAGCUGUUGCAUCGGGGACUCCAACUGCAACCGAAGCAGCGCCUUCAAGAAGUGGACGAUGCUGAGACACUGCCGCAGCCUUGUCCAAUUAACUAGACUAAGUGUUUCCCCUGGUGCUCAAGGAGGGGGGGGGGGUGAGGAGGAGGAGGGGGGACUUGCCAGCGCCUCCAUGGAGGUAACGGCACCCUCAGUGUUGCCGUUGUCAGCACUGACCAUCGUCGCGCAGGGAUUUCGCCCCGACCCAAGACCACAGACCCCCCAAGACCACCGAAGCAAGGGCAGACAAGAGAUGCGAAAGAAGAUCGCCGGAGUGGACCACCAGCACUGUGAGGGAAGCCACGUAUCGUCACCAUCAAAGUAGGGGAGUACCGGCAACUUGGUGCAACAACCGCCGGAUGGUUGCCAAACCAGGCCAGCCACCGCAGGGGAACACGUUGAGCAGGGCUAGUGGCUUUGUCACAAGGAUCUGCUACCUGCACCUCCCCGCAGUCGACCAUGGCCACCGACGCAUCGGCCCGCAGCCUCCGCCGCCAGGAUCCGCCGGGGCAUAGCCAAGAAGCUACCGACACGCCCUCACAGGGUUGCGCCAUGCCGCUCGGGUGCUCACAACGCCAGGUCCAGAGGCCCGCCCCUCUGGAUCUGCGGUCGUCGUCAUGAAACCCUAGGCCCGAAGAAGCUCUGCUCCGUCAGCCUCGUUGAGCCCCCACGCUUGAGGGGGGAAGCCGCUGGGGAGAAAGGUCCCGCUGCCACCGGGUCCGCCGGGCAUGGCGGGGGGCGCCGGCGGCUGCAGGGGGGAAGGGGUGCUCGAGGGGGUGGCGUCGCCUCCUGAGUAGCCCGUGAGGAGGGCGACGCGCGCGCGGGGGAGGUGGAGGGCGGGUGUGGGUGGGGAGUUGGUAUAAAAAUAAUUUCUAAACGGAUGAUCCACGAAUAAAACAAAUCUAAAAUUUUGAACAAUGGAUGAUCCAUGGAUAAAACAAAUUCUAGAAUUUUGAACAUAAUAUCACCUAUGUAUUAUCAAACUUCACUCAAUGUCAGGUUAUACCAUUGCUGAACGACCUCAUCUACUCUUUGCUAUAAUGAUUAAUUAGCACGUCGUAUACCUAGCUCCAAAAAGACUAUUGUUCUGCCAUCCUCCUCCAUCAUCACCACCAAUGCUCUGCUCCCUUCACCUCUGUUCACAUAAAGGAUGAUCGGGGUAAAUAGCAAAACAUGAUAAAUUGUAUUUUUUUUCUUAGUUGAUUACUGAAAAAAUAUUUAAAGGUCAAGUUGUAUGUCCAUCAAUCAGAAAUAAAAAGAUGCGGAAUGAAGAAAGAAUAAAGGGUAAGAGAGGAGGUAAGCCGCAGUGCACCUGGAACGAUUAAAGUCAAUCCUAGGAGAGAGCAGCUUGUCGUUCGUUUUUGUGACCGGGAGCUUCCAUCCGUCCUGAUGCCGUGCGGUGCGGGCACGGUGAAUUCCCCUGCCCCGCCCUGAACCUCCGUGUGCGCAACCUCGAGUCGUAAAUGGCACUAUACUCGGAAGGGCACCUAGGGCGGUGAUGCUCCCCGGCGGCAAGGUUGACGCGAGGGAGAGGGCGCCGACGCGCCGCAUAACCUCACCUGCAUAACCUCCCAACCGAGCACCUUCGCCCCUGACAACGCCUCUAGGAAGGUCACGAUGCGCACGACGCCACCACUGCCAAAUCCGAAGUGGAUUGAGGGUUUUCACCCAGGUAGGUAGUCGGGGUGGUGAGUUGGGGACCUCAACUGUGACCCCAUGGAGGAAAACAACGUCCUUGGGCAUCUCCACCGCCGGGCUGGCCCGACCAGCCAAGGUUUUCCUGGGGGGCCAAGCAGACCACGAGCACCCACCACCACUGGAGCCGGCAAAUGCGCGAGCCAAGGUAUGGUGAGAGAGAGGUAGCAGGAAAGAAGGGAUUUGAACCUCCAGAUCUGACGCAGAAGAACUCUGCAUCGCGGUCGGACUCCACAAUCGACCUGCCGCCCGUGCGACUGAGCACACUGGCUAGCCCUCCUCUCCCCGCCAUACAAAUGUCGCCUGCCGCACGACGAUGCCACCUCGCCGGCUGGGUCCUCCACCCAAGGAACCGCAUGCCUCCAAGAGUGGGCGGAGCGCCAAGAUCCCUGCCGCCACCUUCCCCAGCGCUCGCUUGGGCUUUCCUGGCUGCUGUGUCCUGUGGCGCCGAGGGAAGGAAGGGGGUGGAGGGGUGGCGGCGCCAUGGAAUCCUAGUCGCCCCCGAGUCGCUUGUGGGGCGACAUGAGGGCCUCAGGUCGUCUAGUUAGUUAGACUUGUUGUUGAUCCUGGGUGUCCUUAGAGCAUCUCCAAUAGCCGCGCAACGCGCGGCGCGCUAAAAAUUAGUUUGCCGCGCGCCCAUCGCUAGGUUUGGCGCGGCGCACAACGCUGGCUCCAGUAGCCGCGCUAAAAUACAGCGCGUGCUAAAAUGCAGUGCACGCAAGUCCAUAUUUGUUGCAUUUUGGACACAAAAUAAAUUUCACAUAGAUAUUAAAAAAGGUACAAAUAUAUUUUACAUAGUUCAUAGCAUAGACGAUACAAAUAGGUAAAACAAGUUCAUAGCAUAGAUAGAUAAAACCGAACAACGGUACAACUACAUAAAAUUAAACUACGGUGCAACUAGGUAAAACUACGAUGCAGUUAGAACUACUCCGAGUCCUCAUCAUCAUCCUCAUCCUCGGAGGUGUUGUCCGAGGUAUCGAUCCAUAUGUCCUCCCAACGUUCAUCGUCUGACGUGAAGAUGGACCUCCCACCUGCUUCAACGAUAUCGCGCUGCGAUAUCGCCAAUGCCUUCCGCCGACGCCGGUCCACCCGCUCCGCGCAGCGCCUUGCCGUCCUCUCCGCCCAAUAGGCGCGCUCGUUGGCGACGUCCUCCGGGUGGCACCGGCGCCACUCCGCCAUGGCUCGCUCGUCCUCCUUGGCGACGAGGAGGCGGCGCUGCAGCCGAAUGUGGUCCGCACGGUCCUGGUCCGUGAUCAGACGAGGUGGAGGGGCAACGGCUUGCGCAUGUUCGCGCGUGUGGACGUCCCUGAAGUUUAUCUGCGACGGGGGCCUCUCUAGGCGCCACGCCGCCGCGUCGUACGCGCGGGCCGCCUCAUGCGCGGUCCAGAACGAGCCGAGGCCGAGCCGGACGUCGCCGUACUGGAUCUCGGCGGAGUACCAGCCGUUGGGGCGCUCGCGGAUGCCGCGGUAGCCCGAAGAUCCCCGGCGGCGCGGCGGCAUGGUGGCGCGGUGGUGGGUGGCGGGUUGCUGGAAGCGGCGAGGUGGCGAGGGAAAGGGCGCGUGGCAGUGUGGUGGAGCGCGUGACGAGUGCCGCAUUUUAUACAAAUCUACCGCGCGAGCUGCCGCUAUCUCCCGCGCGCUCUAUCACUUCCAGCACGCGGUAGUUUCCCAUCCCCGUUGGAGCGCGCGAAAAGUUGGCGCGCGCGCUAAAGCCCCCGUUUACACCGCGCGCGCGUCCGUUGAAGAUGCUCUUACAACUUGCGUUUUAGGGGUGCCCAACGCUUCCACUAUGCAAGACACGGUUGGAAAACAGAGCCGCCCCUAAUUGAGUAACCAAUAUACAGAACUAGCGAUGUACUGACCCCAAGCCGAGCAGGACCAAACAAAGGAAUCUGGUGUAUUCUCAAUUAUCUGAAUCUCCGCGAUUCUUAAUGCUCUGAAUCUCUGGGAUUGCUCGCCAGUCUGUCAACUGUAGCUGUUCUGGCAUGGUGGGAAGCGCCGCAGUAUCUGUCACCCAUCUGUAGUUAAGUAGGCCCUGCUGAACCAUCCUGGAAGAGAUGAAACCUUGUUACGCAGGCCCGUCGAUCCACCUGUCCGUCCAAAACAGCACGUUGGCCCCAUCCCCAACCUUGAUUUGCACCAGGGUUACAGGAAUCUUGAUGGAAUACACGAGCCAUAAAUCGUCUCUCUGAGCCCAACUGAUGCCAGCAUGCUAAAUGUUCUCAAGACCUCAAUCGCAUAUAUCAUCCAUGAAAUACUGCAGCCAGCCAUCUGCUAGGAAAAGCACAUAUGCCAGCAGAUUUUUUUGUUUUAUAAAAGCUGCAUAACACUUAGAACUUGAAGAAGUGCGUGCAAAUGUCAUAGAGACUGCUUCUACAUACUGGAGCACAUAAUACAUACACAUAUCGUCAUAGAAGGCAACUAAAUUAGCAUAGAGGUGAUGAACCCAUUUUUUUCAUGCGACAUGCUGACAGCGGUCAUUCAUCUGUAACUUCAACUUGACCCUCCAGAAGCUCAGCAUUCAUCUUCAGGAAACCAGUACCAUGUCGUCAAACGAUCAAGGGAACCAACCACAACAGCAGCACAGACAACCCCCACUGUAGUCUUACGGGCCCUUUCCACAACUUGCUCGUGCCUUUUGUGAAAGUGGCUUAAAAAUGAAUAAAGAAACAACAUGAGAUAACUUUUUAUUUAACAUCCUGGACUACUUAAUUAAACAUCAUGCAUGCCAGCUGAAUCAAACUAGAAUAAUCCGCAAAGCGUUAUUUACCUGAUGGUUUGUUCAGCUUCCCAACAAUGUUUAGCUAACAAGUCUGCACUGGAGUUAAGAUCAGCGGCUUUAGCAGAUUCAAUAUUGUUUUUCAAAAGAAGAGCAUUUUCAAGCUCGUCCUGCAAAAUAUAAAGCAGAACAAAACAAGGCUGAGGCAAAACUAUAUAUUAAACGAGAUACAUCUAAAUCUGAAAAGGAUUAGUUUGGAUAAGUUCCAAGGACGCUAAUAUUCCAACUCUGGAUAGAGCACUGAGCAUACAACACCCCAAUAUUAGAUGUGUGCCAAACAAACAACAAAUCCAUUGUGAAAGACGAGAUAACUAGGGAUGUGGCCACCAUAACUUGCCAACCCAAGUUAGCUAACUUUAACCUCGUCGGACCUCAUCGGUCUCUUUAUGUUGUCUCCUUAUGUAGAGCCCAUAUCUCAUCGUUGUCAAAUCAGAUGAGCUAACAACUUGCAAUGUUGCACUGAAUCAUGACGCCAAUUCAGUUCAAAUACCUAAUAUGCACCAAACUAGCUAGUUCAACAAGUCACCUUUACGUUGUUCUGAUUUGAAUCCAAAUAUUUAUCUAGUCCCUUUGAUUCAUAUUAGGUGUUGUGGUUUUAGUUCCAAAACGAGAAACAUUUUCAUGGCAAUAAAAUCGUUGUCAAGUUAGAACGAUAUUUAAUAGCCACAUUUCACGAAAAGAAUAUCACUUAGUAAUAAAGUAAAUUAACAACUCGCAUAUGUAUCGACGUGCAACUCGUAACAGCCAGUGUCACAUGAAAACCAUGAGUAUGCAAAGGCAAAGACAACUAAUUCAGAUAAACAAGUGCUAAUAUGCAAAGAAUGCAAGCCGAAAGGAUCGACCACAAUGGGAGAUACAUCGGCGGAGGAUUAAAAGAACAUAAUCCUACAAGUACCUCGCACAAAGUAUUAGAAAUUGCUGCAUAACAAAAGCAGAAGCAACAUGAUCGAACAUCAACAGGACCUAAAUUUGCAAGGGCGAAAGUUUUGAUCUCCGUCGGUUGAAUGAUCCAGAUACGAAGUUGCGGGAUCGAAGAGACUACCGACCGAUUGAUUGGUCAACGGUGUCCUUAUUCCGACGAUGGAUGUCUGGCGCUGCAUACUCCGACGAUGGACUAGUAAUUCACUUGAGUUGGGUGUGGGAGACGGACGUGACAAACCUUUGGAAACCGAUGGGCAGCAGCCCUGGGGUUCCGGAACUUGGUCGCCAGCCUGCGUAGCGCCGCUGCCGCCAUAGUUCAUGCGGCGAGAUCGACCUCGAACAGGACGUGGCUAGUGUUUGGGAUUGGGAUUGGCUUCCUCUUUCCCUUGCGUCUCCUCAGCCUUGCCAAAAGAGAGAGAGAAAGAGACCAAUCCCAAACACGUACUAUGAUGCUCGUGUUCCAUCCAGACAUCCCGUACGUACGAGAACGGGACGUGCAAAAAGAGACCAAAUUAAGAGGAAACCGAAGGCAAGCCAAUCCCAAACCAUGGCCUCGUCCUCGAUCGGUCUCGCCCACCCUGCCUCACCAAGUAACCAUGGCGCUACGCAGCCUGGCUACGAAGAUGCGAAUCCCCGCUACAGCCGCUGCCCGGCUCACGCCGGCCCCUCGCGUUUCGCCGACGUCCGGUUCUCGGCCCCUCCCUCACACCUCCUCCUCCUUGGCAUUCUCCUCCAUCAAGGUAUGCUCUUUCUCUCCUUCUCACGGCGCUCGCUCGCUCAAGCAAAUCACUGGUUGGAGUACGUAGUGCUAGAGCUUCCGUCUGUAUGCCUGCAAAACGACCAAUAGAUCGGUAAUCUCUUAGAACAUCUCCAACAGGCGCACUUUUUUUUUUGCGGGAUCCAACCGGCGCAUUUCGCCUGGUAUAAUUCUUUUACAACGCCAAAACAAUCUUUUUGCACGUGGGAGCGACGAAGAGGUUGUACAGAUGCAUGAAAACACGGCUCCCAAUCCGGCGGCCCCACCUGCAGCGAGCGGGUGCACCAAAUACCCAGCACACGAUACAGUUUUCCCCAGCGGGGUUAUAGCGCGGCUGCUGGAGCGCUACUUUCGGUCGUGCGCACGCUAAUAUAGCCAUUUUAUCCGGUGCGCGGCUUGUUUAACGCAUGUGUUGGAGAUGCUCUUAGGCAACACUGAAUCUACUAUGUCCUUCGCCGAGACCAAAAGUUUUGCCCCCCGCAUAUUCAAGAGUAAUGGUUUCGAGAGCUUAUAGCACCGCAAAUACUCUUAAUUUUCUGAUAUUUCGGUGCCCCUAUAUCCUACUACAUGACAUGUAAGGAUAACAAAGCUAAAUCUUUGCACCGGGUAUUUCCUUCUCAUCUUCUUUUACUAUGUUACUAAAUUGUAGCAUGCUAGAGACUGGUACCUGAUUCAGCGAGCACGUUAUGACGAUGUGACAAGAGAAUUAACAGACUUCAGGUAUAAGCUUCAAACUACUUUCAUCAUAUUAUUACAAAAAGAUUUUAUAUGAUGUAAUGCCUUAAUUUCCUUUUCUUUUUCUUUUUUUCAGGUGUGAGGUUGUGUGGACUGGAAGGCUAGCUAAACUGCUUGAUGUGACAUACAUACUGGGUAUUUCCUUGUCGAGUGCUCCUUCGGUCAUAAAAGGGUAUAUCAUUUGGAAAAUGUGGGCAGGUAAUGACCAUCCACUGGUCAUAAAAGGGUAUGUCAUUCGGAAAAUGUGAGGGAGUAAUGGCCAUCCACUGCUUCGUUUAUUAGCUAAUGCAUGUGCACUCUCGUAGUAAGCACUCUCUCUGUGGUAACUGCCUGCUUGCAAGGGGACAUAGCCAUGUGUGACUAAUGGUUUGUUGCGUAUUCUUGACCCGUAUUGCGUCAUGGGAUUAUGGCUUUAUGUAGAUUUGUGUAGGCAUGCUUGUUUGCUGUCUGGUUUGUUGCCCUUGUUGUUGGUUUGGUGAAGCGAGUUCCGUUUGCCGUUAACUUAUGUUUGUGCCUUUGGAUCCACUAUGGUAUUAGUUUUCUCGAGAAUCGAGAUACACUGGACUGCUAUGCGCAGCACAAAGCUAUUAGCGAAAUGAUACGGGUUAAGUUAAUCAACCUUCCGACAUACACCUAACUCCUAAGAAGCAACUAGACCUGAUAGUCUCCAACUUACCAUGCUCAAGUUUGAGAAUUUGUAAUUCGAAGUUCCAAUUUUCUUAAAAACUACUCAUGAAUGCAUUCAAGCUCCAGUUUACCGCCUGCGAGCUGCCCCGACACUUAUAGCAUAUCAUAGAUAGUAGAAAAGAAGUUGCCGAUGAGAAGGNNNNNNNNNNNNNNNNNNNNNNNNNNNNNNNNNNNNNNNNNNNNNNNNNNNNNNNNNNNNNNNNNNNNNNNNNNNNNNNNNNNNNNNNNNNNNNNNNNNNNNNNNNNNNNNNNNNNNNNNNNNNNNNNNNNNNNNNNNNNNNNNNNNNNNNNNNNNNNNNNNNNNNNNNNNNNNNNNNNNNNNNNNNNNNNNNNNNNNNNNNNNNNNNNNNNNNNNNNNNNNNNNNNNNNNNNNNNNNNNNNNNNNNNNNNNNNNNNNNNNNNNNNNNNNNNNNNNNNNNNNNNNNNNNNNNNNNNNNNNNNNNNNNNNNNNNNNNNNNNNNNNNNNNNNNNNNNNNNNNNNNNNNNNNNNNNNNNNNNNNNNNNNNNNNNNNNNNNNNNNNNNNNNNNNNNNNNNNNNNNNNNNNNNNNNNNNNNNNNNNNNNNNNNNNNNAGAGCAAAGUGCACACUUGAGAUCUUCCACCACACGUACACAGCCGCCCUCUCGACGCCCCGCCAUGUCCAAGAACGAUAUAUAACAAGAAUACAAAUGAAAAUUAACUCAACCAGGACAAGUUAUUUAUAAUCUGUGGUCUAAGGAAGACUAUAUAUAUACGGAAAAAUAAUAAUUUUAUCUUAAUUAAGUUGGUCAUUAUGCUCAUAUAUAGAACGACUAAUAUUUUCUAAAGGAAGCAGAAUUUUUUUUGAGGCUUGACUAGGAAGCAGAAUUAAUCUUGCAAUUGAUGACAAUAUCUAAACUUUGGGUCCACCAGUGGCCAGUUGCUCGCUCAUCUAAACUUUGGGUCCACGUCGGCUUCUGAUCGAUUCGGCCCGAUCUUGCCAACGUGAACAGAACUUGUACCAAUCUGAUCGAUCCAAUCUCUCAGCAGACUCUCUGGUGGCGCAUCCAAGUCCCUCCACUGAUCCAAUCUGAUCGCUCCUCAGUCCCUUCACCGGCGCCGCCUCAUUCAUCACGGACUGGUGCCCUGCUUCUCCCCUUGUUUCCUCUCUCAUCUGUUAGAUAAUAACGAGAUAAAACGAGACAAAGAGACACGUAUUUUUACGUGGAAACCCUUGCGGGAGAAAACCACGGAACGCACGGCGGCGUAUCACUAUAAUUGGGAGGAGUAUUACAUUACAUGAGAGGACAAACCCUCUACGUGUUAAUCUGGUGGAGAUCUCUCUCAUCUAUUCUAUGACUAGCUGGUACAAUAUAAAGGGGCAAACAACUCUCUUUCUUGGUGGACACGAAACAGAGUUGUAGUCAUGCUACGUCUAGCACGGUUGGCAAGCCGUAGUCCGGUAGGACUCCAUCCGUAAUACAAUACUUGUAUGGGAUUCGGAACACAAUAAAAAUAACACUCCACCUUGAGACGAAAUCCCUUACAAUAAUCAUAGAUAGCAUCAACUCCUCAACUAAAGUCAUCACAAGUAAACCUUGAUAAACUUCUCAUGAAGUCAUAUUGAGCAAAUCAAUCAGUAGGUCGUCCAGAAAACAGCACAACUAUCAACAAAGCCGACUAACAAAACUUGGUCUCCCAAUAAAAGUCUGAGUCUGUGCCAAUGACGUCAAAAAACUGAAACUGCUCAAUCAUCAAAUGACAUAAGUCAUCAUAUCUCCUGUGGUACCUGAACGAGCGCAUAGCUCAUAGUGCGACAUCUUGGUGCACAUCGCAUUGUGAAGAACUCAUCUCACGGAAUCUGAACGUGCUUCAAAACAGAAAGCACAAACCUCGGCAAACAAUACUCAAGCAAGAGCAUAUGGUACGGAUGGCAUCGCGUGCAUCCAGAAAACUGCCGAUUUGUAGUGGUUAAUGAAAAUCCAUGACAUGGUCAUAAACUGUCUUUGUAGAACAACUGUCGGAUGAAGGAACCAUCAUAACAUGCAACGGAAUUUCAACUCUGCAAUAGACCCCUCUUAAAAGAGCAAAGACAACUGAAUUGCACUUAAAACUUAACAGCACUUAAUGUUGUAGUAUCUAGCAGAAACAAAUCAAUCUCCUUCUUGCACCUCAACCGAUUCUCAUCACGAACAUGAAUAUCAAAACAAAACCUUCACAUGCAUAACAGCAAAAUACUAUGGAGAGAAUAGAGUAUAUGCUGGCUACCAACAGGCUUAAUAAUUACCUCCUCCUUCAAAUAACUGCAGCAAUAUUGCAUCCAUUAUCCCGACGGACCAUAAUCCCCAAAACUCCAUCUUGAAAAAAAAUACUGAGUGCAUCCUGAUAAUCGGCUUGUGCCAACAACGCUCACAUCUCGACUUGCCAUAGGGUAAACUUUGUGUCAUGAUCCAACAACGAAAAGGUAAUAAAUCGAUGAACACAAGUAGUACAAGCCGAAGAAAAAUUCCUGACAGAAUUUAAUUUGCGGAGCAAAGAACAGAGUAAAUAGCUUCUGAUAGUAUUAGAUAGUGGACGUAGUAGAUGAACGAAGAACAAAACUAGCAGUACUAGCCUCACGUAGAGUAGUACUAGUAGCAGAUUAGAUCAAAUCAGGUUUGCACCUCGAGACUUGAGCGAAACAGCAGCAGCUACUCGGCGAUGUUGUACGUGGAGCAGCGGAACUCGGUGGAACCGCCAGCUGAUUUGAACGCUGCGUACUCGGGGCUUCAAACGUAUAUACGCAGCAGCGGCAACCUGCGGAUUGAUAUGACACGGCGUAUGGCGGCUCGGCGGCGGAAACUUGUGUCCUUCUCGAUGAACUGCUCGGAUAGGAAAUUGAUCAGCGGCAGAAUACCUGUCGGUCUUGGCUGCUUGCGGCUGUAGCGGCUUGUACAGCAGCCCGCACCGGAAACAGUCUCCGAUCCGGAGAUCGCAGGACGGCUGCGGCGCGUACAGCCGAACCCUGAUCUUUCGUCUCUAAUCUCGUAUCUGAAACUUGGCUCUGUAUACCACUUGUUAGAUAAUAACGAGUUAAAACGAGACACAAGAGACACAGAUUUUUACGUGGAAACCCUUGCGGGAGAAAACCACGGAACGCACGGCGGCGUAUCACUAUAAUUAGGAGGAGUAUUACAUUACACGAGAGGACAAACCCUCUACGUGCUAAUCUGGUGGAGAUCUCUCUUUCUAUUCUAUGACUAGCUGGUACUAUAUAAAGGGGCAAACAACUCUCUUUCUUGGUGGACACGAAACAGAGUUGUAGUCAUGCUACCUCUAGCACGGUUGGCAUGCCGUAGUCCGGUAGGACUCCAUCCGUAGUACAAUACUUGUAUGGGAUUCGGAACACAAUAAAACUAACAUCCUCACCUGUGCCCCGGUGGCCACCAUGAUGCUCUGCUCAUGGCGUAAUCUGUACCGCGUUUCACGAAAAAAGGGUUUCCCCCGCUUUAUAUUAUAUAAAGCAUACCACCAAGCAUCCAACAACAACGAGUACAAGUUCAACCAAAAUGAAGUAGGUCCGGCUGGGGGCACAGCCAAAACAAGCCUCAAACACAAGAAAGAAGCGACUCUAAUCAGGCUCCGGCGGUGGUGGCGGAGACGGUGGGGACAUAGCGGCAGCCGAAGAGCGAAGACCUGCGAUGAUGGAGUCGAUGAAGCCACGGUCGCGCCGCUUGCGGGUGAGUUUAUGCGUUGUGGAGACUGUCUUGGCCCUCUACUUAUUAGACCAAAGUUGAGUUUUGGGCAUCUGAAUCUUAUUCGACCAAAAACAUACUAUUACAAGUUAGAUUUUUAUUAAACCCCUCCACCCCCGCCUCCUCACCUCCCCACCACCGUAAUCCAGGGAUAUUUGGAACUGAUACUGUUUUUCUAGUAGUGUGGAAUUUGUCGGCUGUAGAAUUGAAAUUUCCAUUGCUCUAGAGUUAGAACCGAUGGAGGACUAUAUUUGGAUGUCUGUCUUGCAUAUAACAGAUGCAUGCUAGCAUGUACUUAUCUUAUUUGAGUCGGACACUAAUUAAUAUUGCUCUUUGGUGAUAGAUCUCUUCAUGGACCCUUCUUGAUGGCAAGGAACAUUGCACUAUGUCAUGGCCAAACGAAUAGUCCCAGCCACCUCCCUUGUGGCACUUCUCUUUUCUGCACCUUGGGCGAGCAAUUUGACAUCACCAAAGGGGAAGACAGAGCAGAAUGACGAAGGAAACCAAGGGGGUCGAUAUAAGCUCAGCCGACAUUGUCCGUAAUAGCAGCCAUCGUAACGGGUCAGCGCUUUUGUUCUCCGAAAGCUAUGUAGAGUUACUAACCAUAAUGAGAGUAAGUGACACAAAUCUUUUUCCUGUCUUGGUCAAGUUAGUUGUUAUUUUUGGAUAUUUGAAAAGUAAUUUGAUUCAUCACUUAAAACUUUCGGGCUAAAUGUGUAAUUAUUAUUUUGUUUUGAAGUAUGCAAUGUGUAUUUUGACAGUUCUCUACUGAAUUCUUAAGGAAAAAGUUGAACUACAUGUAGUAUCUUUUAUCUAAGAAAAUGUCUAGGUAGGAAUUUGGUGACAGGUAAUGCAUGGUUAGAAUCUUGAGUUUUGGACACUAUGAAUUCCAGCUUUGUUCGGUUAAUGAAGUCCACUAUGUGAUUCUUUAAUAGAGGUGGUCUACACUUUACUCAUGAUUUAGGGCCUGUUGGGAGUCCCUCCGGCCUGCAACUCCGCUUAGGAGCAGAGUGGAAUACAGUUAUAAUUUGGGGAGCGGCUAGAACAACACUCCCCGUGCUCUGCUCCGUAGUGAAUGAACCGAGGGUUGCCGAAUAGGGUCUUAGUAGCCCGGGCAGCUCCAUGAAGAUGGAUGUGACAUUGAACUACCUGUUAAAAGAGUAGGGUUGUAGUUGUGUAACGUGACAAUGUGUCGCGUGUGUAUCCAUGUAAAUUCUGGCGCAGGUUGUUGGCUAGGAUAUCCUCUAUCCCGUGUAUAGCUUGGAUAGGAGUAGAGGACAAGUUGAUAAUUGACCAACUACCUGCACAUAUCUUGUAAUAUCUCUGCCUAUAUUAACACGAAGGCGUCCCUGCCAAGAGGCAUCAUGCUUAACGCAGCCAACCCUAGUUUUUACAUGGUCAUCAGAGCACUUCUCGAGAUCAUCCAUGGCGACACCUUCAAACUCCUUCCCAUCCUAGUUCAUAACGGUGGUGACCGUGGCUGCCUCUACAUCAAGUCUAGCGGUCGCGGUGGGCAAGGAGGAGGUGGCCACUACAACAACAAUGGUGGUGGCGUUAACUACAACAACAAUGCCCCUGCACCUAGGAUCCAGUGCCAGAUCUGUGGCAAACUGGGCCAUCCAACGUGGAAGUGCUGGAAACGCUAUGAUGAAGCCUGCCAAGGAGGAGAAGAGAGAAAGGCAAACCUUGCAACACCUUAGUACGGGGUGGAAACCAGCUGGUACCUUGACAGCGGUGCCACCAAUCACAUCACAGGGGACCUUGAGAAGCUGAUCGUCCACGACCGCUAUACUGGAAACGAGCAAAUCCACACUGCUAGUGGGUCAGGUAUGGCUAUAGAACAUAUUGGUCACUCAGCUAUUCGUACCCCUAAUCAUGAUCUUUACCUAAAUAACAUCCUUCAUGUUCCAGAAGCUAGCAAGAGCUCAAUCUCUGCUAGUCGCCUUGCUCUUGACAAUGAUACGUUUGUUGAAAUUCAUCAUCAUUCUUUUUUUAUUAAGGAACGGGGAACGAGGAAGGUACUCCUUCGAGGCAGGGGUAGAUGUGGUAUCUAUCCCGUCAAGCACAAGGGAUCCAACAUCCAGAACCAGGUGCUCAGUGCCACCAAAAUAUCUUCGGAUAGAUGGCACCGACGGUUAGGUCAUCCAUCUCCUCUCAUUGUUAGGAGAGUUCUUAGUCAAAAUAAACUCCCUUGUGCUAGUUUUUCCAAUAAUGAGUCUGUAUGUGACGCCUGUCAAAAGGGUAAAAGUCACCGGUUACCUUAUCCAAAGUCGAUAAGUUAAUCCAAGUUUCCUUUAGAACUUAAUUUUCUCUGAUGUUUGGGGCCCUGCUGUUGAAACAGUAGGUAGAAAAAAAAAUACUAUGUGAGUUUCAUCGAUGAUUUCAGUAAAUUCACUUGGAUCUAUUUGAUCAAACACAAGUCUGAAGUUUUUCAAGAAUUUCAUAACUUUCAGCACCUUGUUGAACGACAAUUUAAUUGCAAAAUUCUUGCUCUUCAGACGGAUUGGGGAGGGGAGUAUAAAAACUCAACUCCUUCUUCACUAAGAUAGGAAUAUCUCAUCAUGUUUCUUGUCCCCAUGCGCAUCAGCAGAAAGAAAACAUCGACAUAUCGUCGAAGUAGGCCUCUUCUUGCCCAAGCCUCAAUGCCCUUAAAGUUUUGGGAUGAAGCGUUUAUUGCUGCUACUUAUUUGAUCAAUCGCCUCUCUAGCAAAGUUAUCAAGUUUGAAACUCCCCUUGAGCGAUUGUUCCAUGAAAAGCCCAAUUAUUCCUCACUUAGAAUUUUUGGGUGUGCUUGUUGGCCUAACCUCCGACCCUAUAACAAGCACAAACUUCAAUUCCGUUCCAAGCAAUGCACCUUUCUUGGAUAUAGCAAUCUUCACAAAGGUUUUAAAUGCCUUGAUAUUCCAACAUGAUGAGUGUAUAUCUCCAUGGAUGUUGUUUUUGAUGAAAACGUUUCCCAUUCUUCUCACUUCACCCAAAUACCGGUGCACGUCUUCGGGCAGAAAUUCUCAUUUGAAAUCCGGAGUUAUUGAAUCCAACCGAUCAUGGGGACGAACAUUAUGCUGAUGAUCAUUUGUUACAUAGCCCUACUUCUGAUGGAGAUAACAGUGAAAAAAACUGCACUCCAAAUGCUUGUGAUUUUAUGCAGCAGCAGUAAGAAACACCUGGCAGCGGACACGAGGCAGAUUCGCCUGGUCGCGCUGAUACUGGAGCUGAUGCGGGAAUGGAUCCCCAGGCGGAUCCUCUGAUGCUGCCCCCGCCAGGGUCCGGGGACAUCCACUCCUCGGGUGACGCCUGCCACGGGUCACCAGGAUGGUCGGGUGGGCCGGACCGUUCUCCGUCUCCGCGCACCGGCUGUCACGAGGCGGCUGGAUGCGAACCCAGUCGCGAAUCCCCCACUACGCGGUGUAAUGACGGCGGACGCGAUCUCAUGACGGCCCUCAGUCACAUGGCGAUAGCCGACUUGCCAGGGUCGGCCUCUCCUGGUCCAUGGGUGCGCUAUCCAACAUCGUCCGUGUGUGCGGCAGACGAGGUCGAUUCUGCUGUGGCGGGAUCGGGAUCUUCUGUGGCCACCGAACCUGUGCGCUCCGGAACAUCUUCUCGGAUGACUACACGAGCACAGAAAGGUAUUUUAAAACCUACGGUUUACAAGGAUGGAACAUUCAGGUAUGACAAGAACUUUAAAUUUGCAAAUUUUGCUGCUACUGGUGAGCCUCAAAAUCUAACCGAAGCUCUAGGUAAUGAUAAUUGGAAAAAUGCCAUAAAUGUAGAGUAUGGUGCACUUAUGAAAAACCAAACUUGGCGUUUGGUUCCUCCUAGGUCAGAGAGGAACAUCAUUGAUUGUAAAUGGGUAUACAAAAUUAAAAAAAGACAUGAUGGCACAAUAGAUAGGUAUAAGGCUAGACUAGUAGCUAAGGGCUUUAAACAACAUUAUGGCAUUGAUUAUGAGGACACCUUUAGUCCAGUAGUUAAAGUUGCUACUAUUAGGCUUGUUCUAUCUAUUGCUGUUUUCAGGGGAUGGAGUCUUCGCCAAUUGGAUGUUCAGAAUGCGUCCUUUCAUGGCGUUCUCGAGGAGGAGGUCUAUAUGAGACAACCACCUGGGUUUGAAAAUGGUUCAAAGCCACAUCAUGUGUGCAAGUUGGACAAGGCCUUAUAUGGUCUAAAGCAGGCACCUAGAGCUUGGUAUUCAAGAUUGAGUGCAAAACUUCAGCAGCUUGGUUUCAAGCCUUCAAGGGGAGACACUUCUCUCUUCUUCUUCAGGAAAGGGAAAGUGAUUAUAUUUAUGUUAAUUUAUGUUGAUGACAUAAUUGUUGCCAGCUCCUCACAAGAGGCUACCUUAGCAUUGCUAACAAAUCUGAAAAAUGAGUUUGCUCCUAAAGAUCUAGGAGAUUUACAUUACUUCCUAGGCAUUAAAGUUAAAAAAUUGCAUGAUUGUAUUAUGCUAACUCAGGAAAAAUAUGCCAAAGAUGUAAUCAAACGUUUAUGUAUGAAGGACUGCAAACCCUCCAUAACACCAAUGUCUACCACUGACAAGUUGUCAUUAUAUGAAGGAGAAUUACUGAGCCCAGAAGAAGGAACCAAGUACAGAAGCAUAGUUGGUGCUCUUUAGUACUUGACACUAACAAGACCUAAUAUAUCCUUUGCUGUUAAUAAAGUCUGUCAAUUCUUACAUGCUCCUACCUCUGUACAUUGGACAGUUGUAAAGAGGAUAUUGAGGUAUCUCCAAGGGAGUGCCAACACAGGGCUAAAAUUGUGUAAGUCUCCUUCAACCACAGUGAGUGCAUUUUCUGAUGCAGAUUGGGUUGGAUGCCCUGAUGACAGGAGGUACACGGGAGGAUUUGCAAUCUUUCUUGGGUCAAAUCUUAUAUCCUGGAGUGCAAAGAAACAGGCUACGAUAUCACACUCUAGCACUGAAGCAGAAUAUAAAUCUCUGGCAAAUGCAACAACUGAGGUAAUGUGGAUUGAAACUUUGCUUGAUGAACUAGGCAUUGGAAGAACAUGUGUGUCAUGCUUAUGAUGUGAUAAUCUUGGAGCAACAUAUCUGUCUGCAAACCCAGUAUUUCAUGCAAGAACGAAACACAUAGAGAUUGAUUAUCAUUUUGUACGAGAAAGAGUUGCACAAAAGUUGCUAGAUAUACAGUUCAUUCCAACAGGAGAUUAGGUUGCUGACGGGUUCACAAAACCGUUACAAGUGAAGCAACACUACAAGAAAUACGGUCAAUUAUGACUCCCCAUUUUGGUCGUUGAUUCGUCAUAUUUAUCGAUUGUUGACCUUUUUGACCAAAUUCAGAAGGUCAACAGUUGGCCGUCAAGAACGAACAAACUUGACCUUUUUGGAAUUUUUGUCAUAGCUAGACCAACGGCCAAAAUUUCAGAAAGGUCAUUACCCAUUUGCCUGAGCCACGUAGGAUCUGACGUGGCAGAGCUGACGUGGCAUUGUUAGUGACCAAAUGGAAUCAUCAUAAAUUUCAUAUCCCAGUCCACCAAUCUAGCCUACAUGGGCCUGGCCCAAUCAACAUAAAUGUCACAGCCCAGUCCACCAAUCUAGCCGAGAUGGGCCCAACCCAAUACCUAUUUUUAUUGAUUGAAUUGGUUUGAUUUAUUUGGGCUGAUGCAUUAUUUUGUCAAAAGCAUGCACAUUUAAGGAUAGGCCCAUUAGAAAACAAAUACAACAUAAUACAAUAUUUCAUAUAUUUCAUUUCAGCAACACAUCACAUGAAAUACAAUACAUCAUCAAUUGACUCCUCUACACAGCAAGGUUCAAGGCCCAACAAGUGCACAAGCGCACAUCCACAUAAAUUGGACAAGAAGCACAAAUUUUAGCUGAUCACACAUAACAUCAAUGAGAAGCACGAAUAUCAUGUACCAUCACUAGUACACAUACUUUGUCCCAUCACCCAAGCACCAAUGUUGUGUCAAUCUACUGGAUUUGCCACAUGGUGAUGUUACUGCAUUAGGGUUGUCCCAGCUUCUCCCUGCCAUCUGCUGAUCGAUGUACUGCUCCAGCAUCACCUCCCGCUACCACUGGUGGAAAAAGAUCAGCUCAUCAGUCAUCUGCACGCGAACAAACAAAGAAGAUUAACCUAUUUAGCCUACUGUAAUUUGUUUCUAAACAUGGGUGUCAAAUCAACGCCAACACUGAAUUAAAAUGCACAAAAGAAUGGACCAUAGCCAUAUGUACAGCCUAAGAACUUCAGGUUUGAGCCAUUCUCGAUACUACACUAAAUACAUAACAGCCAAAAUUUCGAUGCAUGGACACCAGAUGAUAGAAAAGGUACUAAGGCACUACUUGCUACUGAAAACCAAAGCAAGGUAUGAAGCACAGCCAGGACAACAAUAAACUGGUACCAAAUCCAGAAAUAACCAUCUGAUGCAAUAUAGCACUAGUUUCACUUUAGCAUAUGUGCCUAAUUAUGCAGGUAUGUAGGAUGACAUCAAGAAAAAAUGGAACUGCAGGGGAAUGGAGGAUGGAGAGGGACAAGGAGGUGCUACCUGCAUGAAGGCAUUGGCGGCUCCAAAGAUGGCGUCAAAGUGUUCCACGGGCUGGGCGUAGAGGGGAGGGUCGCUGGUGGAAGAAGUGGCAUUCGUGCACCCUACACAAGAGACAAGAUGAGUUACAUUACAGCUUAUGACCAAAGAAGUUACAAGAAUAUGAGAUUGUGUCUGCAAGAUAGAUGUACAGAGUGAUGAAUCAACAUUGUCAAAGCAAUUUUUACUUUCAUCAUCUAUCCAAUGUGAAAAGAUACAACUUGCAAGUGAUCAAGGUUGGUACCUCAGGAAAAAGCUCCACAAGAUGCCCCAUGUAAGAAACAAUCUUGAUCCUAUUUGUGGAAGAGUGGCAGAGACCGGAGACCUCACCAACCCUACAAGCCCAUGAAGAAUCUGCACCACCACCAGCAGCAGCAGCAUCAUCAUCAGCGCCAGGGCCAGGCAAACACAAGAUUGUCAGUACCUCUCAAACUCAGAACAAGACUCAGAAAGAACCAGGACACCAUAGUAAAUUCAGAACAAAAUUGUAAUAAGGACAGAAAUAACAAUGGAGUCAAAUCAUCAUCACGAUGGUUCACAAUUCCCUUUUAGCGGUACUCUGUUGGUUUGCGGUUCUACAUUCAGACUGUGUUUAGCUUCAACUCCAUUUGUAUCUGCCUUAACUCAGUUCACAGCAGUAAUCCUACUUUAUCGAUAUGUCCAACCCCCACUUUAAAAAGAAGCUAAAUGUGACUACAUAGUUUGACCAAAAUUUAUGUUUUCAGCAAGUAGAAUUCUGAAGCUAAGAGUCAAAGAGGUGGGAGAGGGGGGGAAGAAGAGAAGAGAAGAUAAGCGGACCUCCAUGACGGCGGCGGUCUGCGCGAGCUGCAAUGGGCGCUCGACGGCAGCGUAGACGCCCUCAUGGCCGCCCCCCAGCAGCGCCGUCACCGCGUAGUACAGCACCUGCGCCCUGCCAACCAAAGAGAUCCGAACUGGUCAGACGAAGCAAGAAACCAGAGAUCCAUCCAUCCAAGGAAAGGAGAGCGGGCAUGGGAAGGGGCGCACCAUCCAUAGAAGAUGACCCAGUUGUAGAUGGAGAGGUAGAGCCGCCGACCCGACGCCGGCCACUCUAGACUGGUUGUUCAUUUCAGCAGCUUCCUUCUCGAACCUCUCGAUCACACGCUUGUCAAUACCUCCAAGCUUGUAGAUCAGAUGGCCAGUGGUGGUCGACUUGCCAGAGUCGACAUGGCCAAUGACCACGAUGUUGAUGUGAGUCUUCUCCUUACCCAUGGCUGAAGCUAGGAAACAGAAACAUCAAGGUAAGCAGGUGUUAGAAACAACAGAUCCAAGUGAACAAGUGUCAACAAAGUAAUAUCCUAUCUAUUUGUGAGGUUAACAUAUGAAACAACCAUACAGAUAAGUAUGCGUUUAACGAGAUGGAAUUACACUUGAAGCAAUCAGACUGCGGUAAUUACGCUAACAACAAACAAAUCUAACCAAUUCACCAUACAAGUACAUGAUGAAGUUCAUGAUGUGAACUCUCAUAGAGAACUCACAGAUCCUACAGAACCAGAAGUACUACACGAAUCCAUCCAGCAACACAUGCAGCAAAGCACGAACAUGAUUCAGGAACAUCUUGCAAGACCGAAUCGGUAACAGAAACAGUUAAAACCUACAGAUCAAGGCCACGGCAUGAGCUUACAGGCAGUCAUCAAAAUUACAGAUGAAAAAAGGCAUGCAUCCGCGUGCCCCAACGCACGAGCCCCAGUGCAGGAGCCAUGGAAACCAAACGCGUCACAACUGCGCACGAGCCACAACUCAACACAUGCCCCAGCGCACGAGCUACUCCCUUGGAAACCAAACGCGUCAGCGAAGGGAAUGGAAGGGAUGGGGAGAAGAUGGGCGAGAUAGUGGCUACCUUGACGUGGGAGCAGCUGCGCUGUGGCGUCUCUAGCACUUCCAUGGCGUCCAAGCAGAAGCAGACGGAGGAAGGAAGGACCCACCUCGAUCUGGACCCUGUGCCGGCGCGCUCUGCCUCCUCCGUUGGGUGUAGUCGUAGCAGGAUCUCGCGGGCGGCCGCCACCGCGGGCCGCAGCACCGGCGGGAUGGUCGGGGGCCGCGAACGCAGCGCCAUCAGCAUCAUCCUGAGCGGCUGCUCGACCGAGACCCAGUCGAGGCCAACGGGUGGCUCAGGCCCAUGUCGUGGGGUUGGGGAAAGCCAUGGCGCCACCGCCCCCUAUUCGAGUUGCUGAUGGAGGGGCCACGCCGGUGCCGGAUCCAGCGGCCACUGGCCUCGACGUUGCCUGAUGUGGCAGACCAAUGGCGAGGGGAGAGGUGGGUGGCUGAGAGGGAGGCGGCGGCGAGGGGAGAGGUGUGGCAAUGAGGGAGAGGUGCGGCUGCAAGUGGGAUCUGGAUCGAGAGCGGAGUGGCGGCGGCGGAAGGGAGUGCGGCGUCGCCAUCGAUUCGAUCUGAAUCGGGGGAGUGGGAGUUAGGGUUUGGGAGGAAGGAGCAGAAGGAGGAGCGGAGGGAGGGAUGGUGUGGGACGGACGGAUGGAUGGCGAUGUGGAUGGAUGGAUGGAUGGAUGUGUGCCAUGUCAUCGAUCCGUGGCACACACCUUUCCACCAAUGACAAUUUAAUUUAAUUUUCUGAGUGUAAAAAUGGUUUUUUUAAGAACAUAUGAAAUCUUUGAUGGAAAAUUGGAUCAUAUUUUGUGAAAAUGAUCCAAUAUUGUACAUGUGUGUAUAUUGGGAUGGGGGUUUUAUCUCUUUGCACAAAAAAUCAUUUUUCAAUUUUCAGAGUGCCAAUAAUCGGGUUUUUUGUGAAGGACCUAGCAAAUAGUUGUUGCAAAAUUGGACCAAACCAUUUUUCUAAAAUAUUAUGACAUAUUUAAUGCACAAUUGACAAAAUGGUUGGGUUUCAAAAGUUUUGACCCACCUCGUGAAAAAUACAAAUUUCUGUCGAUGCAGCUGGAAGGGGGGGAAAUUUGAACUGCAGCUGCCUCAUAGUUUGCUCUUUAUUUUUCCCAAAAAUCAUUUGUAGGUACAAAAGUAUCUAUUUCAUCAGAGAAACACCAAAAGUUUUCCAAGACUCAACCACUAGCUAUGAAUGGUCAUGCCCGCCGUUUUGACCGCAUUUUGAAACGGGCAUGAAAAAUUCAAAAAAAUAGAAAACAUUCGCAUUGUGCCAUUAUAUGUGGCCAAGUUACCAGGAAAAACAAUAAACUUGUAAUACAAUAAUUAUUUUAAAAAAGUGUUCUCAGAAACGAGCUAUCAUGCAUGGAGAUCAAUGGUUUUCAAGCCAAAUGAUCAAUCUUAUGGCCACAUUCAUGGCGUAGUUCGUUCAAAUGAUAUCAUAAUGUGCACAAUGGUGCAUAUUGGAAUGGCAAACAAUGUUGCCUAAGGAAGUUUUCAUUUUCUUUGGACGAAAAAACUAUUUUCCAUUUUUCGAGUGCCCAAAAUGAGUUUUUUUUGUGAAGGACCUACAAUAUAUUUGUUGAAAAAUUGGACCAAUUCAAUUUUCUAAAAUACUAGGACAUAUUUAAUGCACAAUUGACCAAAUGGUUGGGUGUCAAAAGGUUUGAUCCACCUCCCGUCAAAAGGACAAAUUUCUGCCGAUUCAGCUGGAAGGGGAUCAAAUUUGAACUGCAACAGCCUCAUAGUUUGUUAUUUAUUUUUUCCAAAAAUCAUUUGUAGGUACAAAAGUAUCUAUUUCAUUAGAGGAACACCAAAAGUUUUCCAAGACUCAACCACUAGCUAUGAACGGUCAUGCCCGCCGUUUUGACCGCAUUUUGAAACGGGCAUGAAAAAUUCAAAGAAAAAUCAAAAAAUUAGAAAACCUUCGCAUUGUGUCAUUAUAUGUGGCCAAGUUAACAGGAAAAAUAAUAAACUUGUAAUACGGUAAUUAUUUAAAAAAAAUGUUCUCAGAAAUAAGCUAUCAUGUGUGAAGAUUCAUGGCUUUCAACUCAAAUGACCAAUCUUAUGGCCCCAUUCAUGGCAUAGUUUAUGCAAAUGAUCUCAUAUUGUGCGCAAGGGUGCAUAUUAGAAUGGCAAAUAAUGUUGCCUAAGAAAGUUUUCAUUUUCUUUGGAUGAAAAAUUCAUUUUUCAUUUUCUGCAUGCCUAAAAUGAAUUUUUUUCGAGUGCGAAAAACUAUUUUUUAAGAAACUACCAAAUAUUUGCUGUAAAAUGGCACCAGACGAUUUGUUAAAAAUAUUAGACCAUAUUUUAUGUACAACCAACCAAAUGGUCGCAUGUUAAAUGCUUCCCGUCCACGUCUCGUCAAAUUGACAUUUUUUGCCAAAUCAACCAGAACUAGGUCAAAUUUUAACUACGGCUGCCUCAGGGUUUAUUCUUUAUUUUUCCAAAAUUCAUUUAUAGGGACACAAGUAGCUAUUUCAUCAGAGAUCCACCAAGAGUUUUGCAAGAUUCCAUCUUUAGCUAUGAACGACCAUACCCGUCAUUUGAACGCAUUUUGAAAUUGGCAUGAGAAACUAAAAAACAGAAAAAAGUAAAAUAUUUGUCUUGUGUCAUUAUAUGUGACCUAGUUUUCAUCCUACAUUUUUUUUAUACGUCGAGAACAUUUUUCUUUCUUUCUGUUGGUUUUCAUUCUACAUUUUUCAUAUACGUCAAGAACAUUUUUAAUACAGUUUAAUAUCUCUUAAAUACUUGUUUAACAUUUUUUUCAAAUGUUUUCUUUAAUAUUUUCUAAAUACAAGAUCGACUUUACUCACACACAUUGUAUAUUUUCUGUAUACAUUUUUCGUAUACACGAGAAACAAUUCUUAUAUACACAAUUAACAAUUUCAAGUGUUUGGUUAGCACUUUUUUAAUACAUACAACAUUUUUAUAUACACAAUUUAAACAUUUUUAAUGCUUGAUUAAUAUUUUUAAAUACAAUAUUAAUAUUUUAAAUACAUGGCUAACAAUUAUAUAUUUACACAUUUUAACAUUUUCAUAUGCUUGAUUUAUGAUUUGUAGAUACUUGUUUAACAUUUUUCUGAAUGCUUGAUUAACAUUUUUAAAUACAUGAUCAACUUUUUCCACAUACAUUGUAUAUUUUUUGUGUAUAUGGUAAACAUUUUCUUUAUACACAUGUAAGAUUUUUAAAUACUUGGUUAACAUUUUUCAAAAAAAUUAUGUGAAGUUAGUUUUUUAAUAUAUUUAAUUAUAUUAAUUGGAAGUAUACAUAAACGCAAGUGAAAGAAUAUUGACCGAACGAAAAAACAGACAAAAAAUGAGCCGCGGCCCAGUAGUUGGCCCACUCGGUGCACCGAAAAUCUUAAAGGAAAAAAAAGAUGCCCUCGUCCCAUCGAGGCCCAAGCCCACUCGACACUACAUUAAAAAUGUUUCAGGCGUAGUUGCAUCAUUAUCUGGGUUGUGGCCCCGUGGUUUGUCUCUGUAGGUUAGCUUGACUGGUCACGAGUUCGAGUCUCGUGGCAGACAUUUAUUUUUCUCAUUUUUCCUCCUUUAUUCACCUUUGUGGAAUGAGUCCCACAUGUCAUUAUAUGGAUGCCAACUGGUAGGUGGCUGUUGGACGAGACAACUUAAAAAAAAGACAAAUUUUUCCUCCUUUAUUCACCUUUGUGGAAUGAGUCCCACAUGUCAUUAUAUGGAUGUCAACUGGUAGGUGGCUGUUGGACGAGACAACUUAAAAAAAAGACAACUAGGCACACACGUAGACAAAUUGACACGUUGUCAUCCAAUCACCCUCGUCUAAUUUCUAUGAUGAUAUAAUUUGGUCAUGAGGGACUUGAAAUAAGGUGGUAUGCAUCAUUCACAUCUUAAUGACCAUUCUAUGCAAUCGGAUCACGACCUUUUGGCCACGAAUUGUCACAAGAUUAUAGGGUUUGGACCCCUCUAGACUCUUGAUGACUAAUUUGUGAAUUUUGGUCAUGGAUCAAUGACCAAUUAAAUUGUCGUCAAUAAUUUUAGUCAUAAUCGAGCAUUUUUCUUAUAGUGCAACUACAGGCCUUCAGGAGCAAUCUGAACCUUGAUACAUUAAGAUUGAGGGAGGAUGUUAAAAGAGUAGGGCCGUAGUUGUGUAACGUGACAAUGUGUCGCGUGUGUAUCCAUGUAAAUUGUGGCGCGGGUUGUUGGCUAGGAUAUCCUCUAUCCCAUGUAUAGCUUGGAGUAGAGAACAAGUUGAUAACUGACCAACUACCUGUGCAUAUCUUGUAAUCUCCCUGCCUAUAUUAACACGAAGACGUCCCUGCCAAGAGGCAUCACGCUUAACACAGCCAACCCUAGUUUUUACACUACCCUGGUGCCGCCACCACUGGUCGCCCACUUGCACGCCGUAUAGCUCUGAUGAGGCAAUGUGGAUGCCACCUUGUACUGAGAUGGUGCCAGCCCAGAUAAGGCUUGAUGAUGCCCUGGUAAGCACCUUAUUCGGGCGCGCGCAGUUGACCACGCCCUGUUGUGUGCUUCUGCUUGGUCUUCAGCUCCACAGCCCACGCAUCGCCGCUAGUUUUUGGGAAGCUUGUGGGCUAGAUUUUUCUUAAUUUUUUUAACAUGUUUCUUAUGUUGUUUUUUCUAUUUUUACUUUUUUCACCGUUAUAAUUCACAAAAAAAUGAAUUCAUGAACAAUUUUGAAUUCAAUAUUUUUGGAAUUCAUGAGCAUAUUUUGAAUUGGCAAUCAUUUUAAAUCCUUGAACAUUUUUGAAUUGGUUCAACUUUUCUGUUGAGUACCAAUAAAUAUAUCCUAUUGUUUUUUUCCUUUUGACACUUUAUCAUGCAUAAAACGGAAGUUCUAGCAUGUGUUCUGGUAGCUUGCAUUUUAGUAAACCUAUUCCUAUAGCUUGGCCCAUCAAACUUGUACCUUUUCCAUGUAGCAUUGUUCUAUUCUCCUCCCUUAUUUGAUUACUGUAUUUGCGUUGUUGCUUUUAAAACUAAAGAUUUUGACUAGAUAAGUUUUCUCUAAUUUAACUUAAAUAUGUACGUAUAAAUCACAACUGUUCUAUUUAUUCAUGGUAUGUAUUUGUCUAAUAUUAUAUUUUUUCUAAAAAAAAAUUCAUGAAGCACAAUGGGAGCCAAUGGUGUUGUGAGAUCCCACUAAUUGCUUUCCAGACCAGGAAAGCUGUUGUGUGCAUUUUGAAUAUGUCAUGAUGCAAGUUUUCUCAUUAAAAUUGUCUAAGGUUUCUACAAACACAAGCUUAGCACAACUAUACGGAUAUAUAGCAGUGCGGGAUUAUAUGGAUUCAUUUCUUAACUAUGUUGUCAACCGUAGAGAGGAAACUUGAUAUUAUUGCAAUAUGUAAGAGCACAUGUUCCUCUCUCAUAAUAAUUUUUAGUAGCAUCAUGAAUGAAUUCAUCAAUAUAACCAUUACAUAAAGCAUUAUUCUCAUGAUGCACAAGCAUAUAAAUUUUACUACUCUCCACAUAAGCAAAAUUCUUCUCAUUCAGAAUAGUGUGAGCAAACUCAACAAAUUAACUAUCAUGUGAGGCAUAAUCCAAUUUAAACUAAAAUCAUGAUGACAAGUUUCAUGGUUAUCAUUAUUCUUUAUAGCAUACAUGUCAUCACAAUAAUCAUCAUAGAUAGCAACUUUGUUCUCAUAAUCAAUUGAAACCUCUUCCGAAAUAGUGGAUUCAUCACUAAAUAAAGUCAUGACCUAUCCGAAACCACUUUCAUCAACAUAAUCAUCAUAAAUAGGAGGCAUGCUAUCAUCAUAAUAAAUUUGCUCAUCAAAACUUGGGGGAAGAAAAAUAUCAUCUUCAUCAAACAUAGCAUCCCCAAGCUUGUGGCUUUGCAUAUCAUUAGCAUCAUGGAUAUUCAAAGAAUUCAUACUAACAACAUUGCAAUCAUGCUCAUCGUUCAAAUAUUUAGUGCCAAACAUUUUAUAAACUUGUUCUUCUAACACUUGAGCACAAUUUUCCUUUCCAUCAUUUUCACGAAAGACAUUAAAAAGAUGAAGAGGCAAUCUCAAUUCUAUUUUUUUGUAGUUUUCUUUUAUAUACAAACCUAGUGAUAGAACAAGAAACAAACAUAUUUGAUUGCAAGAUCUAAAGAUAUACCUUCAAGAAUUAACCUCCCCGGCAACGGCGCCAGAAAAGAGCUUGAUGUGUACUACGCAAGCUUCUUCUUGUAGACUCGUGUUGGGCCUCCAAGCGCAGAAUUUUGUAGGACAGCAGCAAAUUUCCCUCAAGUGGAUGACCCAAGGUUUAUCAAUCUGUGGGAGGCAUAGGAUGAAGAUGGUCUCUCUCAAACAACCAUGCAACCAAAUAACAAAGAGUCUCUUGUGUCCCCAACACACCCAAUACAAUGGUAAAUUGUAUAGGUGCACUAGUUCGACAAACAGAUGGUGAUACAAGCGUAAUAUGGAUGGUAGAUUUAGGUUUUUGUAAUACGAAAAUAUAAAAACAGCAAGGUAGCAAAUAAGAAAAGUAAGCGAAAACGAUAGUGCAAUGCUAGGAAACAAGGCCUAGGAUUCAUACUUUCAUAGUGCAAGUUCUCUCAACAAUGAUAACAUAACUGGAUCAUAUAACAAUCCCUCAACAUGCAACAAAGAGUCACUCCAAAGUCACUAAUAGCGGAGAACAAAGGAAGAGAUUAUUGUAGGGUACGAAACCACCUCAAAGUUAUUCUUUCUGAUCGAUCUAUUGGGCUAUUCCUAUAACUGCCACAAAAAACCCUAGAGUUCGUACUAAAAUAACAACUUAAGACACACAUCAACCAAAACCCUAAUGUCACCUAGAUACUCCAAUGUCACCACAAGUAUCCGCGGGUUUGAUUAUAUGAUAUGCAUCACACAAUCUCAGAUUCAUCUAUUCAGACCAACACAAAGAACUUCAAAGAGUGCCCUAAAGUUUCUACCGGAGAGUCAAGACGAAAACGUGUGCCAACCCCUAUGCAUAAGUUCACAAGGUCACAGAACCCACAAGUUGGUCACCAAAACAUACAUCAAGUUGAUCACGUGAAUAUCCCAUUGUCACCACAGAUAAGCACAUGCAAGACAUACAUCAAGUGUUCUCAAAUCCUUAAAGACUCAAUCCAAUAAGAUAACUUCAAAGGGAAAACUCAAUCCAUUACAAGAAGAUAGAGUGGGGGAAACAUCAUAAGAUCCAACUAUAAUAGCAAAGCUCGCGGUACAUCAAGAUCAUGCCAAAUCAAGGACACGAGAGAGAGAGAGAGAGAGAGAGAGAGAGAGAUCAAAUACAUAGCUACUGGUACAUACCCUCAGCCCCGAGGGUGAACUACUCCGUCCUCGUCAUGGAGAGCACCGGGAUGAUGAAGAUGGCCACCGGUGAUGAUUUCCCCCUCCGGCAGGGUGCCGGAAUAGGGUCCCGAUUGGUUUUUGGUGGCUACAAAGGCUUGCAUUGGUGGAACUCCCGAUCUAGGUUCUGUUCUAGAGGUUUGGGGAUAUAUAAGAGGUGUUGGCGUCGAGAACAAGUCAGGGGAGUCCACGUGGGGCCCACAAGGUCGGGGGCGCGCCCUAGGGGGGCGCCCCCACCCUUGUGGUGGCCUCGGGACUCCUCUGGUGCAUAUCCGGUACUCCGUGGGCUUCUUUUGGUCCAAAAACAAUUGUCGGAAAGUUUUAGGUCAAUCGGACUCCGUUUGAUAUUCCUUUCCUGCGAAACUCAAAAACAAGGAAAAAACAUAAACUGGCACUAGGCUCUGGGUUAAUAGGUUAGUCCCAAAAAUCAUAUAAAUAGCAUAUAAAUGCAUGUAAAACAUCCAAGAUAGAUAAUAUAAUAGCACGGAAAAAUCAAAAAUUAUAGAUAAGUUGGAGACAUAUCAUGGCCCAGUAGGUUCGGUAAACCAUAGACAUGAACGAAAUCCCUUUUGUUCAAUGACCGAUAGCAGAGCCGUGGACAUCCAUAUUGGUCCCUAUGAUUACAUGAAUGAUAUUCGAGUGUACCUUUGGUUAUCAUGUGAUCUUCCCUUUGCUCCGCGAUACUUUACAAAACCCGGUGUGCAUCGGUAUCCUCCUGAGACAUCACCAUGCUCACUAUACUAUUGCUCCCGUUACCGGUUUUGUUCUUAUUUCUCGUUGACGUGUUCCGGCAUCCCCGUGACAUAGUCACCUGUGUCUGGCUAGAUGAUGGUGGAUUCUGUCACGCCGAGAGGGCCCUAAGAAUAUCUAUCCAUCGUCGGAGGAGCAAAUCCCACUCUCAAGCUGUGCGGUCACUUGUCAAACUUUCCGGUGUGCCUGAAAGUUGUUGUUAUGAUAACCUUGUUACAGAUGACGUUUGAGUAACCCGAAAGCCCACCGUCUGGUAGGAAGUGACCCGAGACACUCUCAUGGUCUGAGGAAGUAAAACACAUGCUAGCACUUUGUGUUAUAACAGAUGAUUUCAGACGAUAUAAUCACAUAGUAUAAUAGACAAGUAUUGGGUCGAUUCAAUAUGAUCAUUCUUCUAGCGUCAUAUAUAUCCUCAAUGUUAUUUUAGGAUUAUCUUUACACUUAACGAUGUCCUAAGAUCCGGAAAUGUGAUCACCAACAACACUUGAGCAAGUCUUAGAGGCGAGACCGGGAACCUAUUGUUUAUCGUUUAUCAUUUCACACGUGAUUAUGAGUUUUCCACUAAAUCGCAUAUUCCAGGAUCAUACCAGUUAUACCAUGAAAUAUAAACUCUUAAUUAUGAAUAAUGGAAGUAUAAUAAUACAAUAUUAUUGCCUCUAGGGCACAUUUCCAACAAUUAUUUCUAUUAUGUUAUUGCUAACACGUUGCAGGUACGAGAAGCUUGAAAACAGAGUGAAGAAAGUAUGCUUAUAUCUGAAAAAGCUACAUAACCAGCUCCAAAACGAGGACAAAUUUAGGCGCCAUUGUUCUAUUGCAUCUCAGCCGCAAUGCCAACCAAACGCGCGAAGACAUCACUUGUGGAGGAGCCAUCACCAUCUUGGCCAACACACUUGGUCUCGACUUCGACGUGCUAUAUCCAUUAGGCGGUAACCGUUUUGUUUCUCUUCCAGUUCUCUGUAGCGCUAGUAUGACUGUCACUAUGAAUGGUAGGAUCCUUAUUCGUAUCCCUAGAAUUGGGCAUUUGCUACCCACUCCCAUACCUAAACAUUUCUUGAUCGAGGACGAUAUUUUACAUUAUGACGCACAUGAUGAAGAGGAAAGGAGGAUUCUGAUGCAACCAUGCUAAAAGAUUUGGAUGAAGAAAAACUCACACCUGAACAAGAGGUGUACCCGAAGAUGAUGAUAAAUGAGUUAGGAUGUAUGCUACAUAUAUUGAUGCCUAUGAGGUCGGAGAGUCCUACAAACAACAUGAGCAGUUUUGGGGUGGAGUAUUACCUAGAGAUGUAUAUGGAUAAUAGUCUACAGAUAUAAGGGUGUAAUGCCUAUAUGCAAUCAUGCCACAUAUAGUCAUACACGUAAAAAAUCCACUUCAAUCGAUGCGCAACGGUAAUUUGUUCACCACACCUAUUCUAUGCUUUAUGGAGAGAUGCCACUAGUGAAGUUAUGGAUCCUAGUCCAUUCAUAUUUAUUACUUUCAACCUCGAUCAAUCAUUAUUAUUUACAAUAUGAAAUGUUUAUUUAAUUACUUGCAAUUAUCAAUUACAUCUCCUUCAUGUAAUUGGCAAGGUUAAUGAGACCGACAACCUCACUGGUUUCAUUGGGGACCAAGACAACUUUCACAAUUGCGUGUAAGUGACGAUAAUCGGAUAUAGUCCACACUCUUACAGGUUUGAGAAAUCUGUAGGUCAUCCAAUUGAGAGAAAAAUGUUGCUUUCUGCAAACCUCUACACUCGGGGGAGGGGGGGGGGCACCAACUUCCUAACAGAGAUGAAGCAGUCCUACUACAUGAUUUGGAUGUAUAAAAGAAGUAUGCACCAUGUCUCAAGGUGAGAGUAGUGAAUGCUCAAUACCGAAGGGGCUACCAUAUGAAAGAUGAAAUUGACGUGCAUAAAAUUUUGAACAAACUCAAUGUACUACACAAGUGUUGUGUGACAUUAACAUAGAACCAUACAACCAAGUACUCAGAGGGGGUACUUUGGUAUGAGUUAACCAUUUUGCAUCUGGACUUGAACCAAAGUCGUCAGUUUAUUUACAACACCACGUCAACACUUUGAUUUACUCAUGUUUCUACCUAAGUUAGUAGCUUUUAGUUUAUUAGGUGAAAGAAUGGCCUAGGUUCAGUCAACUUUAGCACACUAACCACUUCCAGUUAGGUUCAUCUAUCACAAUGCCAAUCUAUUGUUAUCAAAUUAUCUCGAAACAAUUGCAAAAAAUCCAGUUCUCAUUUAAACUUCUAGAGUUCAUGACUUUUUUAUCAUGCCACUUAUACAUACUUAUUAUCAUUUAAGUACAGACAUUUUAGUGCCAUGCCAUAUGCAAAUCAAUUCACAAACCAAUUGCAAUUCCAACUCUCCAAAAUAUAUAAGUGAGCUACGAAGAGUUUAAAGUGUUUUUUACUUUGACCAUGCUCUAAAAUAUACAAGUGAAGUUGUAGAGCAAUUCUAAAAACAUGUAGCCAUGCAUACACUCCAUUUUUUGUUUUUAAUGAUGUUAUCCAUUGUCAGCAUGAUUUAUGGUGGCACAAUGAUGGUAGGUUCCCUUGUGCUUUUGGUAACAUUUUUGGGAUAGAGAUAGUGUCACAGAUUUAGCCUUCAUGCGGUAUGGGUUAUCCAGCUCGGCCCAGUACAACCAACGAGGGCUUGUGUUUUGUGGAGCAGACAACAUGAUUAGGAAGACGUAUAAGACGAGGGUAUCUGCAACAAGAAGAUGAAGGCUCCAUUGAAAGAGAGAACAAAAGAAAAGCUGAUCGCAAACCCUAGCCUCGUCCUCAAUUGGUCGUGGCUAUGGCAUGUCCACUAAGAUGACGGAGGUUACUAUUGAGAAUGAUAAAACAACAUAUAUUCAUAGUGACAAUGUUCAUUUUUAAUAUAUACAAUUCCACAGUUAAAUUGUCACUGUCCGAGCAAAGGAAGCACUACACCCGAGUUGCACUCUGUAGGGUCAUCGAGGAGCGGCAAGCUACUCAUGAGAACGUGGGGGUCAAGGACACGUAGAGGAACUAGUGGCGAGCAAUGGGAAAAGGCAGAGGCGGGAUAGGUGAAGGCAAAUGCUAAUGGUUCUCCCGACAAGCGCUUAUGUUGGGGUGGCGGUGGUGCGAUCAUGCGUGAUCACCAUGGCAAGCAGAUAGGAGAUGUAACACUUUUUUUCAGGAAUGUCAUCAUGGCUUGUUUUAUCGAUUUGGUAAAAAGGUUACAUCGUUUGCAAGAACAUUAUCCAGGAAGUCCGGGGGUUCAUCAGCCCAAUUACAAGAACUAUUGCUAUCAUAAGCAAAUUUUGCUAAACUAUGAGCAACCUCAUUUGCUUCCUGGUUACAGUGCGAAAUUGAACCGCACUAGUUGCAAUAAUAAUCUCUCAUUUCAUUUUUUUUAUUUAGCAUUUUUAGCAAAACAUUUCAUUUUCUUGGGUCAGAGUCGUUUUGACGCUCGCGAGUUCAGCUGGUCCACGGAUUUUCGCCUCCACGUGGCGUGUGUGAUUCAGCCUGGCCCGGCAUGGCCCGGCCCGGCCCACGAGGGGGCCCGUUUUGUGGAGGAGACAGCGUGACUAGAGGAUGAGAGCCGCAAGGGAAAGAGGGAAGCCUCCAUCUCCAGCGAGAAGAGAAGAGAAGACGAGCCCCAAACCAUAGCCUCGAUCCUCGUCUACCCCGGUUCACCAUGGCGCUACGCAGCCUGGCCGCGAGGAUGCGGGUCGCCGCCGCCGCCCGGCUCCCGUCGGCCCCUCGCGUUUCGCCGGCGUCUGGUAGUCGGGCCCUCCCUUUCUCCUCCUCCUCCAGUAAGGUAUGCCCCUUCUCCCCCUGCACACCGCGCUCGCUCAGGCAAACCACUGGCUGGAGUAGGCAGUGCUAGAGCUUCCCCCUGCGUGUGAUGAUCAUGUAUGCCUGCAAAUUGACGAAAUAGACCAAUAAUUUCUUUGAUUUCCUCGGCUCCGGAUCUAGACCCUUCGCCGUGACCAACUCUUGCUGCUGCGUUGCUACUUGUUUCAUUGAGCAAUUUAUAAACUGUAUUGGCGUUACAUAGUUUCCAAAGGCACGCCUUGGUGCAAAGGCCGCAUACCUGCAUUGCUAGCUAAUGAAUUUUGAAUGCAAAUUAAUCCUUUUUAAGGGGUGAAUCUAUGAUUUUGAAUAUGAUUUUGCACUACCAAACCAUUCAACUAGGUUUAUCAUCAAUUGCAUAUUUGUUCAUAAUAUAUUUAUUGGGUAAUGUGUGUAUUGAUUUUUUUGUAUAAACUUGGUCAACUUGAGACAAGAUUAAUAGUACGUAUAAACCCGGCUGGAGGGAUUAUGUCUGUGCUUUAGCUCCCCCGUCCAUGAGCCUAUUUGCAAGAAGAAAGGGAUGCUGUCAACUGUAGGAGGCUUGUCAGUAAUCUCCCAUUGCAGUUGAUAUUUGCUACAUGCUUCUUACCUUCUAUGCACUUGUUCAUCUGAAUUGGUGGUCUUGCCCUUUACAAACGCAUGGUUUUCAUGGUCGCCAUGCUUUCACUGUUACAAAUUAUGCAUAGAUGCACAUGCAAGUUGUUUAGUGACUAUCCUUGUUAGCAGUAUUUUUAAAGAGAUGUGGCUGUUAUAGAUAAUUCUAACUUGACAACAAUUUGUAUUGUCAUGAAAAUUUCCCCCUUUUCCCUCUGCACGAGAUUGACGGGAUUUUACAGCACAUUUUAACAUGAAAACCAUUUGUAUUGUCAUGAAAACGUUGAUCGUUUUUACCUUGCAUGAGGCUGGUGCUCAGAAUUUGUCAACUACCAGCAUGACUUUCUCAUAUAUUUUAGUUAUUCAUGGAUUUGCACAAGAGACACAUAGGUAUUUGUUCUGACUUAAAAGCGUUAAUCAGAGGAUUGACCACUUGAUUUUGGGAUGAUGGCAAAUUAUACGUGUAAGUUUUGUAAGCUCUGAAAUUAGGGUACUAGCAGUCAUUAAUGCUUGGCAAAUAUGUGUAUUUAUCAUGUGUAAUGAUUUCAAGAGCUUAUGGUGCUGCAAAUACUCUUGCCUCAUGAUAUUUUUGUUCCCCUGUAUCCUUACAGGACAUGUAAGGAUAACAAGGCUAACUCUUGCACCUGAUAUUGCCUUCUCAGCUUUCUCUUACUUUGUUGUUAAAAUUGUAUAGCGCUAGAGACUGGUACCUGCUUCAGCGAGAACGUUAUGACAGUGUGACAAGAGAGUUAAAAAACUACAGGUAUAAGCUUCAACAACUUUCAUUUUGAUAUUACUGCUCAAAAGGUUGAAUAUGAUAUGUAAUGCCUCAAUUCCUUGUUCUUUUUGGCAGCCGUGAGGUUGUGUGGACUGAAAGGCUAGCUAAGCUGCUUAAUGUGGUAUACGUGCUGGGUAUGCCUUUUAUCGUUGGCCCUUUGGUCUUAAAAGGGAUUGCCAUUCGGAGAAUGUGAGGGGGUAGCAGCCAUACACUGCUUCGUUUAUUACUGCUGAUGCAUGUGAACUCGUAGUUCAGCACUCUCUUUGUGUUAACUGCCUGACUUGCAAGAGCAGAUAACCAUAUGGGAAUAAUGGCUUGUUGCGUCUGUGUCUUGACCCGCAUUGCGUCGCGGAUAACCUCGUGAUUAUGGCUUUAUGUAGAUUUGUGCAAGCGUAGUUGUUUGCUGUAAUGGUUUCUUGCACUUGUUUGCCGUUAACUUAUGUCUGUCCCUAUGGAGCUACUGUUUCUGAGUGGUGUUGGGUUUCUCCAGGUGCGCUUUGUUGGCCCUGAUUUAUGUACACUGGACUGCUAUGUGCAGCGCCAACUUUGCUCUGUGCAGAGCUAAGCUAUUAGCGAAAUCAUAUGGCUUAAGAUUAUAAGCAUUCCAACAUAAGCAGGAACUGCCUGGCCUGAAAAUUUGAAACUCACCUGUUACUCAAGUUUGAGAAUGUGCACAUCAAGGUUCCAAUUUUCUUAUAUCAAAGUAUAUCUUUUCUUUUUUAGUGCAUUUCCUUCCUGUUGACUUCCUUGGAAGUCUUGAACUUAUUAGAAAUUUACCGUGUAUCUCCACAAUGUCGUGUAGUGUUUCCUUGCAUUGUCGAGUGAAAUCAUGCUUUGUUACUCGAGUGAGUCUGCUGAUGUCUUGCACCUCCGGCUUGCAGUCACAUGCAGUAACGGGCUUCCUUAUGCCUAUGUCCUGAGCCAAAGCGACAAGUGACUUCCUUCGUCUGCCGAUUACAACCGUGCAUCGCUGCAGUUGAGUGCAUUGGCAAAACUGCCGCCUACAUUGAUUUUGAAAGAAGAGUGAAAUACACUAAUAGUUCGGCCAGCUCGGGGGAGCUAGUGGUAGGGAAAAAAUGACAAGCCCCGACAAGGAACUUGCCAUGGUGAUCACGCAUGAUAGCACCUCUGCGACCACAACACAAGCGCUUGUCCAGAGCACCAUCAACAUUUGCCUCCACUCCUCAAUGAGCCUACAGAGAAGAAUCAAGAAUCCCAAAUCCUACCCCUCAUCGGGGUCGGGGUCUCCAUUGAAUCCUCAUGAAUCCCGAAUCGUACCCUUCAUCGGGGUCACGUGGCUCGGGUGCAGUGAUUCCCCUUUGCUCGAACGGUGACAAUUUAACUGUGGAAUUCUAUAUAUUAAAAAUGAACCUUGUCACUGGAAUAUAUGUUGUUUUAGUGUGCUCAACAGUAACAUCCAUCAUCUUAGUUGACAUGCCAUACCCACGACCAAUCGAGAACGAGGCUAGGGUUCGGGAUCGGCAUACCAAAUGACCCUAUCCCUUUAGAACUACAAAUGAAAAAAACUACUAAGAAGAUCAUGACAAAUAGUACUUUGUCGAAUUCUGAAUCCCUUUAGAACUAUAAUGUUCAACAGAACAUAAGUUCAUAUUUGGUUCAUCUAGCAGAGAUAACACCGGUUCCUCGACAUGAUUGGCACAGUAAGAAAAUACUCAUAAGAAGUCCUACUAUAGGGUAAACAUCUCCCUGAAAAAUGAAAUUUCUCACAACUUCUACCAUGCAUGUCUCUUUCCUGAUAUAUCAUCACAUGCAUCAGAUUUUGUUCUUAUCAGACUAUGAAAUCCUACAACAGUGUUCAGUUUAUUAACAUAACUGCAAAGAAACCAGGAGUGUCAAAUUUAGCCGGAUUUUUUUAAAAGAGUGCUAGCUGCAGCUAGUUUGUGCUGACAAGCAGAAAUUAUGGCAUGAAGUGAUAUAUAGUGUACCCAAUAGUGCAAUUCAACAUAAGAGGAAAUGUAAUUCUAAUUACUGGAAGGAACUUUGCAUAAAUUACUACAACUUAAAAAUGGAAGCAAAUCUUACUUGAUGCCAUUCAGUAUAUCAUAUCUUCCUUAAGUUUACAAUAAUCUAAAAGCAACUAUAGCCGGCAGGAAUACAGCCUACACCUUAAGGAAAGAAGAUGGCCCCUGGGCAUUCAUCCUAAACCGCGGAAACAAAUCAACAUAAAUCAAAUUAGUAGGGAUGGGGAACAAAUACGCAAAUAAUAUAUAUCAUAACAUGAUAAGGAAAUGUGUAACUCAUCUUCUCGUCGUUUCUUGAAAAUACAGUGCAGCAAGUGUUAGCCUGCUAUAAGCAGUUUUAGAAUAACCUCCACUUUGGUUUGAUUCCAGCUGAUGGGCCGCCUUCUGCUGCCAUUUUCUGUCUUGCAACAGCAGGAUCCGGUGGCUGGAAAUAAUCUGUAAACACAUAUGAUGUUACUAAUUAUUCAAUUGCUGUCAUAGUUUUGUGUAAGAAAGCUAUACAUAUGCAUGGUCUAAUAUUUUGUACCUUGUUCUGUCCGGAUGGGUGAUGCAUCUUUGUGCUGAAUCUGAUCGACAGACGACGAGGCCGCAUGGAUGUGAACCGCUUCCAAGCAGUUCAUGUGGCGGUGGGGUGUAAGAAGAUGACUGCCCACAUCCUCUGUCGAUGACUUGCUAGUCAGUGUCCAACAGUGCUCUAUUUUGUAUAUGUUCUGUUGAUUGUACUUGAAAAUAGUGGAACUCGGCGUCCAGCGAUCUGCUGUUUGGAGUGAUGGUUAUGAUAGAUUUCUUGCCAGGAAGGUUCAAUAUUUGAGCCAGCACAUAUCCAGCUCGUCCUGCUGAAUAGGCAACAGCAUGGUCUGCCUCCUUUCCAAUGGCGAUAUCGCCCUGAUCUCCAAGUAAAGCAAAUUCCGCAAAUGCUGGAUUAUCCUCUUCGUUGGGGUCCAAGUCAAUCGCACGAACUGAUAAUUUGCACCUGCAUAAAUUAUGCCAUGUUCAAUUGUUUAUUUUCCAUGAUAUGUUUGAGCGACAACUAAUAUGGAUCGGAGGGAGUAGCUAAAUUUAUAGGCAUUGACUUCAAACUGUCAAAGAGGAUGUCUACUAAUGUGAUUUGAAAUUUGUUUAUGAUAGCAAUAGUACUAAAUUUUGCGGGAAUACAGAAUAGUUUGGAAAUAAGCAUGCAGAUAAAUAAACAGUCUAAUACCAUGAUAUUGGUUGGUUCUAUAGCAGCUAAAUCCUCAAUAGCUCAUUCACUUGCCUGACGCCGGCUUCUGCUGUGUCCCGCAAUUCGGUUUGCUAAAACCUUGCACCAAUCCUAUAAAGUCACAUUGAUUGGAAGUACACUCACUAAGCACAACAAAAUAAUGAUAACAUGAUUUGCAUCAUGCAAAAUACCUUUCUAGUAUAGCUUUCAGCCUUUCAUCUCGGGGAUUGCAACAUUAAUGUGUCACUCUAUCGAUGAAGUGUUCUUGAAAGCUAUAGUACCUGUGGUGUACAAUAAAUCAAUUAGUCUCAAAUCAUGAAAUAUGUUUCAACCAUGUAAUAAACAACAGUAUGUCAGUACCUGCAUACUGGUCGACCAUUACCCCAAGAAAGAGAACGAAAACAGGUUCCUUAUUUGAUCGAUUCCGCAAUGUGUCAGCAUCAAAUGUUUCUGCAAAUUUUCCCCAAAGCGUCAUGGUUGCUUGCUUCCUGGGAAAACCAUAUAAUCAUUUGGGUUUAUUAUCAUUAGAUGAGAUAGACAUGAUAGCCGUUACAUGAGUGGAGUUGCUGGGUGCUCCUGUAGUGUUUGAUGCUCCUGUAGCAUGUAGUUGCUGGGUGUGAGAGGGGGUUGUAUCUCCCCUAGUUAAGUCUCUUUUUCUUCUAGAUUAGCACCCCUGAUGUAGGCAGUUGUGUGCCUUGGGGGUGUAUGGCUGGUUUUGCUCCUACUCUGUUUUCUUAAUUGAAAAUGGGGGCUUUUUUUUUGAAAAGGAGGAUGACCCCCGGCCUCUGCAUCUGGAAGAUGCAUGCAACCACUUUAUUAAUUAUUCACAAAGACAUUACAAAGUAAUGCAUCAAUAUGUCUGAAGCCGCCAUCUUGGCAACAUCUGUCGCUAUUCCUAUCCAUUGAUGAAGGGGUGCAGAAAGUGUGAGCCGAAUCCCCAGACCUCUCACCUAAGCCUAACAUCUAAAUCCGGAGCCCCCAACCAAGCGACCUUCCAGGUCUGGAGCACAAACCGGUCCCACUCACUCUCAUAGGUCGUUGCCACCGUCUUCUAUCGAUCCAUCUUCAGAGCAAAUGCUGACGCGUCAACCUUGCCAGGCCUGCUGUCGACGCCACUAUGGUGCCAGACAGCACCUCCUCCCUACACACGUCCACCAUCACACAUCUAUCGCUAAGGCCCUGCCAUGCCACGCCGCUAAGACUCCAUGUCGUCAAUGUGUCACAUGGAACACCGCUCCACCGCAGAUCUCGUCCACUGAUCCCUCAAACCUACGUAUACCUCCAAGAAUUACGCCCCGAAGAGGGAUACGGCACAAGAGCGACGCCGAUAUAUGAUAAAUCGGUCUAGGGUUUCCCCCGAAGGUGGCGGAUAGGGGUCUAGAGCUUCUCCAUGACGAUGCCUUCAAGAAGGGGACAAUACAGAAAAGGCCACCAUCACCGGCCUUGGCAAUGAGCCAAGAGCAGGGUUCACCCGGAUCCGCUCGAGGGACCUCCAUCCAGCCUCGUGUGCACAGGACCGCCAUCGAUCACCACCGUCGCGCAUGGAGCAGGCUGCACCAGGUAGAUCAGAUCUGACCAGAAGCCAGACCACACAUACAACAGAUCCAUCGACCAUGCCCUCCAUGCCGCCGGCCACUGUGCCGCAAGACCCGACCAGCCGUGCCUCCACACGCCGGGGUCGCACCCCAUCCCAAGUCAUGGGAGAUGAGAGACCCCCGCCACUGCCAUCUGCCCCCGGGCUUAGCCUGGCAGCGUCACGCGGCAGCAACGGGAGAAGGGGAGGGAGUAGAUCAGGGCUCGGUGGCGGCUAAGGUAGCGGCCUGCCCGAGUCGCCCGAUGCGGGAGAAACACGGGGGUCUGUCCGUCCGACCUUCAAUGCUCGAAAAUGGGGGCCUGGAGGCUCCUUUGGUCUAAAAAAAGAUGAUCAUUAGAUGACAUAGACAGGAUAAGUGUUACAGAAGAAGUACCUAAUAGUCAUCUGCGAUGUGGAUUUUGUCAGGAAGUAAUAUAUGUGCCCCUUCGGCCUUCAACAGAAAUAAGUUGCUUUCCUAACAUGGUAUUAGAGCCUAGCUUUAGGUCUUCAGAUGCCGCAACUUGUCCUUACGAUCCAAUUUUUGUACGCCUUUGUUCCCGAGAAACACUAGUAGGCGGUAUAAUGUUUGUUAUAGUAGUGCUUAACCCAACGACAUCUGUAGAGAUAAAGGAAAUCAUAAAAUGGCAGUCAACCUCAAGGAGCACUAAAAAUAGAGAAGAAGCAAAGAUAGAAGUCUGUAUAAAUUAACCUGACAUGAGGGCAUUAGUUCCAAUUCAUUUCUCAAGCUCUGUGAUAGGAAGUGCAUUGUAUGCAACCAUAAGAAUUUUGCUGAUGUAUGAGUAACUAAAGUUUCCACUGUCCUUUGGAUAUAUAUUUUUCUGAGAAAAAGCAAAAAAAAAAUGUGUUUCAUUUCAUUGAACAGGAAGAAGAGGUACAUGUACAACCUCCCAGCAGGAGGGACACACGUACACACACCACCGUCCUCACCAAAUGAGGAGGUGAGGAGGUGCCACCAACUACAAACAUCAACGGCGGAAGGUCUCACCUUGUCCAGCCUCCAACCAUGAAUGUCGAGUCAGCUAGACUCAGAGCGUUAAGGCCGCAUCACAGCCAUUGCCACGGGCCUCCAAAGAAGACCAUGGGUGUGUUUGGUUUGAGCCCCAACUAGCCCCACCAAAUAAUUGGUAUGACCAAUGUGUGGGCAUGACCAAAAUUUUGUUAGCUUGUUGAUGUUUGGUUUGUGGCCAUUGCCCCGUCCAAAAUUUUGGCAAAAUAAAUGUCUUGUUUGGAUUGCAACCAACUGCCAGUUUGGCCCAUUGUAACACUGCAAAUACUUAUACACAUAUUUGAUAGAAAAAUGCGAAGAUGCAAUCAACAAGGAUAAAAGUCGUCGUGAAAAAAAAACGCAAAAGGAAAGGUCAAACAUUUCUAUUGAAACGGGAUUGCAUGCAUCCUUAAGUGACGAGGCCCACUAUUAAUUACUCUGUAAUUAAGAGCCAUAUAACAAUCGGAACUACUCCUAGUAACAAACUGCAUGCAGAAUAAUAAAAUAAUCAUGGGACCCACAGAGGAAAGGAUGGGAAGUUAGGACGCCAAAAUUUUGGCGAACGUUUUUCUCGCCCUUGGCUCGCCCGCGAGUUGGUGAAUUACACAGGCGGGUGCCGGGCGCCUAGGGCGAGCCAAAAUUUUGGCUUCAGUCCAAACGACUCCCAAAAUUCAUGGGUCAGCCAAUUUAUUGGCAUGACAAGCAUUGGUUGUGAUUCAAACACACCCCACAUCUCCAGGGCUGCCCGGGCCAGCAUACCUUCCAUCCAUGUGCCUAGGAGAAUCGGCAGACGAAUGGCAGGACCCACCGGCGAAGCCAUCGUCUUGGACACGCCGGUACCGGCAUACAUUACAUACCAGACGCCACAUGCCCUAUGAUGCAGCCCACAUCACACCAAUGCAUCGCCAGCAAGCCUCGUCAGAAAGACUAGGGAGGCCACCAUAUCCAGCUGUUGCAUCGGGGACUCCAACUGCAACCGAAGAAGCGCCUUCAAGAAGUGGACGAUGCUGAGACACUGCCGNNNNNNNNNNNNNNNNNNNNNNNNNNNNNNNNNNNNNNNNNNNNNNNNNNNNNNNNNNNNNNNNNNNNNNNNNNNNNNNNNNNNNNNNNNNNNNNNNNNNNNNNNNNNNNNNNNNNNNNNNNNNNNNNNNNNNNNNNNNNNNNNNNNNNNNNNNNNNNNNNNNNNNNNNNNNNNNNNNNNNNNNNNNNNNNNNNNNNNNNNNNNNNNNNNNNNNNNNNNNNNNNNNNNNNNNNNNNNNNNNNNNNNNNNNNNNNNNNNNNNNNNNNNNNNNNNNNNNNNNNNNNNNNNNNNNNNNNNNNNNNNNNNNNNNNNNNNNNNNNNNNNNNNNNNNNNNNNNNNNNNNNNNNNNNNNNNNNNNNNNNNNNNNNNNNNNNNNNNNNNNNNNNNNNNNNNNNGCACCCUCAGUGUUGCCGUUGUCAGCACUGACCAUCGUCGCGCAGGGAUUUCGCCCCGACCCAAGACCACAGACCCCCCAAGACCACCGAAGCAAGGGCAGACAAGAGAUGCGAAAGAAGAUCGCCGGAGUGGACCACCAGCACUGUGAGGGAAGCCACAUAUCGUCACCAUCAAAGUAGGGGAGUACCGGCAACUUGGUGCAACAACCGCCGGAUGGUUGCCAAACCAGGCCGGCCACCGCAGGGGAACACGCUGAGCAGGGCUAGUGGCGUUGUCACAAGGAUCUGCUACCUGCACCUCCCCACAGUCGACCAUGGCCACCGCCGCAUCGGCCCGCAGCCUCCGCCGCCAGGAUCCGCCGGGGCAUAGCCAAGAAGCUACCGACACGCCCUCACAGGGUUGCGCCAUGCCACUCGGGUGCUCACAACGCCAGGUCCAGAGGCCCGCCCCUCUGGAUCUGCGGUCGUCGUCAUGAAACCCUAGGCCCGAAGAAGCUCUGCUCCGUCAGCCUCGUUGAGCCCCCACGCUUGAGGGGGGAAGCCGCUGGGGAGAAAGGUCCCGCUGCCACCGGGUCCGCCGGGCACGGCGGGGGGCGCCGGCGGCUGCAGGGGGGAAGGGGUGCUCGAGGGGGUGGCGUCGCCUCCUGAGUAGCCUGUGAGGAGGGCGACGCGCGCGCGGGGGAGGUGGAGGGCGGGUGUGGGUGGGGAGUUGGUAUAAAAAUAAUUUCUAAACGGAUGAUCCACGAAUAAAACAAAUCUAAAAUUUUGAACAAUGGAUGAUCCAUGGAUAAAACAAAUUCUAGAAUUUUGAACAUAAUAUAACCUAUGUAUUAUCAAACUUCACUCAAUGUCAGGUUAUACCAUUGCUGAACGACCUCAUCUUCUCUUUGCUAUAAUGAUUAAUUAGCACGUCGUAUACCUAGCUCCAAAAAGACUAUUGUUCUGCCAUCCUCCUCCAUCAUCACCACCAAUGCUCUGCUCCCUUCACCUCUGUUCACAUAAAGGAUGAUCGGGGUAAAUAGCAAAACAUGAUAAAUUGUAUUUUUUUUUCUCAGUUGAUUACUGAAAAAAUAUUUAAAGGUCAAGUUGUAUGUCCAUCAAUCAGAAAUAAAAAGAUGCGGAAUGAAGAAAGAAUAAAGGGUAAGAGAGGAGGUAAGCCGCAGUGCACCUGGAACGAUUAAAGUCAAUCCUAGGAGAGAGCAGCUUGUCGUUCGUUUUUGUGACCGGGAGCUUCCAUCCGGCCUGAUGCCGUGCGGUGCGGGCACGGUGAAUUCCCCUGCCCCGCCCUGAACCUCCGUGUGCGCAACCUCGAGUCGUAAAUGGCACUAUACUCGGAAGGGCACCUAGGGCGGUGAUGCUCCCCGGCGGCAAGGUUGACGCGAGGGAGAGGGCGCCGACGCGCCGCAUAACCUCACCUGCAUAACCUCCCAACCGAGCACCUUCGCCCCUGACAACGCCUCUAGGAAGGUCACGAUGCGCACGACGCCACCGCUGCCAAAUCCGAAGUGGAUUGAGGGUUUUCACCCAGGUAGGUAGUCGGGGUGGUGAGUUGGGGACCUCAACUGCGACCCCAUGGAGGAAAACAACGUCCUUGGGCAUCUCCACCGCCGGGCUGGCCCGACCAGCCAAGGUUUUCCCGGGGGGCCAAGCAGACCACGAGCACCCACCACCACUGGAGCCGGCAAAUGCGCGAGCCAAGGUAUGGUGAGAGAGAGGUAGCAGGAAAGAAGGGAUUUGAACCUCCAGAUCUGACGCAGAAGAACUCUGCAUCGCGGCCGGACUCCACAAUCGACCUGCCGCCCGUGCGACUGAGCACACUGGCUAGCCCUCCUCUCCCCGCCAUACAAAUGUCGCCUGCCGCACGACGAUGCCACCUCGCCGGCUGGGUCCUCCACCCAAGGAACCGCAUGCCUCCAAGAGUGGGCGGAGCGCCAAGAUCCCUGCCGCCACCUUCCCCAGCGCUCGCUUGGGCUUUCCUGGCUGCUGUGUCCUGUGGCGCCGAGGGAAGGAAGGGGGUGGAGGGGUGGCGGCGCCAUGGAAUCCUAGUCGCCCCCGAAUCGCUUGUGGGGCGACAUGAGGGCCUCAGGUCGUCUAGUUAGUUAGACUUGUUGUUGAUCCUGGGUGUCCUUAGAGCAUCUCCAAUAGCCGCGCAACGCGCGGCGCGCUAAAAAUUAGUUUGCCGCGCGCCCAUCGCUAGGUUUGGCGCGGGGCACAGCGCUGGCUCCAGUAGCCGCGCUAAAAUACAGCGCGUGCUAAAAUGCAGUGCACGCAAGUCCAUAUUUGUUGCAUUUUGGACACAAAAUAAAUUUCACAUAGAUAUUAAAAAAGGUACAAAUAUAUUUUACAUAGUUCAUAGCAUAGACGAUACAAAUAGGUAAAACAAGUUCAUAGCAUAGAUAGAUAAAACCGAACUACGGUACAACUACAUAAAAUUAAACUACGGUGCAACUAGGUAAAACUACGAUGCUGUUAGAACUACUCCGAGUCCUCAUCAUCAUCCUCAUCCUCGGAGGUGUUGUCCGAGGUAUCGAUCCAUAUGUCCUCCCAACGUUCAUCGUCUGACAUGAAGUUGGACCUCCCACCUGCUUCAACGAUAUCGCGCUGCGAUAUCGCCAAUGCCUUCCGCCGACGCCGGUCCACCCGCUCCGCGCAGCGCCUUGCCGUCCUCUCCGCCCAAUAGGCGCGCUCGUUGGCGACGUCCUCCGGGUGGCACCGGCGCCACUCCGCCAUGGCUCGCUCGUCCUCCUCGGCGACGAUGAGGCGGCGCUGCAGCCGAAUGUGGUCCGCACGGUCGUGGUCCGUGAUCAGACGAGGUGGAAGGGCAACGGCCUGCGCAUGUUCGCGCGUGUGGACUUCCCUGAAGUUCAUCUGCGACGGGGGCCUCUCUAGGCGCCACGCCGCCGCGUCGUACGCGCGGGCCGCCUCAUGCGCGGUCCAGAACGAGCCGAGGCCGAGCCGGACGUCGCCGUACUGGAUCUCGGCGGAGUACCAGCCAUUGGGGCGCUCGCGGACGCCGCGGUAGCCCGAAGAUCCCCGGCGGCGCGGCGGCAUGAUGGCGCGGUGGUGGGUGGCGGGGUGCUGGAAGCGGCGAGGUGGCGAGGGAAAGGGCGCGUGGCAGUAUGGUGGAGGGCGUGACGAGCGCCGCAUUUUAUACAAAUCUACCGCGCGAGCUGCCGCUAUCUCCCGCGCGCUCUAUCACUUCCAGCACGCGGUAGUUUCCCGUCCCCGUUGGAGCGCGCGCUAAAGCCCCCCGUUUACACCGCGCGCGCGUCCGUUGAAGAUGCUCUUACAACUUGUGUUUUAGGGGUGCCCAACGCUUCCACUAUGCAAGACACGGUUGGAAAACAGAGCCGCCCCUAAUUGAGUAACCAAUAUACAGAACUAGCGAUGUACUGACCCCAAGCCGAGCAGGACCAAACAAAGGAAUCUGGUGUAUUCUCAAUUAUCUGAAUCUCCGCGAUUCUUAAUGCUCUGAAUCUCUGCGAUUGCUCGCCAGUCUGUCAACUGUAGCUGUUCUGGCAUGGUGGGAAGCGCCGCAGUAUCUGUCACCCAUCUGUAGUUAAGUAGGCCCUGCUGAACCAUCCUGGAAGAGAUGAAACCUUGUUACGCAGGCCCGUCGAUCCACCUGUCCGUCCAAAACAGCACGUUGGCCCCAUCGCCAACCUUGAUUUGCACCAGGGUUACAGGAAUCUUGAUGGAAUACACGAGCCAUAAAUCGUCUCUCUGAGCCCAACUGAUGCCAGCAUGCUAAAUGUUCUCAAGACCUCAAUCGCAUAUAUCAUCCAUGAAAUACUGCAGCCAGCCAUCUGCUAGGAAAAGCACAUAUGCCAGCAGAUUUUUUUGUUUUAUAAAAGCUGCAUAACACUUAGAACUUGAAGAAGUGCGUGCAAAUGUCAUAGAGACUGCUUCUACAUACUGGAGCACAUAAUACAUACACAUAUCGUCAUAGAAGGCAACUAAAUUAGCAUAGAGGUGAUGAACCCAUUUUUUUUCAUGCGACAUGCUGACAGCGGUCAUUCAUCUGUAACUUCAACUUGACCCUCCAGAAGCUCAGCAUUCAUCUUCAGGAAACCAGUACCAUGUCGUCAAACGAUCAAGGGAACCAACCACAACAGCAGCACAGACAACCCUCACUGUAGUCUUACGGGCCCUUUCCACAACUUGCUCGUGCCUUUUGUGAAAGUGGCUUAAAAAUGAAUAAAGAAACAACACGAGAUAACUUUUUAUUUAACAUCCUGGACUACUUAAUUAAACAUCAUGCAUGCCAGCUGAAUCAAAAUAGAAUAAUCCGCAAAGCGUUAUUUACCUGAUGGUUUGUUCAGCUUCCCAACAAUGUUUAGCUAACAAGUCUGCACUGGAGUUAAGAUCAGCGGCUUUAGCAGAUUCAAUAUUGUUUUUCAAAAGAAGAGCAUUUUCAAGCUCGUCCUGCAAAAUAUAAAGCAGAACAAAACAAGGCUGAGGCAAAACUAUAUAUUAAAGGAGAUACAUCUAAAUCUGAAAAGGAUUAGUUUGGAUAAGUUCCAAGGACGCUAAUAUUCCAACUCUGGAUAGAGCACUGAGCAUACAACACCCCAAUAUUAGAUGUGUGCCAAACAAACAACAAUUCCAUUGUGAAAGACGAGAUAACUAGGGAUGUGGCCACCAUAACUUGCCAACCCAAGUUAGCUAACUUUAACCUCGUCGGACCUCAUCGGUCUCUUUAUGUUGUCUCCUUAUGUAGAGCCCAUAUCUCAUCGUUGUCAAAUCAGAUGAGCUAACAACUUGCAAUGUUGCACUGAAUCAUGACGCCAAUUCAGUUCAAAUACCUAAUAUGCACCAAACUAGCUAGUUCAACAAGUCACCUUUACAUUGUUCUGAUUUGAAUCCAAAUAUUUAUCUAGUCCCUUUGAUUCAUAUUAGGUGUUGUGGUUUUAGUUCCAAAACGAGAAACAUUUUCAUGGCAAUAAAAUGGUUGUCAAGUUAGAACGAUAUUUAAUAGCCACAUUUCACGAAAAGAAUAUCACUUAGUAAUAAAGUAAAUUAACAACUCACAUAUGUAUCGACGUGCAACUCGUAACAGCCAGUGUCACAUGAAAACCAUGUGUAUGCAAAGGCAAAGACAACUUAUUCAGAUAAACAAGCGCUAAUAUGCAAAGAAUGCAAGCCGAAAGGAUCGACCACAAUGGGAGAUACAUCGGCGGAGGAUUAAAAGAACAUAAUCCUACAAGUACCUCGCACAAAGUAUUAGAAAUUGCUGCAUAACAAAAGCAGAAGCAACAUGAUCGAACAUCAACAGGACCUAAAUUUGCAAGGGCGAAAGUUUUGAUCUCCGUCGGUUGAAUGAUCCAGAUACGAAGUUGCGGGAUCGAAGAGACUACCGACCGAUUGAUUGGUCAACGGUGUCCUUAUUCCGACGAUGGAUGUCUGGCGCUGCAUACUCCGACGAUGGACUAGUAAUUCACUUGAGUUGGGUGUGGGAGACGGACGUGACAAACCUUUGGAAACCGAUGGGCAGCAGCCCUGGGGUUCCGGAACUUGGUCGCCAGCCUGCGUAGCGCCGCUGCCGCCAUAGUUCAUGCGGCGAGAUCGACCUCGAACAGGACGUGGCUAGUGUUUGGGAUUGGGAUUGGCUUCCUCUUUCCCUUGCGUCUCCUCAGCCUUGCCAAAAGAGAGAGAGAAAGAGACCAAUCCCAAACACGUACUAUGAUGCUCGUGUUCCAUCCAGACAUCCCGUACGUACGAGAACGGGACGUGCAAAAAGAGACCAAAUUAAGAGGAAACCGAAGGCAAGCCAAUCCCAAACCCUGGCCUCGUCCUCGAUCGGUCUCGCCCACCCUGCCUCACCAAGUAACCAUGGCGCUACGCAGCCUGGCUACCAAGAUGCGAAUCCCCGCUACAGCCGCUUCCCGGCUCACGCCGGCCCCUCGCGUUUCGCCGACGUCCGGUUCUCGGCCCCUCCCUCACACCUCCUCCUCCUGGGCCUCCUCCUCCAUCAAGGUAUGCUCUUUCUCUCCUUCUCAAGGCGCUCGCUCGCUCAAGCAAAUCACUGGUUGGAGUACGUAGUGCUAGAGCUUCCGUCUGUAUGCCUGCAAAACGACCAAUAGAUCGGUAAUCUCUUAGAACAUCUCCAACAGGCGCACUUUUUUUUUGCGGGAUCCAACCGGCGCACUUCGCCUAGUAUAAUUCUUUUACAACGCCAAAACAAUCUUUUUGCACGUGGGAGCGACGAAGAGGUUUUACAGAUGCAUGAAAACACGGCUCCCAAUCCGGCGGCCCCACCUGCAGCGAGCGGGCGCACCAAAUACCCAGCACGCGAUACAGUUUUCCCCAGCGGGGUUAUAGCGCGGCUGCUGGAGCGCUACUUUCGGUCGCGCGCACGCUAAUAUAGCCAUUUUAUCCGGUGCGCGGCUUGUUUAACGCAUGUGUUGGAGAUGCUCUUAGGCAACACUGAAUCUACUAUGUCCUUCGCCGAGACCAAAAGUUUUGCCCCCCGCAUAUUCAAGAGUAAUGGUUUCGAGAGCUUAUAGCACCGCAAAUACUCUUAAUUUUCUGAUAUUUCGGUGCCCCUAUAUCCUACUACAUGACAUGUAAGGAUAACAAAGCUAAAUCUUUGCACCGGGUAUUUCCUUCUCAUCUUCUUUUACUAUGUUACUAAAUUGUAGCAUGCUAGAGACUGGUACCUGAUUCAGCGAGCACGUUAUGACGAUGUGACAAGAGAAUUAACAGACUUCAGGUAUAAGCUUCAAACUACUUUCAUCAUAUAAUUACAAAAAGAUUUUAUAUGAUGUAAUGCCUUAAUUUCCUUUUCUUUUUCUUUUUUUCAGGCGUGAGGUUGUGUGGACUGGAAGGCUAGCUAAACUCCUUGAUGUGACAUACAUACUGGGUAUUUCCUUCUCGGGUGCUCCUUCGGUCAUAAAAGGGUAUAUCAUUUGGAAAAUGUGGGCAGGUAAUGACCAUCCACUGGUCAUAAAAGGGUAUGUCAUUCGGAAAAUGUGAGGGAGUAAUGGCCAUCCACUGCUUCGUUUAUUAGCUAAUGCAUGUGCACUCUCGUAGUAAGCACUCUCUCUGUGGUAACUGCCUGCUUGCAAGGCGACAUAGCCAUGUGUGACUAACGGUUUGUUGCGUAUUCUUGACCCGUAUUGCGUCAUGGGAUUAUGGCUUUAUGUAGAUUUGUGUAGGCAUGCUUGUUUGCUGUCUGGUUUGUUGCCCUUGUUGUUGGUUUGGUGAAGCGAGUUCCGUUUGCCGUUAACUUAUGUUUGUGCCUUUGGAUCCACUAUGGUAUUAGUUUUCUCGAGAAUCGAGAUACACUGGACUGCUAUGCGCAGCACAAAGCUAUUAGCGAAAUGAUACAGGUUAAGUUAAUCAACCUUACGACAUACACCUAACUCCUAAGAAGCAACUAGACCUGAUAGUCUCCAACUUACCAUGCUCAAGUUUGAGAAUUUGUAAUUCGAAGUUCCAAUUUUCUUAAAAACUACUCAUGAAUGCAUUCAAGCUCCAGUUUACCGCCUGCGGGCUACCCCGACACUUAUAGCAUAUCAAAGAUAGUAGAAAAGAAGUUGNNNNNNNNNNNNNNNNNNNNNNNNNNNNNNNNNNNNNNNNNNNNNNNNNNNNNNNNNNNNNNNNNNNNNNNNNNNNNNNNNNNNNNNNNNNNNNNNNNNNNNNNNNNNNNNNNNNNNNNNNNNNNNNNNNNNNNNNNNNNNNNNNNNNNNNNNNNNNNNNNNNNNNNNNNNNNNNNNNNNNNNNNNNNNNNNNNNNNNNNNNNNNNUGACUUCUGCGUAGGCGGCCGCGGAGAUGACCGUACACGCCCACACCGGAAGCAGUCAGAGCAAAGUGCACACUUGAGAUCUUCCACCACACGUACACAGCCGCCCUCUCGACGCCCCGCCAUGUCCAAGAACGAUAUAUAACAAGAAUACAAAUGAAAAUUAACUCAACCAGGACAAGUUAUUUAUAAUCUGUGGUCUAAGGAAGACUAUAUAUAUACGGAAAAAUAAUAAUUUUAUCUUAAUUAAGUUGGUCAUUAUGCUCAUAUAUAGAACGACUAAUAUUUUCUAAAGGAAGCAGAAUUUUUUUUGAGGCUUGACUAGGAAGCAGAAUUAAUCUUGCAAUUGAUGACAAUAUCUAAACUUUGGGUCCACCAGUGGCCAGUUGCUCGCUCAUCUAAACUUUGGGUCCACGUCGGCUUCUGAUCGAUUCGGCCCGAUCUUGCCAACGUGAACAGAACUUGUACCAAUCUGAUCGAUCCAAUCUCUCAGCAGACUCUCUGGUGGCGCAUCCAAGUCCCUCCACUGAUCCAAUCUGAUCGCUCCUCAGUCCCUUCACCGGCGCCGCCUCAUUCAUCACGGACUGGUGCCCUGCUUCUCCCCCUGUUUCCUCUCUCCUCUGUUAGAUAAUAACGAGAUAAAACGAGACAAAGAGACACGUAUUUUUACGUGGAAACCCUUGCGGGAGAAAACCAUGGAACGCACGGCGGCGUAUCACUAUAAUUGGGAGGAGUAUUACAUUACAUGAGAGGACAAACCCUCUACGUGCUAAUCUGGUGGAGAUCUCUCUCAUCUAUUCUAUGACUAGCUGGUACAAUAUAAAGGGGCAAACAACUCUCUUUCUUGGUGGACACGAAACAGAGUUGUAGUCAUGCUACGUCUAGCACGGUUGGCAAGCCGUAGUCCGGUAGGACUCCAUCCGUAGUACAAUACUUGUAUGGCAUUCGGAACACAAUAAAAAUAACACUCCACCUUGAGACGAAAUCCCUUACAAUAAUCAUAGAUAGCAUCAACUCCUCAAUUAAAGUCAUCACAAGUAAACCUUGAUAAACUUCUCAUGAAGUCAUAUUGAGCAAAUCAAUCAGUAGGUCGUCCAGAAAACAGCACAACUAUCAACAAAGCCGACUAACAAAACUUGGUCUCCCAAUAAAAGUCUGAGUCUGUGCCAAUGACGUCAAAAAACUGAAACUGCUCAAUCAUCAAAUGACAUAAGUCAUCAUAUCUCCUGUGGUACCUGAACGAGCGCAUAGCUCAUAGUGCGACAUCUUGGUGCACAUCGCAUUGUGAAGAACUCAUCUCACGGAAUCUGAACGUGCUUCAAAACAGAAAGCACAAACCUCGGCAAACAAUACUCAAGCAAGAGGGUACGGAUGGCAUCGCGUGCAUCCAAAAAACUGCCGAUUUGUAGUGGUUAAUGAAAAUCCAUGACAUGGUCAUAAACUGUCUUUGUAGAACAACUGUCGGAUGAAGGAACCAUCAUAACAUGCAACGGAAUUUCAACUCUGCAAUAGACCCCUCUUAAAAGAGCAAAGACAACCGAAUUGCACUUAAAACUUAACAGCGCUUAAUGUUGUAGUAUCUAGCAGAAACAAAUCAAUCUCCUUCUUGCACCUCAACCGAUUCUCAUCACGAACAUGAAUAUCAAAACAAAACCUUCACAUGCAUAAUAGCAAAAUACUAUGGAGAGAAUAGAGUAUAUGCUGGCUACCAACAGGCUUAAUAAUUACCUCCUCCAUACUAUUUUUUUCUUGAUAACUCAGUUGUGUUCUUCAAAUAACUGCAGCAAUAUUGCAUCCAUUAUCCCGACGGACCAUAUCCCCAAAACUCCAUCUUGAAAAAAAAUACUGAGUGCAUCCUGAUAAUCGGCUUGUGCCAACAACGCUCACAUCUCGACUUGCCAUAGGGUAAACUUUGUGUCAUGAUCCAACAACGAAAAGGUAAUAAAUCAAUGAACACAAGUAGUACAAGCCGAAGAAAAAUUCCUGACAGAAUUUAAUUUGCGGAGCAAAGAAUAGAGUAAAUAGCUUCUGAUAGUAUUAGAUAGUGGACGUAGUAGAUGAACGAAGAACAAAACUAGCAGUACUAGCCUCACGUAGAGUAGUACUAGUAGCAGAUUAGAUCAAAUCAGGUUUGCACCUCGAGACUUGAGCGAAACAGCAGCAGCUACUCGGCGAUGUUGUACGUGGAGCAGCGGAACUCGGUGGAACGGCCAACUGAUUUGAACGCUGCGUACUCAGGGCUUCAAGCGUAUAUACGCAGCAGCGGCAACCUGCGGAUUGAUAUGACGCGGCGUAUGGCCGCUCGGCGGCGGAAACUUGUGUCCUUCUCGAUGAACUGCUCGGAUAGGAAAUUGAUCAAUGGCAGAAUACCUGUCGGUCUUGGCUGCUUGCGGCUGUAGCGGCCUGUACAGCAGCCCGCACCGGAAACAGUCUCCGAUCCGGAGAUCGCAGGACGGCUGCGGCGCGUACAGCCGAACCCUGAUCUCUCGUCUCUAAUCUCGUAUCUGAAACUUGGCUCUGUAUACCACUUGUUAGAUAAUAACGAGUUAAAACGAGACACGAGAGACACAGAUUUUUACGUGGAAACCCUUGCGGGAGAAAACCACGGAACGCACGACGGCGUAUCACUAUAAUUAGGAGGAGUAUUACAUUACACGAGAGGACAAACCCUCUACGUGCUAAUCUGGUGGAGAUCUCUCUUUCUAUUCUAUGACUAGCUGGUACUAUAUAAAGGGGCAAACAACUCUCUUUCUUGGUGGACACGAAACAGAGUUGUAGUCAUGCUACCUCUAGUACGGUUGGCAUGCCGUAGUCCGGUAGGACUCCAUCCGUAGUACAAUACUUGUAUGGGAUUCGGAACACAAUAAAAAUAACAUCCUGACAUGUGCCCCGGCGGCCCCCAUGAUGCUCUGCUCAUGGCGUAAUCUGUACCGCGUUUCACGAAAAAAGGGUUUCCCCCGCUUUAUAUUAUAUAAAGCAUACCACCAAGCAUCCAACAACAACGAGUACAAGUUCAACCAAAAUGAAGUAGGUCCGGCUGGGGGCACAGCCAAAACAAGCCCCAAACACAAGAAAGAAGCGACUCUAAUCAGGCUCCUGCGGUGGUGGCGGAGACGGUGGGGACAUAGCGGCAGCCGAAGAGCGAAGACCUGCGAUGAUGGAGUCGAUGAAGCCACGGUCGCGCCGUUUGCGGGUGAGUUUAUGCGUUGUGGAGACUGUCUUGGCCCUCUACUUAUUAGACCAAAGUUGAGUUUUGGGCAUCUGAAUCUUAUUCGACCAAAAACAUACUAUUACAAGUUAGAUUUUUAUUAAACCCCUCCACCCCCGCCCCCUCACCUCCCCACCACCGUAAUCCAGGGAUAUUUGGAACUGAUACUGUUUUUCUAGUAGUGUUGAAUUUGUCGGCUGUAGAAUUGAAAUUUCCAUUGCUCUAGAGUUAGAACCGAUGGAGGACUAUAUUUGGAUGUCUGUCUUGCAUAUAACAGAUGCAUGCUAGCAUGUACUUAUCUUAUUUGAGUCGGACACUAAUUAAUAUUGCUCUUUGGUGAUAGAUCUCUUCAUGGACCCUUCUUGAUGGCAAGGAACAUUGCACUAUGUCAUGGCCAAACGAAUAGUCCCAGCCACCUCCCUUGUGGCACUUCUCUUUUCUGCACCUUGGGCGAGCAAUUUGACAUCACCAAAGGGGAAGACAGAGCAGAAUGACGAAGGAAACCAAGGGGGUCGAUAUAAGCUCAGCCGACAUUGUCCGUAAUAGCAGCCAUCGUAACGGGUCAGCGCUUUGUUCUCCGAAAGCUACGUAGAGCUACUAACCAUAAUGAGAGUAAGUGACACAAAUCUUUUUCCUGUCUUGGUCAAGUUAGUUGUUAUUUUUGGAUAUUUGAGAAGUAAUUUGAUUCAUCACUUAAAACUUUCGGGCUAAAUGUUUAAUUAUUAUUUUGGUUUGAAGUAUGCAAUGUGUAUUUUGACAGUUCUCUACUGAAUUCUUAAGCAAAAAGUUGAACUACAUGUAGUAUCUUUUAUCUAAGAAAAUGUCGAGGUAGGAAUUUGGUGACAGGUAAUGCAUGGUUAGAAUCUUGAGUUUUGGACACUAUGAAUUCCAGCUUUGUUCGGUUAAUGAAGUCCACCAUGUGAUUCUUUAAUAGAGGUGGUCUACACUUUACUCAUGAUUUAGGGCCUGUUGGGAGUCCCUCCGGCCUGCAACUCCGCUUAGGAGCAGAGUGAAAUAUAGUUAUAAUUUGGGGAGCGGCUAGAACAACACUCCCCGUGCUCUGCUCCGUAGUGAAUGAACCGAGGGUUGCCGAAUAGGGUCUUAGUAGCCCGGGCAGCUCCACGAAGAUGGAUGUGACAUUGAACUACCUGUUAAAAGAGUAGGGCUGUAGUUGUGUAACGUGACAAUGUGUCGCGUGUGUAUCCAUGUAAAUUCUGGCGCAGGUUGUUGGCUAGGAUAUCCUCUAUCCCGUGUAUAGCUUGGAUAGGAGUAGAGGACAAGUUGAUAACUGACCAACUACCUGCACAUAUCUUGUAAUCUCUCUGCCUAUAUUAACACGAAGGCGUCCCUGCCAAGAGGCAUCAUGCUUAACGCAGCCAACCCUAGUUUUUACAUGGUCAUCAGAGCACUUCUCGAGAUCAUCCAUGGCGACACCUUCAAACUCCUUCCCAUCCUAGUUCAUAACGGUGGUGACCGUGGCUGCCUCUACAUCAAGUCUAGCGGUCGCGGUGGGCAAGGAGGAGGUGGCCACUACAACAACAAUGGUGGUGGCGUUAACUACAACAACAAUGCCCCUGCACCUAGGAUCCAGUGCCAGAUCUGUGGCAAACUGGGCCAUCCAACGUGGAAGUGCUGGAAACGCUAUGAUGAAGCCUGCCAAGGAGGAGAAGAGAGAAAGGCAAACCUUGCAACACCUUAGUACGGGGUGGAAACCAGCUGGUACCUUGACAGCGGUGCCACCAAUCACAUCAUAGGAGACCUUGAGAAGCUGACCGUCCGCGACCGCUAUACUGGAAACGAGCAAAUCCACACUGCUAGUGGGUCAGGUAUGGCUAUAGAACAUAUUGGUCACUCAGCUAUUCGUACCCCUAAUCGUGAUCUUUACCUAAAUAACAUCCUUCAUGUUCCAGAAGCUAGCAAGAGCUCAAUCUCUGCUAGUCGCCUUGCUCUUGACAAUGAUACGUUUGUUGAAAUUCAUCAUCAUUCUUUUUUUGUUAAGGAACGGGGAACGAGGAAGGUACUCCUUCGAGGCAGGGGUAGAUGUGGUAUCUAUCCCGUCAAUCACAAGGGAUCCAACAUCCAGAACUAGGUGCUCAGUGCCACCAAAAUAUCUUCGGAUAGAUGGCACUGACGUUUAGGUCAUCCAUCUCCUCUCAUUGUUAGGAGAGUUCUUAGUCAAAAUAAACUCCCUUGUGCUAGUUUUUCCAAUAAUGAGUCUGUAUGUGACGCCUGUCAAAAGGGUAAAAGUCACCGUUAACUUAUCCAAAGUCAAUAAGUGAAUCCAAGUUUCCUUUAGAACUUAAUUUUCUCUGAUGUUUGGGGCCCUGCUGUUGAAACAGUAGGUAGAAAAAAAUACUAUGUGAGUUUCAUCGAUGAUUUCAGUAAAUUCACUUGGAUCUAUUUGAUCAAACACAAGUCUGAAGUUUUUCAAGAAUUUCAUGACUUUCAGCACCUUGUUGAACGACAAUUUAAUUGCAAAAUUCUUGCUCUUCAGACGGAUUGGGGAGGGGAGUAUUAAAAACUCAACUCCUUCUUCACUAAGAUAGGAAUAUCUCAUCAUGUUUCUUGUCCCCAUGCGCAUCAGCAGAAAGAAAACAUCGACAUAUCGUCGAAGUAGGCCUCUUCUUGCCCAAGCCUCAAUGCCCUUAAAGUUUUGGGAUGAAGCGUUUAUUGCUGCUACUUAUUUGAUCAAUCGCCUCUCUAGCAAAGUUAUCAAGUUUGAAACUCCCCUUGAGCGAUUGUUCCAUGAAAAGCCCAAUUAUUCCUCACUUAGAAUUUUUGGGUGUGCUUGUUGGCCUAACCUCCGACCCUAUAACAAGCACAAACUUCAAUUCCGUUCCAAGCAAUGCAUCUUUCUUGGAUAUAGCAAUCUUCACAAAGGUUUUAAAUGCCUUGAUAUUCCAACAUGAUGAGUGUAUAUCUCCAGGGAUGUUGUUUUUGAUGAAAACGUUUCCCAUUCUUCUCACUUCACCCAAAUACCGGUGCACGUCUUCGGGCAGAAAUUCUCCUUUGAAAUCCGGAGUUAUUGAAUCCAACCGAUCAUGGGGACGAACAUUAUGCUGAUGAUCAUUUGUUACAUAGCCCUACUUCUGAUGGAGAUGACAGUGAAAAAAACUGCACUCCAAAUGCUUGUGAUUUUAUGCAGCAGCAGCAAGAAACACCUGGCAGCGGACACGAGGCAGAUUCGCCUGGUCGCGCUGAUACUGGAGCUGACGCGGGAAUGGAUCCCCAGGCGGAUCCUCUGAUGCUGCCCCCGCCAGGGUCCGGGGACAUCCACUCCUCGGGUGACGCCUGCCACGGGUCACCAGGAUGGUCGGGUGGGCCGGACCGUUCUCUGUCUCCGCGCACCGGCUGUCACGAGGCGGCUGGAUGCGAACCCAGUCGCGUGUCCCCCACUACGCGGCGUAAUGACGGCGGGCGCGAUCUCAUGACGGCCCUCAGUCACAUGGCGAUAGCCGACUUGCCAGGGUCGGCCUCUCCUGGUCCAUGGGUGCGCGAUCCAACAUCGUCCGUGCGUGCGGCAGACGAGGUCGAUUCUGCUGUGGCGGGAUCGGGAUCUUCUGUGGCCACCGAACCUGUGCGCUCCGGAACAUCUUCUCGGAUGACUACACGAGCACAGAAAGGUAUUUUAAAACCUACGGUUUACAAGGAUGGAACGUUCAGGUAUGACAAGAACUUUAAAUUUGCAAAUUUUGCUGCUACUGGUGAGCCUCAAAAUCUAACCGAAGCUCUAGGUAAUGAUAAUUGAAAAAAUGCCAUAAAUGUAGAGUAUGGUGCACUUAUGAAAAACCAAACUUGGCGUUUGGUUCCUCCUAGGUGAGAGAGGAACAUCAUUGAUUGUAAAUGGGUAUACAAAAUUAAAAAAAGACAUGAUGGCACAAUAGAUAGGUAUAAGGCUAGACUAGUAGCUAAGGGCUUUAAACAACGUUAUGGCAUUGAUUAUGAGGACACCUUUAGUCCAGUAGUUAAAGUUGCUACUAUUAGGCUUGUUCUAUCUAUUGCUGUUUUCAGGGGAUGGAGUCUUCGCCAAUUGGAUGUUCAGAAUGCGUCCUUUCAUGGCGUUCUCGAGGAGGAGGUCUAUAUGAGACAACCACCUGGGUUUGAAAAUGGUUCAAAGCCACAUCAUGUGUGCAAGUUGGACAAGGCCUUAUAUGGUCUAAAGCAGGCACCUAGAGCUUGGUAUUCAAGAUUGAGUGCAAAACUUCAGCAACUUGGUUUCAAGCCUUCAAGGGGAGACACUUCUCUCUUCUUCUUCAGGAAAGGGAAAGUGAUUAUAUUUAUGUUAAUUUAUGUUGAUGACAUAAUUGUUGCCAGCUCCUCACAAGAGGCUACCUUAGCAUUGCUAACAAAUCUGAAAAAUGAGUUUGCUCCUAAAGAUCUAGGAGAUUUACAUUACUUCCUAGGCAUUAAAGUUAAAAAAAUUGCAUGACGGUAUUAUGCUAACUCAGGAAAAAUAUGCCAAAGAUGUAAUCAAACGUUUAUGUAUGAAGGACUGCAAACCCUCCAGUACACCAAUGUCUACCACUGACAAGUUGUCAUUAUAUGAAGGAGAAUUACUGAGCCCAGAAGAAGGAACCAAGUACAGAAGCAUAGUUGGUGCUCUUUAGUACUUGACACUAACAAGACCUAAUAUAUCCUUUGCUGUUAAUAAAGUCUGUCAAUUCUUACAUGCUCCUACCUCUAUACAUUGGACAGUUGUAAAGAGGAUAUUGAGGUAUCUCCAAGGGAGUGCCAACACAGGGCUAAAAUUGUGUAAGUCUCCUUCAACCACAGUGAGUGCAUUUUCUGAUGCAGAUUGGGUUGGAUGCCCUGAUGACAGGAGGUACACGGGAGGAUUUGCAAUCUUUCUUGGGUCAAAUCUUAUAUCCUGGAGUGCAAAGAAACAGACUACGAUAUCACGCUCUAGCACUGAAGCAGAAUAUAAAUCUCUGGCAAAUGCAACAACUGAGGUAAUGUGGAUUGAAACUUUGCUUGAUGAACUAGGCAUUGGAAGAACAUGUGUGUCAUGCUUAUGAUGUGAUAAUCUUGGAGCAACAUAUCUGUCUGCAAACCCAGUAUUUCAUGCAAGAACGAAACACAUAGAGAUUGAUUAUCAUUUUGUACGAGAAAGAGUUGCACAAAAGUUGCUAGAUAUACAGUUCAUUCCAACAGGAUAUCAGGUUGCUGACGGGUUCACAAAACCGUUACAAGUGAAGCAACACUACAAGAAAUACGGUCAAUUAUGACUCCCCAUUUUGGUCGUUGAUUCGUCAUAUUUAUCGAUUGUUGACCUUUUUUGACCAAAUUCAGAAGGUCAACAGUUGGCCGUCAAGAACGAACAAACUUGACCUUUUUGGAAUUUUUGUCAUAGCUAGACCAACGACCAAAAUUUCAGAAAGGUCAUUACCCAUUUUCCUGAGCCACGUAGGAUCUGACGUGGCAGAGCUGACGUGGCAUUGUUAGUGACCAAAUGGAAUCAUCAUAAAUUUCAUAGCCCAGUCCACCAAUCUAGCCUACAUGGGCCUGGCCCAAUCAACAUAAAUUUCAUAGCCCAAUCCACCAAUCUAGCCGAGAUGGGCCCAACCCAAUACCUAUUUUAUUAAUUGAAUUGGUUUGAUUUAUUUGGGCUGAUGCAUUAUUUUGUCAAAAGCAUGCACAUUUAAGGAUAGGCCCAUUAGAAAACAAAUACAACAUAAUACAAUAUUUCAUAUAUUUCAUUUCAGCAACACAUCACAUGAAAUACAAUGCAUCAUCAAUUGACUCCUCUACACAGCAAGGUUCAAGGCCCAACAAGUGCACAAGCGCACAUCCACAUAAAUUGGACCAGAAGCACAAAUUUUAGCUGAUCACACAUAACAUCAAUGAGAAGCACGAAUAUCAUGUACCAUCACUAGUACACAUACUUUGUCCCAUCACCCAAGCACCAAUGUUGUGUCAAUCUACUGGAUUUGCCACAUGGUGAUGUUACUGCAUUAGGGUUGUCCCAGCUUCUCCCUGCCAUCUGCUGAUCGAUGUACUGCUCCAGCAUGACCUCCCGCUACCACUGGUGGAAAAAGAUUAGCUCAUCAGUCAUCUGCACGCGAACAAACAAAGAAGAUUAACCUAUUUAGCCUACUGUAAUUUGUUUCUAAACAUGGGCGUCAAAUCAACGCCAACACUGAAUUAAAAUGCACAAAAGAAUGGACCAUAGCCAUAUGUACAGCCUAAGAACUUCAGGUUUGAGCCAUUCUCGAUACUACACUAAAUACAUAACAGCCAAAAUUUCGAUGCAUGGACACCAGAUGAUAGAAAAGGUACUAAGGCACUACUUGCUACUGAAAACCAAAGCAAGGUAUGAAGCACAGCCAGGACAACAAUAAACUGGUACCAAAUCCAGAAAUAACCAUCUGAUGCAAUAUAACACUAGUUUCACUUUAGCAUAUGUGCCUAAUUAUGCAGGUAUGUAGGAUGACAUCAAGAAAAAAUGGAACUACAGGGGAAUGGAGGAUGGAGAGGGACAAGGAGGUGCUACCUGCAUGAAGGCAUUGGCGGCUCCAAAGAUGGCGUCAAAGUGUUCCACGGGCUGGGCGUAGAGGGGAGGGUCGCUGGUGGAAGAAGUGGCAUUCGUGCACCCUACACAAGAGACAAUAUGAGUUACAUUACAGCUUAUGACCAAAGAAGUUACAAGAAUAUGAGAUUGUGUCUGCAAGAUAGAUGUACAGAGUGAUGAAUCAACAUUGUCAAAGCAAUUUUUACUUUCAUCAUCUAUCCAAUGUGAAAAGAUACAACUUGCAAGUGAUCAAGGUUGGUACCUCAGGAAAAAGCUCCACAAGAUGCCCCAUGUAAGAAACAAUCUUGAUCCUAUUUGUGGAAGAGUGGCAGAGACCGAAGACCUCACCAACCCUACAAGCCCGUGAAGAAUCUGCACCACCACCACAAGCAGCAGCAUCAUCAUCAGCGCUAGGGCCAGGCAAACACAAGAUUGUCAGUACCUCUCAAACUCAGAACAAGACUCAGAAAGAACCAGGACACCAUAGUAAAUUCAGAACAAAAUUGUAAUAAGGACAGAAAUAACAAUGGAGUCAAAUCAUCAUCACGAUGGUUCACAAGUCCCUUUUAGCGGUACUCUGUUGGUUUGCGGUUCUACAUUCAGACUGUGUUUAGCUUCAACUCCAUUUUGUAUCUGCCUUAACUCAGUUCACAACAGUAAUCCUACUUGAUCGAUAUGUCCAACCCCCACUUUAAAAAGAAGCUAAAUGUGACUACAUAGUUUGACCAAAAUUUAUGUUUUCAGCAAGUAGAAUUCUGAAGCUAAGAGUCAAAGAGGUGGGAGAGGGGGGGAAGAAGAGAAGAGAAGAUAAGCGGACCUCCAUGACGACGGCGGUCUGCGCGAGCUGCAACGGGCGCUCGACGGCAGCGUAGACACCCUCAUGGCCGCCCCCCAGCAGCGUCAUCACCGCGUAGCACAGCACCUGCGCCCUGCCAACCAAAGAGAUCCGAACUGGUCAGACGAAGCAAGAAACCAGAGAUCCAUCCAUCCAAGGAAAGGAGAGCGGGCAUGGGAAGGGGCGCACCAUCCGUAGAAGAUGACCCAGUUGUAGAUGGAGAGGUAGAGCCGCCGACCCGACGCCGGCCACUCUAGACUGGUUGUUCAUUUCAGCAGCUUCCUUCUCGAACCUCUCGAUCACACGCUUGUCAAUACCUCCAAGCUUGUAGAUCAGAUGGCCAGUGGUGGUCGACUUGCCAGAGUCGACAUGGCCAAUGACCACGAUGUUGAUGUGAGUCUUCUCCUUACCCAUGGCUGAAGCUAGGAAACAGAAACAUCAAGGUAAGCAGGUGUUAGAAACAACAGAUCCAAGUGAACAAGUGUCAACAAAGUAAUAUCCUAUCUAUUUGUGAGGUUAACAUAUGAAACAACCAUACAGAGAAGUAUGCGUUUAACGAGAUGGAAUUACACUUGAAGCAAUCAGAUUGCGGUAAUUACGCUAACAACAAACAAAUCUAACCAAUUCACCAUACAAGUACAUGAUGAAGUUCAUGCUGUGAACUCUCAUAGAGAACUCAUAGAUCCUACAGAACCAGAAGUACUACACGAAUCCAUCCAACAACACAUGCAACAAAGCACGAACAUGAUUCAGGAACAUCUUGCAAGACCGAAUCGGUAACAGAAACAGUUAAAACCUACAGAUCAAGGCCACGGCAUGAGCUGACAGGCAGUCAUCAAAAUUAUAGAUGAAAAAAGGCAUGCAUCCGCGUGCCCCAACGCACGAGCCCCAGUGCACGAGCCAUGGAAACCAAACGCGUCACAACUGCGCACGAGCCACAACUCAACACAUGCCCCAGCGCACGAGCUACUCCCUUGGAAACCAAACGCAUCAGCGAAGGGAAUGGAAGGGAUGGGGAGAAGAUGGGCGAGAUAGUGGCUACCUUGACGUGGGAGCAGCUGCGCUGUGGCGUCUCUAGCACUCCCAUGGCGUCCAAGCAGAAGCAGACGGAGGAAGGAAGGACCCCGCCUUGAUCUGGACCCUGUGCCGGCGCGCUCUGCCUCCUCCGUUGGGUGUAGUCGUAGCAGGAUCUCGCGGGUGGCCGCCACCGCGGGCCGCAGCACCGGCGGGAUGGUCGGGGGCCGCGAACGCAGUGCCAUCAGCAUCAUCCUGAGCCGCUGCUCGACCGAGACCCAGUCGAGGCCAACGGGUGGCUCAGGCCCAUGUCGUGGGGUUGGGGAAAGCCAUGGCGCCACCGCCCCCUAUUCGAGUUGCUGAUGGAGGGGCCACGCCGGUGCCGGAUCCAGCGGCCACUGGCCUCGACGUUGCCGGAUGUGGCAGACCAGUGGCGAGGGGAGAGGUGGGUGGCUGAGAGGGAAGCGGCGGCGAGGGGAGAGGUGUGGCAGUGAGGGAGAGGUGCGGCUGCAAGUGGGAUCUGGAUCGAGAGCGGAGUGGCGGCGGCGGAAGGGAGUGCGGCGUCGCCAUCGAUUCGAUCUGAAUCGGGGGAGUGGGAGUUAGGGUUUGGGAGGAAGGAGCAGAAGGAGGAGCGGAGGGAGGGAUGGUGUGGGACGGACGGAUGGAUGGCGAUGUGGAUGGAUGGAUGGAUGGAUGUGUGCCAUGUCAUCGAUCCGUGGCACACACCUUUCCACCAAUGACAAUUUAAUUUAAUUUUCUGAGUGUAAAAAUGGUUUUUUUAAGAACAUAUGAAAUCUUUGAUGGAAAAUUGGAUCAUAUUUUGUGAAAAUGAUCCAAUAUUGUACAUGUGUGUAUAUUGGGAUGGGGGUUUUAUCUCUUUGCACAAAAAAUCAUUUUUCAAUUUUCAGAGUGCCAAUAAUCGGGUUUUUUGUGAAGGACCUAGCAAAUAGUUGUUGCAAAAUUGGACCAAACCAUUUUUCUAAAAUAUUAUGACAUAUUUAAUGCACAAUUGACAAAAUGGUUGGGUUUCAAAAGUUUUGACCCACCUCGUGAAAAAUACAAAUUUCUGUCGAUGCAGCUGGAAGGGGGUCAAAUUUGAACUGCAGCUGCCUCAUAGUUUGCUCUUUAUUUUUCCCAAAAAUCAUUUGUAGGUACAAAAGUAUCUAUUUCAUCAGAGAAACACCAAAAGUUUUCCAAGACUCAACCACUAGCUAUGAAUGGUCAUGCCCGCCGUUUUGACCGCAUUUUGAAACGGGCAUGAAAAAUUCAAAAAAAAUCAAAAAAAUAGAAAACAUUCGCAUUGUGCCAUUAUAUGUGGCCAAGUUACCAGGAAAAACAAUAAACUUGUAAUACGAUAAUUAUUUUAAAAAAGUGUUCUCAGAAACGAGCUAUCAUGCAUGGAGAUCAAUGGUUUUCAAGCCAAAUGAUCAAUCUUAUGGCCACAUUCAUGGCGUAGUUCGUUCAAAUGAUCUCAUAAUGUGCACAAUGGUGCAUAUUGGAAUGGCAAACAAUGUUGCCUAAGGAAGUUUUCAUUUUCUUUGGACGAAAAAACAAUUUUCCAUUUUUCGAGUGCCCAAAAUGAGUUUUUUUUUGUGAAGGACCUACAAUAUAUUUGUUGAAAAAUUGGACCAAAUCAAUUUUCUAAAAUACUAGUGCAUAUUUAAUGCACAAUUGACCAAAUGGUUGGGUGUCAAAAGGUUUGAUCCACCUCUCGUCAAAAGGACAAAUUUCUGCCGAUUCAGCUGGAAGGGGAUCAAAUUUGAACUGCAACUGCCUCAUAGUUUGCUAUUUAUUUUUUCCAAAAAUCAUUUGUAGGUACAAAAGUAUCUAUUUCAUCAGAGAAACACCAAAAGUUUUCCAAGACUCAACCACUAGCUAUGAACGGUCAUGCCCGCCGUUUUGACCGCAUUUUGAAACGGGCAUGAAAAAUUCAAAGAAAAAUCAAAAAAUUAGAAAACCUUCGCAUUGUGUCAUUAUAUGUGGCCAAGUUAACAGGAAAAAUAAUAAACUUGUAAUACGGUAAUUAUUUAAAAAAAGUGUUCUUAGAAAUAAGCUAUCAUGUGUGAAGAUUCAUGGCUUUCAACUCAAAUGAUCAAUCUUAUGGCCCCAUUCAUGGCAUAGUUUAUGCAAAUGAUCUCAUAUUGUGCGCAAGGGUGCAUAUUAGAAUGGCAAAUAAUGUUGCCUAAGAAAGUUUUCAUUUUCUUUGGAUGAAAAAUUCAUUUUCCAUUUUCUGCGUGCCUAACAUGAAUUUUUUUCGAGUGCGAAAAACUAUUUUUUAAGAAACUACCAAAUAUUUGUUGCAAAAUGGCACCAGACGAUUUGUCAAAAAUAUUAGACCAUAUUUUAUGUCCAACCAACCAAAUGGUCGCAUGUUAAAUGCUUCCCGUCCACGUCUCAUCAAAUUGACAUUUUUUGCCAAAUCAACCAGAACUAGGUCAAAUUUUAACUACGGCUGCCUCACGGUUUGUUCUUUAUUUUUCCAAAAUUCAUUUAUAGGGACACAAGUAGCUAUUUCAUCAGAGAUCCACCAAGAGUUUUGCAAGAUUCCAUCUUUAGCUAUGAACGACCAUACCCGUCAUUUGAACGCAUUUUGAAAUUGGCAUGAGAAACUAAAAAACAGAAAAAAGUAAAAUAUUUGUCUUGUGUCAUUAUAUGUGACCUAGUUUUCAUCCUAGAUUUUUUUGUACGUCGAGAACAUUUUUCUUUCUUUCUGUUGGUUUUCAUUCUACAUUUUUCAUAUACGUCAAGAACAUUUUUAAUACAGUUUAAUAUCUCUUAAAUACUUGUUUAACAUUUUUUUCAAAUGUUUUCUUUAAUAUUUUCUAAAUACAAGAUCGACUUUACUCACACACAUUGUAUAUUUUCUGUAUACAUUUUUCGUAUACACGAGAAACAAUUCUUAUAUACACAAUUAACAAUUUCAAGUGUUUGGUUAGCACUUUUUUAAUACAUACAACAUUUUUAUAUACACAAUUUAAACAUUUUUUAAUGCUUGAUUAAUAUUUUUAAAUACAAUAUUAAUAUUUUAAAUACAUGGCUAACAAUUAUAUAUUUACACAUUUUAACAUUUUCAUAUGCUUGAUUUAUGAUUUGUAGAUACUUGUUUAACAUUUUUCUGAAUGCUUGAUUAACAUGUUUAAAUACAUGAUCAACUUUUUCCACAUACAUUGUAUAUUUUUUGUGUAUAUGGUAAACAUUUUCUUUAUACACAUGUAAGAUUUUUAAAUGCUUGGUUAACAUUUUUCAAAAAAUUUAUGUGAAGUUAGUUUUUUAAUAUAUUUAAUUAUAUUAAUUGGAAGUAUACAUAAACGCAAGCGAAAGAAUAUUGACCGAACGAAAAAACAGACAAAAAAUGAGCCGCAGCCCAGUAGUUGGCCCACUCGGUGCACCGAAAAUCUUAAAGGAAAAAAAAGAUGCCCUCGUCCCAUCGAGGCCCAAGCCCACUCGACACUACAUUAAAAAUGUUUCAGGCGUAGUUGCAUCAUUAUCUGGGUUGUGGCCUCGUGGUUUGUCUUUGUAGGUUAGCUUGACUGGUCACGAGUUCGAGUCUCGUGGCAGACAUUUAUUUUUCUCAUUUUUCCUCCUUUAUUCACCUUUGUGUAAUGAGUCCCACAUGUCAUUAUAUGGAUGUCAACUGGUAGGUGGCUGUUGGACGAGACAACUUAAAAAAAAAGACAAAUUUUUCCUCCUUUAUUCACCUUUGUGGUAUGAGUCCCACAUGUCAUUAUAUGGAUGUCAACUGGUAGGUGGCUGUUGGACGAGACAACUUAAAAAAAGACAACUAGGCACACACGUAGACAAAUUGACACGUUGUCAUCCAAUCACCCUCGUCUAAUUUCUAUGAUGAUAUAAUUUGGUCAUGAGGGACUUGAAAUAAGGUGGUAUGCAUCAUUCACAUCUUAAUGACCAUUCUAUGCAAUCGGAUCACGACCUUUUGGCCACGAAUUGUCACAAGAUUAUAGGGUUUGGACCCCUCUAGACUCUUGAUGACUAAUUUGUGAAUUUUGGUCAUGGAUCAAUGACCAAUUAAAUUGCCGUUAAUAAUUUUAGUCAUAAUCGAGCAUUUUUCUUAUAGUGCAACUACAGGCCUUCAGGAGCAAUCUGAACCUUGAUACGUUAAGAUUGAGGGAGGAUGUUAAAAGAGUAGGGCCGUAGUUGUGUAACGUGACAAUGUGUCGCGUGUGUAUCCAUGUAAAUUGUGGCGCAGGUUGUUGGCUAGGAUAUCCUCUAUCCCGUGUAUAGCUUGGAGUAGAGAACAAGUUGAUAACUGACCAACUACCUGUGCAUAUCUUGUAAUCUCCCUUCCUAUAUUAACACGAAGGCGUCCCUGCCAAGAGGCAUCACGCUUAACGCAGCCAACCCUAGUUUUUACACUACCCUGGUGCCGCCACCACUGGUCGCCCACUUGCAUGCCGUAUAGCUCUGAUGAGGCAAUGUGGAUGCCACCUUGUACUGAGAUGGUGCCAGCCCAGAUAAGGCUUGAUGAUGCCCUGGUAAGCACCUUAUUCGGGCGCGCGCAGUUGACCACGCCCUGUUGUGUGCUUCUGCUUGGUCUUUGGCUCCACAGCCCAUGCAUCGCCGCCAGUUUUUGGGAAGCUUGUGGGCUAGAUUUUUCUUAAUUUUUUUAACAUGUUUCUAAUGUUGUUUUUUCUAUUUUUACUUUUUUCGCCGUUAUAAUUCACAAAAAAUGAAUUCAUGAACAAUUUUGAAUUCAAUAUUUUUGGAAUUCAUGAGCAUAUUUUGAAUUGGCAAUCAUUUUAAAUCCUUGAACAUUUUUGAAUUGGUUCAACUUUUCUGUUGAGUACCAAUAAAUAUAUCCUAUUGUUUUUUUCCUUUUGACACUUUAUCAUGCAUAAAACGGAAGUUCUAGCAUGUGUUCUGGUAGCUUGCAUUUUAGUAAACCUAUUCCUAUAGCUUGGCCCAUCAAACUUGUACCUUUUCCAUGUAGCAUUGUUCUAUUCUCCUCCCUUAUUUGAUUACUGUAUUUGCGUUGUUGCUUUUAAAACUGAAGAUUUUGACUAGAUAAGUUUUCUCUAAUUUAACUUAAAUAUGUACGUAUAAAUCACAACUGUUCUAUUUAUUCAUGGUAUGUAUUUGUCUAAUAUUAUAUUUUUUCUAAUUUUUUUUUCAUGAAGCACAAUGGGAGCCAAUGGUGUUGUGAGAUCACAACUGUUCCUCUCUCAUAAUAAUUUUUAGUAGCAUCAUGAAUGAAUUCAUCAAUAUAACCAUUACAUAAAGCAUUAUUCUCAUGAUGCACAAGCAUAUAAAUUUUACUACUCUCCACAUAAGCAAAAUUCUUCUCAUUCAGAAUAGUGUGAGCAAACUCAACAAAUUAACUAUCAUGUGAGGCAUAAUCCAAUUAAAACUAAAAUCAUGAUGACAAGUUUCAUGGUUAUCAUUAUUCUUUAUAGCAUACAUGUCAUCACAAUAAUCAUCAUAGAUAGCAACUUUGUUCUCAUAAUCAAUUGAAACCUCUUCCGAAAUAGUGGAUUCAUCACUAAAUAAAGUCAUGACCUAUCCGAAACCACUUUCAUCAACAUAAUCAUCAUAAAUAGGAGGCAUGCUAUCAUCAUAAUAAAUUUGCUCAUCAAAACUUGGGGGAAGAAAAAUAUCAUCUUCAUCAAACAUAGCAUCCCCAAGCUUGUGGCUUUGCAUAUCAUUAGCAUCAUGGAUAUUCAAAGAAUUCAUACUAACAACAUUGCAAUCAUGCUCAUCGUUCAAAUAUUUAGUGCCAAACAUUUUAUAAACUUGUUCUUCUAACACUUGAGCACAAUUUUCCUUUCCAUCAUUUUCACGAAAGACAUUAAAAAGAUGAAGAGGCAUUCUCAAUUCUAUUUUUUUGUAGUUUUCUUUUAUAUACAAACCUAGUGAUAGAACAAGAAACAAACAUAUUUGAUUGCAAGAUCUAAAGAUAUACCUUCAAGAAUUAACCUCCCCGGCAACGGCGCCAGAAAAGAGCUUGAUGUGUACUACGCAAGCUUCUUCUUGUAGACUCGUGUUGGGCCUCCAAGCGCAGAAUUUUGUAGGACAGCAGCAAAUUUCCCUCAAGUGGAUGACCCAAGGUUUAUCAAUCUGUGGGAGGCAUAGGAUGAAGAUGGUCUCUCUCAAACAACCCUGCAACCAAAUAACAAAGAGUCUCUUGUGUCCCCAACACACCCAAUACAAUGGUAAAUUGUAUAGGUGCACUAGUUCGACAAACAGAUGGUGAUACAAGCGUAAUAUGGAUGGUAGAUUUAGGUUUUUGUAAUACGAAAAUAUAAAAACAGCAAGGUAGCAAAUAAGAAAAGUAAGCGAAAACGGUAGUGCAAUGCUAGGAAACAAGGCCUAGGAUUCAUACUUUCAUAGUGCAAGUUCUCUCAACAAUGAUAACAUAACUGGAUCAUAUAGCAAUCCCUCAACAUGCAACAAAGAGUCACUCCAAAGUCACUAAUAGCGGAGAACAAACGAAGAGAUUAUUGUAGGGUACGAAACCACCUCAAAGUUAUUCUUUCUGAUCGAUCUAUUGGGCUAUUCCUAUAACUGCCACAAAAAACCCUAGAGUUCGUACUAAAAUAACAACUUAAGACACACAUCAACCAAAACCCUAAUGUCACCUAGAUACUCCAAUGUCACCACAAGUAUCCGCGGGUUUGAUUAUAUGAUAUGCAUCACACAAUCUCAGAUUCAUCUAUUCAGACCAACACAAAGAACUUCAAAGAGUGCCCUAAAGUUUCUACCGGAGAGUCAAGACGAAAACGUGUGCCAACCCCUAUGCAUAAGUUCACAAGGUCACAGAACCCACAAGUUGAUCACCAAAACAUACAUCAAGUUGAUCACGUGAAUAUCCCAUUGUCACCAUAGAUAAGCACAUGCAAGACAUACAUCAAGUGUUCUCAAAUCCUUAAAGACUCAAUCCAAUAAGAUAACUUCAAAGGGAAAACUCAAUCCAUUACAAGAAGAUAGAGUGGGGGAAACAUCAUAAGAUCCAACUAUAAUAGCAAAGCUCGCGGUACAUCAAGAUCAUGCCAAAUCAAGGACACGAGAGAGAGAGAGAGAGAGAGAGAGAGAGAGAGAGAGAGAGAGAGAUCAAAUACAUAGCUACUGGUACAUACCCUCAGCCCCGAGGGUGAACUACUCCCUCCUCGUCAUGGAGAGCACCGGGAUGAUGAAGAUGGCCACCGGUGAUGAUUUCCCCCUCCGGCAGGGUGCCGGAAUAGGGUCCCGAUUGGUUUUUGGUGGCUACAAAGGCUUGCGUUGGUGGAACUCCCGAUCUAGGUUCUGUUCUAGAGGUUUGGGGAUAUAUAAGAGGUGUUGGCAUCGAGAACAAGUCAGGGGAGUCCACGUGGGGCCCACAAGGUCGGGGGCGCGCCCUAGGGGGGCGCCCCCACCCUUGUGGUGGCCUCGGGACUCCUCUGGUGCAUAUCCGGUACUCCGUGGGCUUCUUUUGGUCCAAAAACAAUUGUCGGAAAGUUUUAGGUCAAUCGGACUCCGUUUGAUAUUCCUUUCCUGCGAAACUCAAAAACAAGGAAAAAACAUAAACUGGCACUGGGCUCUGGGUUAAUAGGUUAGUCCCAAAAAUCAUAUAAAUAGCAUAUAAAUGCAUGUAAAACAUCCAAGAUAGAUAAUAUAAUAGCAUGGAAAAAUCAAAAAUUAUAGAUACGUUGGAGACAUAUCAUGGCCCAGUAGGUUCGGUAAACCAUAGACAUGAAUGAAAUCCCUUUUGUUCAAUGACCGAUAGCAGAACCGUGGACAUCCAUAUUGGUCCCUAUGAUUACAUGAAUGAUAUUCGAGUGUUCCUUUGGUUAUCAUGUGAUGUUCCCUUUUCUCCGCGAUACUUUACAAAACCCGGUGUGCAUCGGUAUCCUCCUGAGACAUCACCAUGCUCACUAUACUAUUGCUCCCGUUACCGGUUUUGUUCUUAUUUCUCGUUGACGUGUUCCGGCAUCCCCGUGACAUAGUCACCUGUGUCUGGCUAGAUGAUGGUGGAUUCUGUCACACCGAGAGGGCCCUAAGAAUAUCUAUCCAUCGUCGGAGGAGCAAAUCCCACUCUCAAGCUGUCCGGUCACUUGUCAAACUUUCCGGUGUGCCUGAAAGUUGUUGUUAUGAUAACCUUGUUACAGAUGAUGUUUGAGUAACCCGAAAGCCCACCGUCUGGUAGGAAGUGACCCGAGACACUCUCAUGGUCUAAGGAAGUAAAACACAUGCUAGCACUUUGUGUUAUAACAGAUGAUUUCAGACGAUAUAAUCACAUAGUAUAAUAGACAAGUAUUGGGUCGAUUCAAUAUGAUCAUUCUUCUAGCGUCAUAUAUAUCCUCAAUGUUAUUUUAGGAUUAUCUUUACACUUAACGAUGUCCUAAGAUCCGGAAACGUGAUCACCAACAACACUUGAGCAAGUCUUAGAGGCGAGACCGGGAACCUAUUGUUUAUCGUUUAUCAUUUCACACGUGAUUAUGAGUUUUCCACUAAAUCGCAUAUUCCAGGAUCAUACCAGUUAUACCAUGAAAUAUAAACUCUUAAUUAUGAAUAAUGGAAGUAUAAUAAUACAAUAUUAUUGCCUCUAGGGCACAUUUCCAACAAUUAUUUCUAUUAUGUUAUUGCUAACACGUUGCAGGUACGAGAAGCUUGAAAACAGAGUGAAGAAAGUAUGCUUAUAUCUGAAAAAGCUACAUAACCAGCUCCAAAACGAGGACAAAUUUAGGCGCCAUUGUUCUAUUGCAUCUCAGCCGCAAUGCCAACCAAACGCGCGAAGACAUCACUUGUGGAGGAGCCAUCACCAUCUUGGCGAACACACUUGGUCUCGACUUCGACGUGCUAUAUCCAUUAGGCGGUAACCGUUUUGUUUCUCUUCCAGUUCUCUGUAGCGCUAGUAUGACUGUCACUAUGAAUGGUAGGAUCCUUAUUCGUAUCCCUAUAAUUGGGCAUUUGCUACCCACUCCCAUACCUAAACAUUUCUUGAUCGAGGACAAUAUUUUACAUUAUGACGCACAUGAUGAAGAGGAAAGGAGGAUUCUGAUGCAACCAUGCUAAAAGAUUUGGAUGAAGAAAAACUCACACCUGAACAAGAGGUGUACCCGAAGAUGAUGAUGAAUGAGUUAGGAUGUAUGCUACAUAUAUUGAUGCCUAUGAGGUCGGAGAGUCCUACAAACAACAUGAGCAGUUUUGGGGUGGAGUAUUACCUAGAGAUGUAUAUGGAUAAUAGUCUACAGAUAUAAGGGUGUAAUGCCUAUAUGCAAUCAUGCCACAUAUAGUCAUACACGUAAAAAAUCCACUUCAAUCGAUACGCAACGGUAAUUUGUUCACCACACCUAUUCUAUGCUUUAUGGAGAGAUGCCACUAGUGAAGUUAUGGAUCCUAGUCCAUUCAUAUUUAUUACUUUCAACCUCGAUCAAUCAUUAUUAUUUACAAUAUGAAAUGUUUAUUUAAUUACUUGCAAUUAUCAAUUACAUCUCCUUCAUGUAAUUGGCAAGGUUUAUGAGACCGACAACCUCACUGGUUUCAUUGGGGACCAAGACAAUUUUCACAAUUGCGUGUAAGUGACGAUAAUCGGAUAUAGUCCACACUCUUACAGGUUUGAGAAAUCUGUAGGUCAUCCAAUUGAGAGAAAAAUGUUGCUUUCUGCAAACCUCUACACUCGGGGGGGGGGGGGCACCAACUUCCUAACAGAGAUGAAGCAGUCCUACUACAUGAUUUGGAUGUAUAAAAGAAGUAUGCACCAUGUCUCAAGGUGAGAGUAGUGAAUGCUCAAUACCGAAGGGGCUACCAUAUGAAAGAUGAAAUUGACGUGCAUAAAAUUUUGAACAAACUCAAUGUACUACACANNNNNNNNNNAAUGAGACCGACAACCUCACUGGUUUCAUUGGGGACCAAGACAACUUUCACAAUUGCGUGUAAGUGACGAUAAUCGGAUAUAGUCCACACUCUUACAGGUUUGAGAAAUCUGUAGGUCAUCCAAUUGAGAGAAAAAUGUUGCUUUCUGCAAACCUCUACACUCGGGGGAGGGGGGGGGGCACCAACUUCCUAACAGAGAUGAAGCAGUCCUACUACAUGAUUUGGAUGUAUAAAAGAAGUAUGCACCAUGUCUCAAGGUGAGAGUAGUGAAUGCUCAAUACCGAAGGGGCUACCAUAUGAAAGAUGAAAUUGACGUGCAUAAAAUUUUGAACAAACUCAAUGUACUACACAAGUGUUGUGUGACAUUAACAUAGAACCAUACAACCAAGUACUCAGAGGGGGUACUUUGGUAUGAGUUAACCAUUUUGCAUCUGGACUUGAACCAAAGUCGUCAGUUUACUUACAACACCACAUCAACACUUUGAUUUACUCCUGUUUCUACCUAAGUUAGUAGCUUUUAGUUUAUUAGGUGAAAGAAUAGCCUAGGUUCAGUCAACUUUAGCACACUAACCACUUCCAGUUAGGUUCAUCUAUCACAAUUCCAAUCUAUUGUUAUCAAAUUAUCUCGAAACAAUUGCAAAAAAUCCAGUUCUCAUUUAAACUUCUAGAGUUCAUGACUUUUUUAUCAUGCCACUUAUACAUACUUAUUAUCAUUUAAGUACAGACAUUUUAGUGCCAUGCCAUAUGCAAAUCAAUUCACAAACCAAUUGCAAUUCCAACUCUCCAAAAUAUAUAAGUGAGCUACGAAGAGUUUAAAGUGUUUUUUACUUUGACCAUGCUCUAAAAUAUACAAGUGAAGUUGUAGAGCAAUUCUAAAAACAUGUAGCCAUGCAUACACUCCAUUUUUUGUUUUUAAUGAUGUUAUCCAUUGUCAGCAUGAUUUAUGGUGGCACAAUGAUGGUAGGUUCCCUUGUGCUUUUGGUAACAUUUUUGGGAUAGAGAUAGUGUCACAGAUUUAGCCUUCAUGCGGUAUGGGUUAUCCAGCUCGGCCCAGUACAACCAACGAGGGCUUGUGUUUUGUGGAGCAGACAACAUGAUUAGGAAGACGUAUAAGACGAGGGUAUCUGCAACAAGAAGAUGAAGGCUCCAUUGAAAGAGAGAACAAAAGAAAAGCUGAUCGCAAACCCUAGCCUCGUCCUCAAUUGGUCGUGGCUAUGGCAUGUCCACUAAGAUGACGGAGGUUACUAUUGAGAAUGAUAAAACAACAUAUAUUCAUAGUGACAAUGUUCAUUUUUAAUAUAUACAAUUCCACAGUUAAAUUGUCACUGUCCGAGCAAAGGAAGCACUACACCCGAGUUGCACUCUGUAGGGUCAUCGAGGAGCGGCAAGCUACUCAUGAGAACGUGGGGGUCAAGGACACGUAGAGGAACUAGUGGCGAGCAAUGGGAAAAGGCAGAGGCGGGAUAGGUGAAGGCAAAUGCUAAUGGUUCUCCCGACAAGCGCUUAUGUUGGGGUGGCGGUGGUGCGAUCAUGCGUGAUCACCAUGGCAAGCAGAUAGGAGAUGUAACACUUUUUUUCAGGAAUGUCAUCAUGGCUUGUUUUAUCAAUUUGGUAAAAAGGUUACAUCGUUUGCAAGAACAUUAUCCAGGAAGUCCGGGGGUUCAUCAGCCCAAUUACAAGAACUAUUGCUAUCAUAAUUAAAUUUCGCUAAACUAUGAGCAACCUCAUUUGCUUCCUGGUUACAGUGCGAAAUUGAACCGCACUAGUUGCAAUAAUAAUCUCUCAUUUCAUUUUUUUUAUUUAGCAUUUUUAGCAAAACAUUUCAUUUUCUUGGGUCAGAGUCGUUUUGACGCUCGCGAGUUCAGCUGGUCCACGGAUUUUCGCCUCCACGUGGCGUGUGUGAUUCAGCCUGGCCCGGCAUGGCCCGGCCCGGCCCACGAGGGGGCCCGUUUUGUGGAGGAGACAGCGUGACUAGAGGAUGAGAGCCGCAAGGGAAAGAGGGAAGCCUCCAUCUCCAGCGAGAAGAGAAGAGAAGACGAGCCCCAAACCCUAGCCUCGAUCCUCGCCCACCCCGGUUCACCAUGGCGCUAUGCAGCCUGGCCGCGAGGAUGCGGGUCGCCGCCGCCGCCCGGCUCCCGUCGGCCCCUCGCGUUUCGCCGGCGUCUGGCAGUCGGGCCCUCCCUUUCUCCUCCUCCUCCAGUAAGGUAUGCCCCUUCUCCCCCUGCACACCGCGCUCGCUCAGGCAAACCACUGGCUGGAGUAGGCAGUGCUAGAGCUUCCCCCUGCGUGUGAUGAUCAUGUAUGCCUGCAAAUUGACGAAAUAGACCAAUAAUUUCUUUGAUUUCCUCGGCUCCGGAUCUAGACCCUUCGCCGUGACCAACUCUUGCUGCUGCGUUGCUACUUGUUUCAUUGAGCAAUUUAUAAACUGUAUUGGCGUUACAUAGUUUCCAAAGGCACGCCCUUGGUGCAAAGGCCGCAUACCUGCAUUGCUAGCUAAUGAAUUUUGAAUGCAAAUUAAUCCUUUUUAAGGGGUGAAUCUAUGAUUUUGAAUAUGAUUUUGCACUACCAAACCAUUCAACUAGGUUUAUCAUCAAUUGCAUAUUUGUUCAUAAUAUAUUUAUUGGGUAAUGUGUGUAUUGAUUUUUUUGUAUAAACUUGGUCAACUUGAGACAAGAUUAAUAGUACGUAUAAACCCGGCUGGAGGGAUUAUGUCUGUGCUUUAGCUCCCCCGUCCAUGAGCCUAUUUGCAAGAAGAAAGGGAUGCUGUCAACUGUAGGAGGCUUGUCAGUAAUCUCCCAUUGCAGUUGAUAUUUGCUACAUGCUUCUUACCUUCUAUGCACUUGUUCAUCUGAAUUGGUGGUCUUGCCCUUUACAAACGCAUGGUUUUCAUGGUCGCCAUGCUUUCACUGUUACAAAUUAUGCAUAGAUGCACAUGCAAGUUGUUUAGUGACUAUCCUUGUUAGCAGUAUUUUUAAAGAGAUGUGGCUGUUAUAGAUAAUUCUAACUUGACAACAAUUUGUAUUGUCAUGAAAAUUUCCCCCUUUUCCCUCUGCACGAGAUUGACGGGAUUUUACAGCACAUUUUAACAUGAAAACAAUUUGUAUUGUCAUGAAAACAUUGAUCGUUUUUACCUUGCAUGAGGCUGGUGCUCAGAAUUUGUCAACUACCAGCAUGACUUUCUCAUAUAUUUUAGUUAUUCAUGGAUUUGCACAAGAGACACAUAGGUAUUUGUUCUGACUUAAAAGCGUUAAUCAGAGGAUUGACCACUUGAUUUUGGGAUGAUGGCAAAUUAUACGUGUAAGUUUUGUAAGCUCUGAAAUUAGGGUACUAGCGGUCAUUAAUGCUUGGCAAAUAUGUGUAUUUAUCAUGUGUAAUGAUUUCAAGAGCUUAUGGUGCUGCAAAUACUCUUGCCUCAUGAUAUUUUUGUUCCCCUGUAUCCUUACAGGACAUGUAAGGAUAACAAGGCUAACUCUUGCACCGGAUAUUGCCUUCUCAGCUUUCUCUUACUUUGUUGUUAAAAUUGUAUAGCGCUAGAGACUGGUACCUGCUUCAGCGAGAACGUUAUGACAGUGUGACAAGAGAGUUAAAAAACUACAGGUAUAAGCUUCAACAACUUUCAUUUUGAUAUUACUGCUCAAAAGGUUGAAUAUGAUAUGUAAUGCCUCAAUUCCUUGUUCUUUUUGGCAGCCGUGAGGUUGUGUGGACUGAAAGGCUAGCUAAGCUGCUUAAUGUGGUAUACGUGCUGGGUAUGCCUUUUAUCGUUGGCCCUUUGGUCUUAAAAGGGAUUGCCAUUCGGAGAAUGUGAGGGGGUAGCAGCCAUACACUGCUUCGUUUAUUACUGCUGAUGCAUGUGAACUCGUAGUUCAGCACUCUCUUUGUGUUAACUGCCUGACUUGCAAGAGCAGAUAACCAUAUGGGAAUAAUGGCUUGUUGCGUCUGUGUCUUGACCCGCAUUGCGUCGCGGAUAACCUCGUGAUUAUGGCUUUAUGUAGAUUUGUGCAAGCGUAGUUGUUUGCUGUAAUGGUUUCUUGCACUUGUUUGCCGUUAACUUAUGUCUGUCCCUAUGGAGCUACUGUUUCUGAGUGGUGUUGGGUUUCUCCAGGUGCGCUUUGUUGGCCCUGAUUUAUGUACACUGGACUGCUAUGUGCAGCGCCAACUUUGCUCUGUGCAGAGCUAAGCUAUUAGCGAAAUCAUAUGGCUUAAGAUUAUAAGCAUUCCAACAUAAGCAGGAACUGCCUGGCCUGAAAAUUUGAAACUCACCUGUUACUCAAGUUUGAGAAUGUGCACAUCAAGGUUCCAAUUUUCUUAUAUCAAAGUAUAUCUUUUCUUUUUUAGUGCAUUUCCUUCCUGUUGACUUCCUUGGAAGUCUUGAACUUAUUAGAAAUUUACCGUGUAUCUCCACAAUGUCGUGUAGUGUUUCCUUGCGUUGUCGAGUGAAAUCAUGCUUUGUUACUCGAGUGAGUCUGCUGAUGUCUUGCACCUCCGGCUUGCAGUCACAUGCAGUAACGGGCUUCCUUAUGCCUAUGUCCUGAGCCAAAGCGACAAGUGACUUCCUUCGUCUGCCGAUUACAACCGUGCAUCGCUGCAGUUGAGUGCAUUGGCAAAACUGCCGCCUACAUUGAUUUUGAAAGAAGAGUGAAAUACACUAAUCGUUCGGCCAGCUCGGGGGAGCUAGUGGUAGGGAAAAAAUGACAAGCCCCGACAAGGAACUUGCCAUGGUGAUCACGCAUGAUAGCACCUCUGCGACCACAACACAAGCGCUUGUCCAGAGCACCAUCAACAUUUGCCUCCACUCCUCAAUGAGCCUACAGAGAAGAAUCAAGAAUCCCAAAUCCUACCCCUCAUCAGGGUCGGGGUCUCCAUUGAAUCCUCAUGAAUCCCGAAUCGUACCCUUCAUCGGGGUCACGUGGCUCGGGUGCAGUGAUUCCCCUUUGCUCGAACGGGGACAAUUUAACUGUGGAAUUCUAUAUAUUAAAAAUGAACCUUGUCACUGGAAUAUAUGUUGUUUUAGUGUGCUCAACAGUAACAUCCAUCAUCUUAGUUGACAUGCCAUACCCACGACCAAUCGAGAACGAGGCUAGGGUUCGGGAUCGGCAUACCAAAUGACCCUAUCCCUUUAGAACUACAAAUGAAAAAAACUACUAAGAAGAUCAUGACAAAUAGUACUUUGUCGAAUUCUGAAUCCCUUUAGAACUAUAAUGUUCAACAGAACAUAAGUUCAUAUUUGGUUCAUCUAGCAGAGAUAACACCGGUUCCUCGACAUGAUUGGCACAGUAAGAAAAUACUCAUAAGAAGUCCUACUAUAGGGUAAACAUCUCCCUGAAAAAUGAAAUUUCUCACAACUUCUACCAUGCAUGUCUCUUUCCUGAUAUAUCAUCACAUGCAUCAGAUUUUGUUCUUAUCAGACUAUGAAAUCCUACAACAGUGUUCAGUUUAUUAACAUAACUGCAAAGAAACCAGGAGUGUCAAAUUUAGCCGGAUUUUUUUAAAAGAGUGCUAGCUGCAGCUAGUUUGUGCUGACAAGCAGAAAUUAUGGCAUGAAGUGAUAUAUAGUGUACCCAAUAGUGCAAUUCAACAUAAGAGGAAAUGUAAUUCUAAUUACUGGAAGGAACUUUGCAUAAAUUACUACAACUUAAAAAUGGAAGCAAAUCUUACUUGAUGCCGUUCAGUAUAUCAUAUCUUCCUUAAGUUUACAAUAAUCUAAAAGCAACUAUAGCCGGCAGGAAUACAGCCUACACCUUAAGGAAAGAAGAUGGCCCCUGGGCAUUCAUCCUAAACCGCGGAAACAAAUCAACAUAAAUCAAAUUAGUAGGGAUGGGGAACAAAUACGCAAAUAAUAUAUAUCAUAACAUGAUAAGGAAAUGUGUAACUCAUCUUCUCGUCGUUUCUUGAAAAUACAGUGCAGCAAGUGUUAGCCUGCUAUAACCAGUUUUAGAAUAACCUCCACUUUGGUUUGAUUCCAGCUGAUGGGCCGCCUUCUGCUGCCAUUUUCUGUCUUGCAACAGCAGGAUCCGGUGGCUGGAAAUAAUCUGUAAACACAUAUGAUGUUACUAAUUAUUCAAUUGCUGUCAUAGUUUUGUGUAAGAAAGCUAUACAUAUGCAUGGUCUAAUAUUUUGUACCUUGUUCUGUCCGGAUUGGCUGAUGCAUCUUUGUGCUGAAUCUGAUCGACAGACGACGAGGCCGCAUGGAUGUGAACCGCUUCCAAGCAGUUCAUGUGGCGGUGGGGUGUAAGAAGAUGACUGCCCACAUCCUCUGUCGAUGACUUGCUAGUCAGUGUCCAACAGUGCUCUAUUUUGUAUAUGUUCUGUUGAUUGUACUUGAAAAUAGUGGAACUCGGCGUCCAGCGAUCUGCUGUUUGGAGUGAUGGUUAUGAUAGAUUUCUUGCCAGGAAGGUUCAAUAUUUGAGCCAGCACAUAUCCAGCUCGUCCUGCUGAAUAGGCAACAGCAUGGUCUGCCUCCUUUCCAAUGGCGAUAUCGCCCUGAUCUCCAAGUAAAGCAAAUUCCGCAAAUGCUGGAUUAUCCUCUUCGUUGGGGUCCAAGUCAAUCGCACGAACUGAUAAUUUGCACCUGCAUAAAUUAUGCCAUGUUCAAUUGUUUAUUUUCCAUGAUAUGUUUGAGCGACAACUAAUAUGGAUCGGAGGGAGUAGCUAAAUUUAUAGGCAUUGACUUCAAACUGUCAAAGAGGAUGUCUACUAAUGUGAUUUGAAAUUUGUUUAUGAUAGCAAUAGUACUAAAUUUUGCGGGAAUACAGAAUAGUUUGGAAAUAAGCAUGCAGAUAAAUAAACAGUCUAAUACCAUGAUAUUGGUUGGUUCUAUAGCAGCUAAAUCCUCAAUAGCUCAUUCACUUGCCUGACGCCGGCUUCUGCUGUGUCCCGCAAUUCGGUUUGCUAAAACCUUGCACCAAUCCUAUAAAGUCACAUUGAUUGGAAGUACACUCACUAAGCACAACAAAAUAAUGAUAACAUGAUUUGCAUCAUGCAAAAUACCUUUCUAGUAUAGCUUUCAGCCUUUCAUCUCGGGGAUUGCAACAUUAAUGUGUCACUCUAUCGAUGAAGUGUUCUUGAAAGCUAUAGUACCUGUGGUGUACAAUAAAUCAAUUAGUCUCAAAUCAUGAAAUAGGUUUCAACCAUGUAAUAAACAACAGUAUGUCAGUACCUGCAUACUGGUCGACCAUUACCCCAAGAAAGAGAACGAAAACAGGUUCCUUAUUUGAUCGAUUCCGCAAUGUGUCAGCAUCAAAUGUUUCUGCAAAUUUUCCCCAAAGCGUCAUGGUUGCUUGCUUCCUGGGAAAACCAUAUAAUCAUUUGGGUUUAUUAUCAUUAGAUGAGAUAGACAUGAUAGCCGUUACAUGAGUGGAGUUGCUGGGUGCUCCUGUAGUGUUUGAUGCUCCUGUAGCAUGUAGUUGCUGGGUGUGAGAGGGGGUUGUAUCUCCCCUAGUUAAGUCUCUUUUUCUUCUAGAUUAGCACCCCUGAUGUAGGCAGUUGUGUGCCUUGGGGGUGUAUGGCUGGUUUUGCUCCUACUCUGUUUUCUUAAUUGAAAAUGGGGGCUUUUUUUUGAAAAGGAGGAUGACCCCCGGCCUCUGCAUCUGGAAGAUGCAUGCAACCACUUUAUUAAUUAUUCACAAAGACAUUACAAAGUAAUGCAUCAAUAUGUCUGAAGCCGCCAUCUUGGCAACAUCUGUCGCUAUUCCUAUCCAUUGAUGAAGGGGUGCAGAAAGUGUGAGCCGAAUACCCAGACCUCUCACCUAAGCCUAACAUCUAAAGCCGGAGCCCCCAACCAAGCGACCUUUCAGGUCUGGAGCACAAACAGGUCCCACUCACUCUCAUAGAUCGUUGCCACCGUCUUCUAUCGAUCCAUCUUCAGAGCAAAUGCUGACGCGUCAACCUUGCCAGGCCUGCUGUCGACGCCACUAUGGUGCCAGACAGCACCUCCUCCCUACACAUGUCCACCAUCACACAUCUAUCGCUAAGGCCCUGCCAUGCCACGCCGCUAAGACUCCACGUCGCCAAUGCGUCACAUGGAACACCGCUCCACCGCAGAUCUCGUCCACUGAUCCCUCAAACCUACGCAUACCUCCAAGAAUUACGCCCCGAAGAGGGAUACAGCACAAGAGCGACGCCGAUAUAUGAUAAAUCGGUCUAGGGUUUCCCCCGAAGGUGGCGGAUAGGGGUCUACAGCUUCUCCAUGACGAUGCCUUCAAGAAGGGGACAAUACAGAAAAGGCCACCAUCACCGGCCUUGGCAAUGAGCCAAGAGCAGGGUUCACCCGGAUCCGCUCGAGGGACCUCCAUCCAGCCUCGUGUGCACAGGACCGCCAUCGAUCACCACCGUCGCGCAUGGAGCAGGCUGCACCAGGUAGAUCAGAUCUGACCGGAAGCCAUACCACACAUACAACAGAUCCAUCGACCAUGCCCUCCAUGCCGCCGGCCACUGUGCCGCAAGACCCGACCAGCCGUGCCUCCACACGCCGGGGUCGCACCCCAUCCCAAGUCAUGGGAGAUGAGAGACCCCCGCCACUGCCAUCUGCCCCCGGGCUUAGCCUGGCAGCGUCACGCGGCAGCAACGGGAGAAGGGGAGGGAGUAGAUCAGGGCUCGGUGGCGGCUAAGGUAGCGGCCUGCCCGAGUCGCCCGAUGCGGGAGAAACACGGGGGUCUGUCCGUCCGACCUUCAAUGCUCGAAAAUGGGGGCCUGGAGGCUCCUUUGGUCUAAAAAAAGAUGAUCAUUAGAUGAGAUAGACAGGAUAAGUGUUACAGAAGAAGUACCUAAUAGUCAUCUGCGAUGUGGAUUUUGUUAGGAAGUAAUAUAUGUGCCCCUUCGGCCUUCAACAGAAAUAAGUUGCUUUCCUAACAUGGUAUUAGAGCCUAGCUUUAGGUCUUCAGAUGCCGCAACUUGUCCUUACGAUCCAAUUUUUUUACGCCUUUGUUCCCGAGCAACACUAGUAGGCGGUAUAAUGUUUGUUAUAGUAGUGCUUAACCCAACGACAUCUGUAGAGAUAAAGGAAAUCAUAAAAUGGCAGUCAACCUCAAGGAGCACUAAAAAUAGAGAAGAAGCAAAGAUAGAAGUCUGUAUAAAUUAACCUGACAUGAGGGCAUUAGUUCCAAUUCAUUUCUCAAGCUCUGUGAUAGGAAGUGCAUUGUAUGCAACCAUAAGAAUUUUGCUGAUGUAUGAGUAACUAAAGUUUCCACUGUCCUUUGGAUAUAUAUUUUUCUGAGAAAAAGCAAAAAAAAUGUGUUUCAUUUCAUUGAACAGGAAGAAGAGGUACAUGUACAACCUCCCAGCAGGAGGGACACACGUACACACACCACCGUCCUCACCAAAUGAGGAGGUGAGGAGGUGCCACCAACUACAAACAUCAACGGCGGAAGGUCUCACCUUGUCCAGCCUCCAACCAUGAAUGUCGAGUCAGCUAGACUCAGAGCGUUAAGGCCGCAUCACAGCCAUUGCCACGGGCCUCCAAAGAAGACCACGGGUGUGUUUGGUUUGAGCCCCAACUAGCCCCACCAAAUAAUUGGUAUGACCAAUGUGUGGGCAUGACCAAAAUUUUGUUAGCUUGUUGAUGUUUGGUUUGUGGCCAUUGCCCCGUCCAAAAUUUUGGCAAAAUAAAUGUCUUGUUUGGAUUGCAACCAACUGCCAGUUUGGCCCAUUGUAACACUGCAAAUACUUAUACACAUAUUUGAUAGAAAAAUGCGAAGAUGCAAUCAACAAGGAUAAAAGUCGUCGUGAAAAAAAAACGCAAAAGGAAAGGUCAAACAUUUCUAUUGAAACGGGAUUGCAUGCAUCCUUAAGUGACGAGGCCCACUAUUAAUUACUCAGUAAUUAAGAGCCAUAUAACAAUCGGAACUACUCCUAGUAACAAACUGCAUGCAGAAUAAUAAAAUAAUCAUGGGACCCACAGAGGAAAGGAUGGGAAGUUAGGACGCCAAAAUUUUGGCGAACGUUUUUCUCGCCCUUGGCUCGCCCGCGAGUUGGUGAAUUACACAGGCGGGUGCCGGGCGCCUGGGGCGAACCAAAAUUUUGGCUUCAGUCCAAACGACUCCCAAAAUUCGUGGGUCCGCCAAUUUAUUGGCAUGACAAGCAUUGGUUGUGAUUCAAACACACCCCACAUCUCCAGGGCUGCCCGGGCCAGCAUACCUUCCAUCCAUGUGCCUAGGAGAAUCAGCGGACGAAUGGCAGGACCCACCGGCGAAGCCAUCGUCUUGGACACGCCGGUACCGGCAUACAUUACAUACCAGACGCCACAUGCCCUAUGAUGCAGCCCACAUCACACCAACGCAUCGCCAGCAAGCCUCGUCAGAAAGACUAGGGAGGCCACCAUAUCCAGCUGUUGCAUCGGGGACUCCAACUGCAACCGAAGCAGCGCCUUCAAGAAGUGGACAAUGCUGAGACACUGCCGCAGCCUUGUCCAAUUAACUAGACUAAGUGUUUCCCCUGGUGCUCAAGGAGGGGGGGUGAGGAGGAGGAGGGGGGACUUGCCAGCGCCUCCAUGGAGGUAACGGCACCCUCAGUGUUGCCAUUGUCAGCACUGACCAUCGUCGCGCAGGGAUUUCGCCCCGACCCAAGACCACAGACCCCCCAAGACCACCGAAGCAAGGGCAGACAAGAGAUGCGAAAGAAGAUCGCCGGAGUGGACCACCAGCACUGUGAGGGAAGCCACGUAUCGUCACCAUCAAAGUAGGGGAGUACCGGCAACUUGGUGCAACAACCGCCGGAUGGUUGCCAAACCAGGCCAGCCACUGCACGGGAACACGCUGAGCAGGGCUAGUGGCGUUGUCACAAGGAUCUGCUACCUGCACCUCCGCGCAGUCGACCAUGGCCACCGCCGCAUCGGCCCGCAGCCUCCGCCGCCAGGAUCCGCUGGGGCAUAGCCAAGAAGCUACCGACACGCCCUCACAGGGUUGCGCCAUGCCGCUCGGGUGCUCACAACGCCAGGUCCAGAGGCCCGCCCCUCUGGAUCUGCGGUCGUCGUCAUGAAACCCUAGGCCCGAAGAAGCUCUGCUCCGUCAGCCUCGUUGAGCCCCCACGCUUGAGGGGGGAAGCCGCUGGGGAGAAAGGUCCCGCUGCCACCAGGUCCGCCGGGCACGGCGGGGGGCGCCGGCGGCUGCAGGGGGGAAGGGGUGCUCGAGGGGGUGGCGUCGCCUCCUGAGUAGCCCGUGAGGAGGGCGACGCGCGCGCGGGGGAGGUGGAGGGCUGGUGUGGGUGGGGAGUUGGUAUAAAAAUAAUUUCUAAACGGAUGAUCCACGAAUAAAACAAAUCUAAAAUUUUGAACAAUGGAUGAUCCAUGGAUAAAACAAAUUCUAGAAUUUUGAACAUAAUAUCACCUAUGUAUUAUCAAACUUCACUCAAUGUCAGGUUAUACCAUUGCUGAACGACCUCAUCUUCUCUUUGCUAUAAUGAUUAAUUAGCACGUCGUAUACCUAGCUCCAAAAAGACUAUUGUUCUGCCAUCCUCCUCCAUCAUCACCACCAAUGCUCUGCUCCCUUCACCUCUGUUCACAUAAAGGAUGAUCGGGGUAAAUAGCAAAACAUGAUAAAUUGUAUUUUUUUCUCAGUUGAUUACUGAAAAAAUAUUUAAAGGUCAAGUUGUAUGUCCAUCAAUCAGAAAUAAAAAGAUGCGGAAUGAAGAAAGAAUAAAGGGUAAGAGAGGAGGUAAGCCGCAGUGCACCUGGAACGAUUAAAGUCAAUCCUAGGAGAGAGCAGCUUGUCGUUCGUUUUUGUGACCGGGAGCUUCCAUCCGGCCUGAUGCCGUGCGGUGCGGGCACGGUGAAUUCCCCUGCCCCGCCCUGAACCUCCGUGUGCGCAACCUCGAGUCGUAAAUGGCACUAUACUCGGAAGGGCACCUAGGGCGGUGAUGCUCCCCGGCGGCAAGGUUGACGCGAGGGAGAGGGCGCCGACGCGCCGCAUAACCUCACCUGCAUAACCUCCCAACCGAGCACCUUCGCCCCUGACAACGCCUCUAGGAAGGUCACGAUGCGCACGACGCCACCGCUGCCAAAUCCGAAGUGGAUUGAGGGUUUUCACCCAGGUAGGUAGUCGGGGUGGUGAGUUGGGGACCUCAACUGCGACCCCAUGGAGGAAAACAACGUCCUUGGGCAUCUCCACCGCCGGGCUGGCCCGACCAGCUAAGGUUUUCCCGGGGGGCCAAGCAGACCACGAGCACCCACCACCACUGGAGCCGGCAAAUGCGCGAGCCAAGGUAUGGUGAGAGAGAGGUAGCAGGAAAGAAGGGAUUUGAACCUCCAGAUCUGACGCAGAAGAACUCUGCAUCGCGGCCGGACUCCACAAUCGACCUGCCGCCCGUGCGACUGAGCACACUGGCUAGCCCUCCUCUCCCCGCCAUACAAAUGUCGCCUGCCGCACGACGAUGCCACCUCGCCGGCUGGGUCCUCCACCCAAGGAACCGCAUGCCUCCAAGAGUGGGCGGCGCGCCAAGAUCCCUGCCGCCACCUUCCCCAGCGCUCGCUUGGGCUUUCCUGGCUGCUGUGUCCUGUGGGGCCGAGGGAAGGAAGGGGGUGGAGGGGUGGCGGCGCCAUGGAAUCCUAGUCGCCCCCGAAUCGCUUGUGGGGCGACAUGAGGGCCUCAGGUCGUCUAGUUAGUUAGACUUGUUGUUGAUCCUGGGUGUCCUUAGAGCACCUCCAAUAGCCGCGCAACGCGCGGCGCGCUAAAAAAUAGUUUGCCGCGCGCCCAUCGCUAGGUUUGGCGCGGCGCACAGCGCUGGCUCCAGUAGCCGCGCUAAAAUACAGCGCGUGCUAAAAUGCAGUGCACGCAAGUCCAUAUUUGUUGCAUUUUGGACACAAAAUAAAUUUCACAUAGAUAUUAAAAAAGGUACAAAUAUAUUUUACAUAGUUCAUAGCAUAGACGAUACAAAUAGGUAAAAUAAGUUCAUAGCAUAGAUAGAUAAAACCGAACUACGGUACAACUACAUAAAAUUAAACUACGGUGCAACUAGGUAAAACUACGAUGCAGUUAGAACUACUCCGAGUCCUCAUCAUCAUCCUCAUCCUCGGAGGUGUUGUCCGAGGUAUCGAUCCAUAUGUCCUCCCAACGUUCAUCGUCUGACGUGAAGAUGGACCUCCCACCUGCUUCAACGAUAUCGCGCUGCGAUAUCGCCAAUGCCUUCCGCCAACGCCGGUCCACCCGCUCCGCGCAGCGCCUUGCCGUCCUCUCCGCCCAAUAGGCGCGCUCGUUGGCGACGUCCUCCGGGUGGCACCGGCGCCACUCCGCCAUGGCUCGCUCGUCCUCCUCGGCGACGAUGAGGCGGCGCUGCAGCCGAAUGUGGUCCGCACGGUCCUGGUCCGUGAUCAGACGAGGUGGAGGGGCAAUGGCCUGCGCAUGUUCGCGCGUGUGGACGUCCCUGAAGUUCAUCUGCGACGGGGGCCUCUCUAGGCGCCACGCCGCCGCGUCGUACGCGCGGGCCGCCUCAUGCGCGGUCCAGAACGAGCCGAGGCCGAGCCGGACGUCGCCGUACUGGAUCUCGGCGGAGUACCAGCCGUUGGGGCGCUCGCGGACGCCGCGGUAGCCCGAAGAUCCCCGGCGGCGCGGCGGCAUGGUGGCGCGGUGGUGGGUGGCGGGGUGCUCGAAGCGGCGAGGUGGCGAGGGAAAGGGCGCGUGGCAGUAUGGUGGAGCGCGUGACGAGCGCCGCAUUUUAUACAAAUCUACCGCGCGAGCUACCGCUAUCUCCCGCGCGCUCUAUCACUUCCAGCACGCGGUAGUUUCCCGUCCCCGUUGGAGCGCGCGAAAAGUUGGCGCGCGCGCUAAAGCCCCCUGUUUACACCGCGCGCGCGUCCGUUGAAGAUGCUCUUACAACUUGUGUUUUAGGGGUGCCCAACGCUUCCACUAUGCAAGACACGGUUGGAAAACAGAGCCGCCCCUAAUUGAGUAACCAAUAUACAGAACUAGCGAUGUACUGACCCCAAGCCGAGCAGGACCAAACAAAGGAAUCUGGUGUAUUCUCAAUUAUCUGAAUCUCCGCGAUUCUUAAUGCUCUGAAUCUCUGGGAUUGCUCGCCAGUCUGUCAACUGUAGCUGUUCUGGCAUGGUGGGAAGCGCCGCAGUAUCUGUCACCCAUCUGUAGUUAAGUAGGCCCUGCUGAACCAUCCUGGAAGAGAUGAAACCUUGUUACGCAGGCCCGUCGAUCCACCUGUCCGUCCAAAACAGCACGUUGGCCCCAUCCCCAACCUUGAUUUGCACCAGGGUUACAGGAAUCUUGAUGGAAUACACGAGCCAUAAAUCGUCUCUCUGAGCCCAACUGAUGCCAGCAUGCUAAAUGUUCUCAAGACCUCAAUCGCAUAUAUCAUCCAUGAAAUACUGCAGCCAGCCAUCUGCUAGGAAAAGCACAUAUGCCAGCAGAUUUUUUUGUUUUAUAAAAGCUGCAUAACACUUAGAACUUGAAGAAGUGCGUGCAAAUGUCAUAGAGACUGCUUCUACAUACUGGAGCACAUAAUACAUACACAUAUCGUCAUAGAAGGCAACUAAAUUAGCAUAGAGGUGAUGAACCCAUUUUUUUUCAUGCGACAUGCUGACAGCGGUCAUUCAUCUGUAACUUCAACUUGACCCUCCAGAAGCUCAGCAUUCAUCUUCAGGAAACCAGUACCAUGUCGUCAAACGAUCAAGGGAACCAACCACAACAGCAGCACAGACAACCCUCACUGUAGUCUUACGGGCCCUUUCCACAACUUGCUCGUGCCUUUUGUGAAAGUGGCUUAAAAAUGAAUAAAGAAACAACAUGAGAUAACUUUUUAUUUAACAUCCUGGACUACUUAAUUAAACAUCAUGCAUGCCAGCUGAAUCAAACUAGAAUAAUCCGCAAAGCGUUAUUUACCUGAUGGUUUGUUCAGCUUCCCAACAAUGUUUAGCUAACAAGUCUGCACUGGAGUUAAGAUCAGCGGCUUUAGCAGAUUCAAUAUUGUUUUUCAAAAGAAGAGCAUUUUCAAGCUCGUCCUGCAAAAUAUAAAGCAGAACAAAACAAGGCUGAGGCAAAACUAUAUAUUAAACGAGAUACAUCUAAAUCUGAAAAGGAUUAGUUUGGAUAAGUUCCAAGGACGCUAAUAUUCCAACUUUGGAUAGAGCACUGAGCAUACAACACCCCAAUAUUAGAUGUGUGCCAAACAAACAACAAAUCCAUUGUGAAAGACGAGAUAACUAGGGAUGUGGCCACCAUAACUUGCCAACCCAAGUUAGCUAACUUUAACCUCGUCGGACCUCAUCGGUCUCUUUAUGUUGUCUCCUUAUGUAGAGCCCAUAUCUCAUCGUUGUCAAAUCAGAUGAGCUAACAACUUGCAAUGUUGCACUGAAUCAUGACGCCAAUUCAGUUCAAAUACCUAAUAUGCACCAAACUAGCUAGUUCAACAAGUCACCUUUACGUUGUUCUGAUUUGAAUCCAAAUAUUUAUCUAGUCCCUUUGAUUCAUAUUAGGUGUUGUGGUUUUAGUUCCAAAACGAGAAACAUUUUCAUGGCAAUAAAAUGGUUGUCAAGUUAGAACGAUAUUUAAUAGCCACAUUUCACGAAAAGAAUAUCACUUAGUAAUAAAGUAAAUUAACAACUCACAUAUGUAUCGACGUGCAACUCGUAACAGCCAGUGUCACAUGAAAACCAUGAGUAUGCAAAGGCAAAGACAACUUAUUCAGAUAAACAAGCGCUAAUAUGCAAAGAACGCAAGCCGAAAGGAUCGACCACAAUGGGAGAUACAUCGGCGGAGGAUUAAAAGAACAUAAUCCUACAGGUACCUCGCACAAAGUAUUAGAAAUUGCUGCAUAACAAAAUCAGAAGCAACAUGAUCGAACAUCAACAGGACCUAAAUUUGCAAGGGCGAAAGUUUUGAUCUCCGUCGGUUGAAUGAUCCAGAUACGAAGUUGCGGGAUCGAAGAGACUACCGACCGAUUGAUUGGUCAACGGUGUCCUUAUUCCGACGAUGGAUGUCUGGCGCUGCAUACUCCGACGAUGGACUAGUAAUUCACUUGAGUUGGGUGUGGGAGACGGACGUGACAAACCUUUGGAAACCGAUGGGCAGCAGCCCUGGGGUUCCGGAACUUGGUCGCCAGCCUGCGUAGCGCCGCUGCCGCCAUAGUUCAUGCGGACGCGAGAUCGACCUCGAACAGGACGUGGCUAGUGUUUGGGAUUGGGAUUGGCUUCCUCUUUCCCUUGCGUCUCCUCAGCCUUGCCAAAAGAGAGAGAGAAAGAGACCAAUCCCAAACACGUACUAUGAUGCUCGUGUUCCAUCCAGACAUCCCGUACGUACGAGAACGGGACGUGCAAAAAGAGACCAAAUUAAGAGGAAACCGAAGGCAAGCCAAUCCCAAACCCUGGCCUCGUCCUCGAUCGGUCUCGCCCACCCUGCCUCACCAAGUAACCAUGGCGCUACGCAGCCUGGCUACGAAGAUGCGAAUCCCCGCUACAGCCGCUGCCCGGCUCACGCUGGCCCCUCGCGUUUCGCCGACGUCCGGUUCUCGGCCCCUCCCUCACACCUCCUCCUCCUGGGCCUCCUCCUCCAUCAAGGUAUGCUCUUUCUCUCCUUCUCAAGGCGCUCGCUCGCUCAAGCAAAUCACUGGUUGGAGUACGUAGUGCUAGAGCUUCCGUCUGUAUGCCUGCAAAACGACCAAUAGAUCGGUAAUCUCUUAGAACAUCUCCAACAGGCGCACUUUUUUUUUGCGGGAUCCAACCGGCGCACUUCGCCUAGUAUAAUUCUUUUACAACGCCAAAACAAUCUUUUUGCACGUGGGAGCGACGAAGAGGUUUUACAGAUGCAUGAAAACACGGCUCCCAAUCCGGCGGCCCCACCUGCAGCGAGCGGGCGCACCAAAUACCCAGCACGCGAUACAGUUUUCCCCAGCGGGGUUAUAGCGCGGCUGCUGGAGCGCUACUUUCGGUCGCGCGCACGCUAAUAUAGCCAUUUUAUCCGGUGCGCGGCUUGUUUAACGCAUGUGUUGGAGAUGCUCUUAGGCAACACUGAAUCUACUAUGUCCUUCGCCGAGACCAAAAGUUUUGCCCCCCGCAUAUUCAAGAGUAAUGGUUUCGAGAGCUUAUAACACCGCAAAUACUCUUAAUUUUCUGAUAUUUCGGUGCCCCUAUAUCCUACUACAUGACAUGUAAGGAUAACAAAGCUAAAUCUUUGCACCGGGUAUUUCCUUCUCAUCUUCUUUUACUAUGUUACUAAAUUGUAGCAUGCUAGAGACUGGUACCUGAUUCAGCGAGCACGUUAUGACGAUGUGACAAGAGAAUUAACAGACUUCAGGUAUAAGCUUCAAACUACUUUCAUCAUAUAAUUACAAAAAGAUUUUAUAUGAUGUAAUGCCUUAAUUUCCUUUUCUUUUUCUUUUUUUCAGGCGUGAGGUUGUGUGGACUGGAAGGCUAGCUAAACUCCUUGAUGUGACAUACAUACUGGGUAUUUCCUUGUCGGGUGCUCCUUCGGUCAUAAAAGGGUAUAUCAUUUGGAAAAUGUGGGCAGGUAAUGACCAUCCACUGGUCAUAAAAGGGUAUGUCAUUCGGAAAAUGUGAGGGAGUAAUGGCCAUCCACUGCUUCGUUUAUUAGCUAAUGCAUGUGCACUCUCGUAGUAAGCACUCUCUCUGUGGUAACUGCCUGCUUGCAAGGGGACAUAGCCAUGUGUGACUAACGGUUUGUUGCGUAUUCUUGACCCGUAUUGCGUCAUGGGAUUAUGGCUUUAUGUAGAUUUGUGUAGGCAUGCUUGUUUGCUGUCUGGUUUGUUGCCCUUCUUGUUGGUUUGGUGAAGCGAGUUCCGUUUGCCGUUAACUUAUGUUUGUGCCUUUGGAUCCACUAUGGUAUUAGUUUUCUCGAGAAUCGAGAUACACUGGACUGCUAUGCGCAGCACAAAGCUAUUAGCGAAAUGAUACAGGUUAAGUUAAUCAACCUUCCGACAUACACCUAACUCCUAAGAAGCAACUAGACCUGAUAGUCUCCAACUUACCAUGCUCAAGUUUGAGAAUUUGUAAUUCGAAGUUCCAAUUUUCUUAAAAACUACUCAUGAAUGCAUUCAAGCUCCAGUUUACCGCCUGCGAGCUGCCCCGACACUUAUAGCAUAUCAAAGAUAGUAGAAAAGAAGUUGCCGAUGAGCAGGACAACGUGCCCCNNNNNNNNNNNNNNNNNNNNNNNNNNNNNNNNNNNNNNNNNNNNNNNNNNNNNNNNNNNNNNNNNNNNNNNNNNNNNNNNNNNNNNNNNNNNNNNNNNNNNNNNNNNNNNNNNNNNNNNNNNNNNNNNNNNNNNNNNNNNNNNNNNNNNNNNNNNNNNNNNNNNNNNNNNNNNNNNNNNNNNNNNNNNNNNNNNNNNNNNUGACUUCUGCGUAGGCGGCCGCGGAGAUGACCGUACACGCCCACACCGGAAGCAGUCAGAGCAAAGUGCACACUUGAGAUCUUCCACCACACGUACACAGCCGCCCUCUCGACGCCCCGCCAUGUCCAAGAACGAUAUAUAACAAGAAUACAAAUGAAAAUUAACUCAACCAGGACAAGUUAUUUAUAAUCUGUGGUCUAAGGAAGACUAUAUAUAUACGGAAAAAUAAUAAUUUUAUCUUAAUUAAGUUGGUCAUUAUGCUCAUAUAUAGAACGACUAAUAUUUUCUAAAGGAAGCAGAAUUUUUUUUGAGGCUUGACUAGGAAGCAGAAUUAAUCUUGCAAUUGAUGACAAUAUCUAAACUUUGGGUCCACCAGUGGCCAGUUGCUCGCUCAUCUAAACUUUGGGUCCACGUCGGCUUCUGAUCGAUUCGGCCCGAUCUUGCCAACGUGAACAGAACUUGUACCAAUCUGAUCGAUCCAAUCUCUCAGCAGACUCUCUGGUGGCGCAUCCAAGUCCCUCCACUGAUCCAAUCUGAUCGCUCCACAGUCCCUUCACCGGCGCCGCCUCAUUCAUCACGGACUGGUGCCCUGCUUCUCCCCCUGUUUCCUCUCUCCUCUGUUAGAUAAUAACGAGAUAAAACGAGACAAAGAGAUACGUAUUUUUACGUGGAAACCCUUGCGGGAGAACACCACGGAACGCAAGGCGGCGUAUCACUAUAAUUGGGAGGAGUAUUACAUUACAUGAGAGGACAAACCCUCUACGUGCUAAUCUGGUGGAGAUCUCUCUCAUCUAUUCUAUGACUAGCUGGUACAAUAUAAAGGGGCAAACAACUCUCUUUCUUGGUGGACACGAAACAGAGUUGUAGUCAUGCUACGUCUAGCACGGUUGGCAAGCCGUAGUCCGGUAGGACUCCAUCCGUGGUACAAUACUUGUAUGGGAUUCGGAACACAAUAAAAAUAACACUCCACCUUGAAACGAAAUCCCUUACAAUAAUCAUAGAUAGCAUCAACUCCUCAAUUAAAGUCAUCACAAGUAAACCUUGAUAAACUUCUCAUGAAGUCAUAUUGAGCAAAUCAAUCAGUAGGUCGUCCAGAAAACAGCACAACUAUCAACAAAGCAGACUAAUAAAACUUGGUCUCCCAAUAAGAGUCUGAGUCUGUGCCACUGACGUCAAAAAACUGAAACUGCUCAAUCAUCAAAUGACAUAAGUCAUCAUAUCUCCUGUGGUACCUGAACGAGCGCAUAGCUCAUAGUGCGACAUCUUGGUGCACAUCACAUUGUGAAGAACUCAUCUCACGGAAUCUGAACGUGCUUCAAAACAGAAAGCACAAACCUCGGCAAACAAUACUCAAGCAAGAGCAUAUGGUACGGAUGGCAUCGCGUGCAUCCAAAAAACUGCUGAUUUGUAGUGGUUAAUGAAAAUCCAUGACAUGGUCAUAAACUGUCUUUGUAGAACAACUGCCGGAUGAAGGAACCAUCUUAACAUGCAACGGAAUUUCAACUCUGCAAUAGACCCCUCUUAAAAGAGCAAAGACAACUGAAUUGCACUUAAAACUUAACAGCGCUUAAUGUUGUAGUAUCUAGCAGAAACAAAUCAAUCUCCUUCUUGCACCUCAACCGAUUCUCAUCACGAACAUGAAUAUCAAAACAAAACCUUCACAUGCAUAACAGCAAAAUACUAUGGAGAGAAUAGAGUAUAUGCUGGCUACCAACAGGCAUAAUAAUUACCUCCUCCAUACUAUUUUUUUCUUGAUAACUGAAUUGUGUUCUUCAAAUAACUGCAGCAAUAUUGCAUCCAUUAUCCCGACGGACCAUAAUCCCCAAAACUCCAUCUUGAAAAAAAAAACUGAGUGCAUCCUGAUAAUCGGCUUGUGCCAACAACGCUCACAUCUCGACUUGCCAUAGGGUAAACUUUGUGUCAUGAUCCAACAACGAAAAGGUAAUAAAUCGAUGAACACAAGUAGUACAAGCCGAAGAAAAAUUCUUGACAGAAUUUAAUUUGCGGAGCAAAGAACAGAGUAAAUAGCAUCUGAUAGUAUUAGAUAGUGGACGUAGUAGAUGAACGAAGAACAAAACUAGCAGUACUAGCCUCACGUAGAGUAGUACUAGUAGCAGAUUAGAUCAAAUCAGGUUUGCACCUCGAGACUUGAGCGAAACAGCAGCAGCUACUCGGCGAUGUUGUACGUGGAGCAGCGGAACUCGGUGGAACGGCCAGCUGAUUUGAACGCUGCGUACUCGGGGCUUCAAGCGUAUAUACGCAGCAGCGGCAACCUGCGGAUUGAUAUGACGCGGCGUAUUGCGGCUCGGCGGCGGAAACUUGUGUCCGUCUCGAUGAACUGCUCGGAUAGGAAAUUGAUCAGCGGCAGAAUACCUGUCGGUCUUGGCUGCUUGCGGCUGCAGCGGCUUGUACAGCAGCCCGCACCGGAAACAGUCUCCGAUCCGGAGAUCACAGGACGGCGGCGGCGCGUACAGCCGAACCCUGAUCUCUCGUCUCUAAUCUCGUAUCUGAAAUUUGGCUCUGUAUACCACUUGUUAGAUAAUAACGAGAUAAAACGAGACACGAGAGACACAGAUUUUUACGUGGAAACCCUUGCGGGAGAAAACCAUAAAACGCACGGCGGCGUAUCACUAUAAUUAGGAGGAGUAUUACAUUACACGAGAGGACAAACCCUCUACGUGCUAAUCUGGUGGAGAUCUCUCUUUCUAUUCUAUGACUAGCUGGUACUAUAUAAAGGGGCAAACAACUCUCUUUCUUGGUGGACAUGAAACAGAGUUGUAGUCAUGCUACCUCUAGCACGGUUGGCAUGCCGUAGUCCGGUAGGACUCCAUCCGUAGUACAAUACUUGUAUGGGAUUCGGAACACAAUAAAAAUAACAUCCUCACCUGUGCCCCGGCGGCCCCCAUGAUGCUCUGCUCAUGGCGUAAUCUAUACCGCGUUUCACGAAAAAAGGGUUUCCCCGCUUUAUAUUAUAUAAAGCAUACCACCAAGCAUCCAACAACAACGAGUACAAGUUCAAACAAAAUGAAGUAGGUCCGGCUGGGGGCACAGCCAAAACAAGCCCCAAACACAAGAAAGAAGCGACUCUAAUCAGACUCCGGCGGUGGUGGCGGAGACGGUGGGGACAUAGCGGCAGCCGAAGAGCGAAGACCUGCGAUGAUGGAGUCGAUGAAGCCACGGUCGCGCCGCUUGCGGGUGAGUUUAUGCGUUGUGGAGACUGUCUUGGCCCUCUACUUAUUAGACCAAAGUUGAGUUUUGGGCAUCUGAAUCUUAUUCGACCAAAAACAUACUAUUACAAGUUAGAUUUUUAUUAAACCCCUCCACCCCCGCCCCCUCACCUCCCCACCACCGUAAUCCAGGGAUAUUUGGAACUGAUACUGUUUUUCUAGUAGUGUGGAAUUUGUCGGCUGUAGAAUUGAAAUUUCCAUUGCUCUAGAAUUAGAACCGAUGGAGGACUAUAUUUGGAUGUCUGUCUUGCAUAUAACAGAUGCAUGCUAGCAUGUACUUAUCUUAUUUGAGUCGGACACUAAUUAAUAUUGCUCUUUGGUGAUAGAUCUCUUCAUGGACCCUUCUUGAUGGCAAGGAACAUUGCACUAUGUCAUGGCCAAACGAAUAGUCCCAGCCACCUCCCUUGUGGCACUUCUCUUUUCUGCACCUUGGGCGAGCAAUUUGACAUCACCAAAGGGGAAGACAGAGCAGAAUGACGAAGGAAACCAAAGGGGUCGAUAUAAGCUCAGCCGACAUUAUCCGUAAUAGAAGCCAUCGUAACGGGUCAGCGCUUUGUUCUCCGAAAGCUAUGUAGAGUUACUAACCAUAAUGAGAGUAAGUGACACAAAUCUUUUUCCUGUCUUGGUCAAGUUAGUUGUUAUUUUUGGAUAUUUGAAAAGUAAUUUGAUUCAUCACUUAAAACUUUCGGGCUAAAUGUGUAAUUAUUAUUUUGUUUUGAAGUAUGCAAUGUGUAUUUUGACAGUUCUCUACUGAAUUCUUAAGCAAAAAGUUGAACUACAUGUAGUAUCCUCUAUCUAAGAAAAUGUCUAGGUAGGAAUUUGGUGACAGGUAAUGCAUGGUUAGAAUCUUGAGUUCUGGACACUAUGAAUUCUAGCUUUGUUCGGUUAAUGAAGUCCACCAUGUGAUUCUUUAAUAGAGGUGGUCUACACUUUACUCAUGAUUUAGGGCCUGUUGGGAGUCCAUCCGGCCUGCAACUCCGCUUAGGAGCAGAGUGGAAUACAGUUAUAAUUUGGGGAGCGGCUAGAACAACACUCCCCGUGCUCUGCUCCGUAGUGAAUGAACCGAGGGUUGCCGAAUAGGGUCUUAGUAGCCCGGGCAGCUCCACGAAGAUGGAUGUGACAUUGAACUACCUGUUAAAAGAGUAGGGCUGUAGUUGUGUAACGUGACAAUGUGUCGCGUGUGUAUCCAUGUAAAUUCUGGCGCGGGUUGUUGGCUAGGAUAUCCUCUAUCCCGUGUAUAGCUUGGAUAGGAGUAGAGGACAAGUUGAUAGCUGACCAACUACCUGCACAUAUCUUGUAAUCUCUCUGCCUAUAUUAACACGAAGGCGUCCCUGCCAAGAGGCAUCAUGCUUAACGCAGCCAACCCUAGUUUUUACAUGGUCAUCAGAGCACUUCUCGAGAUCAUCCAUGGCGACACCUUCAAACUCCUUCCCAUCCUAGUUCAUAACGGUGGUGACCGUGGCUGCCUCUACAUCAAGUCUAGCGGUCGCGGUGGGCAAGGAGGAGGUGGCCACUACAACAACAACGGUGGUGGCGUUAACUACAACAACAAUGUCGCUGCACCUAGGACCUAGCGCCAGAUCUGUGGCAAAUUGGGCCAUCCAACGUGGAAGUGCUGGAAACGCUAUGAUGAAGCCUGCCAAGGAGGAGAAGAGAGAAAGGCAAACCUUGCAACACCUUAGUACGGGGUGGAAACCAGCUGGUACCUUGACAGCGGUGCCACCAAUCACAUCACAGGAGACCUUGAGAAGCUGACCGUCCGCGACCGCUAUACUGGAAACGAGCAAAUCCACACUGCUAGUGGGUCAGGUAUGGCUAUAGAACAUAUUGGUCACUCAGCUAUUUGUACCCCUAAUCAUGAUCUUUACCUAAAUAACAUCCUUCAUGUUCCAGAAGCUAGCAAGAGCUCAAUCUCUGCUAGUCGCCUUGCUCUUGACAAUGAUACGUUUGUUGAAAUUCAUCAUCAUUCUUUUUUUGUUAAGGAACGGGGAACGAGGAAGGUACUCCUUCGAGGCAGGGGUAGAUGUGGUAUCUAUCCCGUCAAGCACAAGGGAUCCAACAUCCAGAACCAGGUGCUCAGUGCCACCAAAAUAUCUUCGGAUAGAUGGCACCGACGUUUAGGUCAUCCAUCUCCUCUCAUUGUUAGGAGAGUUCUUAGUCAAAAUAAACUCCCUUGUGCUAGUUUUUCCAAUAAUGAGUCUGUAUGUGACGCCUGUCAAAAGGGUAAAAGUCACUGUUACCUUAUCCAAAGUCAAUAAGUGAAUCCAAGUUUCCUUUAGAACUUAAUUUUCUCUGAUGUUUGGGGACCUGCUGUUGAAACAGUAGGUAGAAAAAAAUACUCUGUGAGUUUCAUCGAUGAUUUCAGUAAAUUCACUUGGAUCUAUUUGAUCAAACACAAGUCUGAAGUUUUUCAAGAAUUUCAUGACUUUCAGCACCUUGUUGAACGACAAUUUAAUUGCAAAAUUCUUGCUCUUCAGACGGAUUGGGGAGGGGAGUAUUAAAAACUCAACUCCUUCUUCACUAAGAUAGGAAUAUCUCAUCAUGUUUCUUGUCCCCAUGCGCAUCAGCAGAAAGAAAACAUUGACAUAUCGUCGAAGUAGGCCUCUUCUUGCCCAAGCCUCAAUGCCCUUAAAGUUUUGGGAUGAAGCGUUUAUUGCUGCUACUUAUUUGAUCAAUCGCCUCUCUAGCAAAGUUAUCAAGUUUGAAACUCCCCUUGAGCGAUUGUUCCAUGAAAAGCCCAAUUAUUCCUCACUUAGAAUUUUUGGGUGUGCUUGUUGGCCUAACCUCCGACCCUAUAACAAGCACAAACUUCAAUUCCGUUCCAAGCAAUGCACCUUUCUUGGAUAUAGCAAUCUUCACAAAGGUUUUAAAUGCCUUGAUAUUCCAACAUGAUGAGUGUAUAUCUCCAGGGAUGUUGUUUUUGAUGAAAACGUUUCCCAUUCUUCUCACUUCACCCAAAUACCGGUGCACGUCUUUGGGCAGAAAUUCUCCUUUGAAAUCCGGAGUUAUUGAAUCCAACCGAUCAUGGGGACGAACAUUAUGCUGAUGAUCAUUUGUUACAUAGCCCUACUUCUGAUGGAGAUGACAGUGAAAAAAACUGCACUCCAAAUGCUUGUCAUUUUAUGCAGCGGCAGCAAGAAACACCUGGCAGCGGACAUGAGGCAGAUUCGCCUGGUCGCGCUGAUACUGGAGCUGACGCGGGAACGGAUCCCCAGGCGGAUCCUCUGAUGCUGCCCCCGCCAGGGUCCGGGGACAUCCACUCCUCGGGUGACGCCUGCCACGGGUCACCAGGAUGGUCGGGUGGGCCGGACCGUUCUCUGUCUCCGCGCACCGGCUGUCACGAGGCGGCUGGAUGCGAACCCAGUCGCGUGUCCCCCACUACGCGGCGUAAUGACGGCGGGCGCGAUCUCAUGACGGCCCUCAGUCACAUGGCGAUAGCCGACUUGCCAGGGUCAGCCUCUUCUCGGAUGACUACACGAGCACAGAAAGGUAUUUUAAAACCUACGGUUUACAAGGAUGGAACAUUCAUGUACGACAAGAACUUUAAAUUUGCAAAUUUUGCUGCUACUGGUGAGCCUCAAAAUCUAACCGAAGCUCUAGGUAAUGAUAAUUGGAAAAAUGCCAUGAAUGUAGAGUAUGGUGCACUUAUGAAAAACCAAACUUGGCGUUUGGUUCCUCCUAGGUGAGAGAGGAACAUCAUUGAUUGUAAAUGGGUAUACAAAAUUAAAAAAAGACAUGAUGGCACAAUAGAUAGGUAUAAGGCUAGACUAGUAGCUAAGGGCUUUAAACAACGUUAUGGCAUUGAUUAUGAGGACACCUUUAGUCCAGUAGUUAAAGCUGCUACUAUUAGGCUUGUUCUAUCUAUUGCUGUUUUCAGGGGAUGGAGUCUUCGCCAAUUGAAUGUUCAGAAUGCGUUCUUUCAUGGCAUUCUCGAGGAGGAGGUCUAUAUGAGACAACCACCUGGGUUUGAAAAUGGUUCAAAGCCACAUCAUGUGUGCAAGUUGGACAAGGCCUUAUAUGGUCUAAAGCAGGCACCUAGAGCUUGGUAUUCAAGAUUGAGUGCAAAACUUCAGCAACUUGGUUUCAAGCCUUCAAGGGGAGACACUUCUCUCUUCUUCUUCAGGAAAGGGAAAGUGAUUAUAUUUAUGUUAAUUUAUGUUGAUGACAUAAUUGUUGCCAGCUCCUCACAAGAGGCUACCUUAGCAUUGCUAACAAAUCUGAAAAAUGAGUUUGCUCCUAAAGAUCAAGGAGAUUUACAUUACUUCCUAGGCAUUGAAGUUAAAAAAUUGCAUGAUGGUAUUAUGCUAACUCAGGAAAAAUAUGCCAAAGAUGUAAUCAAACGUUUAUGUAUGAAGGACUGCAAACCCUCCAGUACACCAAUGUCUACCACUGACAAGUUGUCAUUAUAUGAAGGAGAAUUACUGAGCCCAGAAGAAGGAACCAAGUACAGAAGCAUAGUUGGUGCUCUUCAGUACUUGACACUAACAAGACCUAAUAUAUCCUUUGCUGUUAAUGAAGUCUGUCAAUUCUUACAUGCUCCUACCUCUGUACAUUGGACAGUUGUAAAGAGGAUAUUGAGGUAUCUCCAAGGGAGUGCCAACAUAGGGCUAAAAUUGUGUAAGUCUCCUUCAACCACAGUGAGUGCAUUUUCUGAUGCAGAUUGGGUUGGAUGCCCUGAUGACAGGAGGUACACGGGAGGAUUUGCAAUCUUUCUUGGGUCAAAUCUUAUAUCCUGGAGUGCAAAGAAACAGGCUACGAUAUCACGCUCUAGCACUGAAGCAGAAUAUAAAUCUCUGGCAAAUGCAACAACUGAGGUAAUGUGGAUUGAAACUUUGCUUGAUGAACUAGGCAUUGGAAGAACAUGUGUGUCAUGCUUAUGAUGUGAUAAUCUUGGAGCGACAUAUCUGUCUGCAAACCCAGUAUUUCAUGCAAGAACGAAACACAUAGAGAUUGAUUAUCAUUUUGUACGAGAAAGAGUUGCACAAAAGUUGCUAGAUAUACAGUUCAUUCCAACAGGAGAUCGGGUUGCUGACGGGUUCACAAAACCGUUACAAGUGAAGCAACACUACAAGAAAUACGGUCAAUUAUGACUCCCCAUUUUGGUCGUUGAUUCGUCAUAUUUAUCGCUUGUUGACCUUUUUUUGACCAAAUUCAGAAGGUUAACAGUUGGCCGUCAAGAACGAACAAACUUGACCUUUUUGGAAUUUUUGUCAUAGCUAGACCAAUGACCAAAAUUUCAGAAAGGUCAUCACCCAUUUGCCUGAGCCACGUAGGAUCUGACGUGGCAUUGUUAGUGACCAAAUGGAAUCAUCAUAAAUUUCAUAGUCCAUUCCACCAAUCUAGCCUACAUGGGCCUGGCCCAAUCAACAUAAAUUUCACAGCCCAAUCCACCAAUCUAGCCGAGAUGGGCCCAACCCAAUACCUAUUUUAUUAAUUGAAUUGGUUUGAUUUAUUUAGGCUGAUGCAUUAUUUUGUCAAAAGCAUGCACAUUUAAGGAUAGGCCCAUUAGAAAACAAAUACAACAUGAUACAAUAUUUCAUAUAUUUCAUUUCAGCAACACAUCACAUGAAAUACAAUACAUCAUCAAUUGACUCCUCUACACAACAAGGUUCAAGGCCCAACAAGUGCACAAGCGCACAUCCACAUAAAUUGGACGAGAAGCACAAAUUUUAGCUGAUCACACAUAACAUCAAUGAGAAGCACGAAUAUCAUGUACCAUCACUAGUACACAUACUUUGUCCCAUCACCCAAGCACCAAUGUUGUGUCAAUCUACUAGAUUUGCCACAUGGUGAUGUUACUGCAUUAGGGUUGUCCCAGCUUCUCCCUGCCAUCUGCUGAUCGAUGUACUGCUCUAGCAUCACCUCCCGCUACCACUGGUGGAAAAAGAUCAGCUCAUCAGUCAUCUGCACGCGAACAAACAAAGAAGAUUAACCUAUUUAGCCUACUGUAAUUUGUUUCUAAACAUGGGCGUCAAAUCAACGCCAACACUGAAUUAAAAUGCACAAAAGAAUGGACCAUAGCCAUAUGUACAGCCUAAGAACUUCAGGUUUGAGCCAUUCUCGAUACUACACUAAAUACAUAACAGCCAAAAUUUCGAUGCAUGGACACUAGAUGAUAGAAAAGGUACUAAGGCACUACUUGCUACUGAAAACCAAAAAAAGGGAUGAAGCACAGCCAGGACAACAAUAAACUGGUACCAAAUCCAGAAAUAACCAUCUGAUGCAAUAUAGCACUAGUUUCACUUUAGCAUAUGUGCCUAAUUAUGUAGGUAUGUAGGAUGACAUCAACAAAAAAUGGAACUGCAGGGGAAUGGAGGAUAGAGAGGGACAAGGAGGUGCUACCUGCAGGAAGGCAUUGGCGGCUCCAAAGAUGGCGUCAAAGUGUUCCACGGGCUGGGCGUAGAGGGGAGGGUCGCUGGUGGAAGAAGUGGCAUUCGUGCACCCUACACAAGAGACAAGAUGAGUUACAUUACAGCUUAUGACAAAGAAGUUACAAGAAUAUGAGAUUGUGUCUGCAAGAUAGAUGUACAGAGUGAUGAAUCAACAUUGUCAAAGCAAUUUUUACUUUCAUCAUCUAUCCAAUGUGAAAAGAUACAACUUGCAAGUGAUCAAGGUUGGUACCUUAGGAAAAAGCUCCACAAGAUGCCCCAUGUAAGAAACAAUCUUGAUCCUAUUUGUGGAAGAGUGGCAGAGACCGAAAACCUCACCAACCCUAGAAGCCCAUGAAGAAUCUGCACCACCACCACCAGCAGCAGCAUCAUCAUCAGCGCCAGGGCCAGGCAAACACAAGAUUGUCAGUACCUCUCAAACUCAGAACUAGACUCAGAAAGAACCAGGACACCAUAGUAAAUUCAGAACAAAAUUGUAAUAAGGACAGAAAUAACAAUGGAGUCAAAUCAUCAUCACAAUGUUUUCACAAGUCCCUUUUAGUGGUACUCUAUUGGUUUGCGGUUCUACAUUCAGACUGUGUUUAGCUUCAACUCCAUUUUGUAUCUGCCUUAACUCAGUUCACAGCAGUAAUCCUACUUGAUCGAUAUGUCCAACCCCCACUUUAAAAAGAAGCUAAAUGUGACUACAUAGUUUGACCAAAAUUUAUGUUUUCAGCAAGUAGAAUUCUGAAGCUAAGAGUCAAAGAGGUGGGAGAGGGGGGGAAGAAGAGAAGAGAAGAUAAGCGGACCUCCAUGACGGCGGCGGUCUGCGCGAGCUGCAACGGGCGCUCGACGGCAGCGUAGACGCCCUCAUGGCCGCCCCCCAGCAGCGCCGUCACCGCGUAGUACAGCACCUGCGCCCUGCCAACCAAAGAGAUCCGAACUGGUCAGACGAAGCAAGAAACCAGAGAUCCAUCCAUCCAUCCAAGGAAAGGAGAGCGGGCAUGGGAAGGGGCGCACCAUCUGUAGAAGAUGACCCAGUUGUAGACGGAGAGGUAGAGCCGCCGACCCGACGCCGGCCACUCUAGACUAGUUGUUCAUCUCAGCAGCUUCCUUCUCGAACCUCUCGAUCACACGCUUGUCAAUACCUCCAAGCUUGUAGAUCAGAUGGCCAGUGGUGGUCGACUUGCCAGAGUCGACAUGGCCAAUGACCACGAUGUUGAUGUGAGUCUUCUCCUUACCCAUGGCUGAAGCUAGGAAACAGAAACAUCAAGGUAAGCAGGUGUUAGAAACAACAGAUCCAAGUGAACAAGUGUCAACAAAGUAAUAUCCUAUCUAUUUGUGAGGUUAACAUAUGAAACAACCAUACAGACAAGUAUGCGUUUAACGAGAUGGAAUUACACUUGAAGUAAUCAGACUGCGGUAAUUACGCUAACAACAAACAAAUCUAACCAAUUCACCAUACAAGUACAUGAUGAAGUUCAUGCUGUCAACUCUCAUAGAGAACUCACAGAUCCUACAGAACCAGAAGUACUACACGAAUUCAUCCAACAACACAUGCAACAAAGCACGGACAUGAUUCAGGAACAUCUUGCAAGACCGAAUCGGUAAUAGAAACAGUUAAAACCUACAGAUCAAGGCCACGGCAUGAGCUUACAGGCAGUCAUAAAAAUUACAGAUGAAAAAAGGCAUGCAUCCGCGUGCCCCAACGCACGAGCCCUAGUGCACGAGCCGUGGAAACCAAACGUGUCACAACUGCGCACGAGCCACAACUCAACACAUGCCCCAGCGCACGAGCUACUCCCUUGGAAACCAAACACGUCAGCGAAGGGAAUGGAAGGGAUGGGGAGAAGAUGGGCGAGAUAGUGGCUACCUUGACGUGGGAGCAGCUGCGCUGUGGCGUCUCUAGCACUCCCAUGGCGUCCAAGCAGAAGCAGACGGAGGAAGGAAGGACCCCGCCUCGAUCUGUACCCUGUGCCGGCGCGCUCUGCCUCCUCCGUUGGGUGUAGUCGUAGCAGGAUCUCGCGGGCGGCCGCCACUGCGGGCCGCAGCACCGGCGGGAUGGUCGGGGGCCACGAACGCGGCGCCAUCAGCAUCAUCCUGAGCGGCUGCUCGUCCGGGACCCAGCCGAGGCCAACGGGUGGCUCAGGCCCAUGUCGUGGGGUUGGGGAAAGCCAUGGCGCCACCGCCCCCUAUUCGAGUUGCUGAUGGAGGGGCCACGCCGGUGCCGGAUCCAGCGGCCACUGGCCUCGACGUUGCCGGAUGUGGCAGACCAAUGGCGAGGGGAGAGGUGGGUGGCUGAGAGGGAGGCGGCGGCGAGGGGAGAGGUGUGGCAGUGAGGGAGAGGUGCGGCUGCAAGUGGGAUCUGGAUCGAGAGCGGAGUGGCGGCGGUAGAAGGGAGUGCGGCGUCGCCAUCGAUUCGAUCUGAAUCGGGGGAGUGGGAGUUAGGGUUUGGGAGGAAGGAGCAGAAGGAGGAGCGGAGGGAGGGAUGGUGUGGGACGGGCGGAUGGAUGGCGAUGUGGAUGGAUGGAUGGAUGGAUGUGUGCCAUGUCAUCGAUCCGUGGCACUCACCUUUCCACCAAUGACAACUUAAUUUAAUUUUCUGAGUGUAAAAAUGGUUUUUUAAGAACAUAUGAAAUCUUUGAUGGAAAAUUGGAUCAUAUUUUGUGAAAAUGAUCCAAUAUUGUACAUGUGUGUAUAUUGGGAUGGGGGUUUUAUCUCUUUGCACAAAAAAUCAUUUUUCAAUUUUCGGAGUGCCAAUAAUUGGGUUUUUUGUGAAGGACCUAGCAAAUAGUUGUUGCAAAAUUGGACCAAACCAUUUUUCUAAAAUAUUAUGACAUAUUUAAUGCACAAUUGACAAAAUGGUUGGGUUUCAAAAGUUUUGACCCACCUCGUGAAAAAUACAAAUUUCUGUCGGUGCAGCUGGAAGGGGGUCAAAUUUGAACUGCAGCUGCCUCAUAGUUUGCUCUUUAUUUUUCCCAAACAUCAUUUGUAGGUAAAAAAGUAUCUAAUUCAUCAGAGAAACACCAAAAGUUUUCCAAGACUCAACCACUAGCUAUGAAUGGUCAUGCCUGCCGUUUUGACCGCAUUUUGAAACGGGCAUGAAAAAUUCAAAAAAAAUCAAAAAAAAUAGAAAACAUUCGCAUUGUGCCAUUAUAUGUGGCCAAGUUACCAGGAAAAACAAUAAACUUGUAAUACGAUAAUUAUUUUAAAAAAGUGUUCUCAGAAACGAGCUAUCAUGCAUGGAGAUCAAUGGUUUUCAAGCCAAAUGAUCAAUCUUGUGGCCACAUUCAUGGCGUAGUUCAUUCAAAUGAUCUCAUAAUGUGCACAAUGAUGCAUAUUGGAAUGGCAAACAAUGUUGCCUAAGGAAGUUUUCAUUUUCUUUGGACGAAAAAACCAUUUUCCAUUUUUCGAGUGCCCAAAAUGAGUUUUUUUUUGUGAAGGACCUACAAUAUAUUUGUUGAAAAAUUGGACCAAAUAAAUUUUCUAAAAUACUAGGACAUAUUUAAUGCACAAUUGACCAAAUGGUUGGGUGUCAAAAGGUUUGAUCCACCUCUCGUCAAAAGGACAAAUUUCUGCCGAUUCAGCUGGAAGGGGAUCAAAUUUGAACUGCAACUGCCUCAUAGUUUGCUAUUUAUUUUUUCCAAAAAUCAUUUGUAGGUACAAAAGUAUCUAUUUCAUCAGAGAAACACCAAAAUUUUUCCAAGACUCAACCACUAGCUAUGAACGGUCAUGCCCGCCGUUUUGACCGCAUUUUGAAACGGGCAUGAAAAAUUCAAAGAAAAAUCAAAAAAUUAGAAAACCUUCGCAUUGUGUCAUUAUAUGUGGCCAAGUUAACAGGAAAAAUAAUAAACUUGUAAUACGGUAAUUAUUUUAAAAAAGUGUUAUCAGAAAUAAGCUAUCAUGUGUGAAGAUUCAUGGCUUUCAACUCAAAUGACCAAUCUUAUGGCCCCAUUCAUGGCAUAGUUUAUUCAAAUGAUCUCAUAUUGUGCGCAAGGGUGCAUAUUAGAAUGGCAAAUAAUGUUGCCUAAGAAAGUUUUCAUUUUCUUUGGAUGAAAAAUUCAUUUUCCAUUUUCUGCGUGCCUAAAAUGAAUUUUUUUCGAGUGCGAAAAACUAUUUUUUAAGAAACUACCAAAUAUUUGUUGCAAAAUGGCACCAGACGAUUUGUCAAAAAUAUUAGACCAUAUUUUAUGUCCAACCAACCAAAUGGUCGCAUGUUAAAUGCUUCCCGUCCACGUCUCAUCAAAAUUGACAUUUUUUGCCAAAUCAACCAGAACUAGGUCAAAUUUUAACUACGGCUGCCUCACGGUUUGUUCUUUAUUUUUCCAAAAUUCAUUUAUAGGGACACAAGUAGCUAUUUCAUCAGAGAUCCACCAAGAGUUUUGCAAGAUUCCAUCUUUAGCUAUGAACGACCAUACCCGUCAUUUGAACGCAUUUUGAAAUUGGCAUGAGAAACUAAAAAACAGAAAAAAGUAAAAUAUUUGUCUUGUGUCAUUAUAUGUGACCUAGUUUUCAUCCUAGAUUUUUUUUAUACGUCGAGAACAUUUUUCUUUCUUUCUGUUGGUUUUCAUUCUACAUUUUUCAUAUACGUCAAGAACAUUUUUAAUACAGUUUAAUAUCUCUUAAAUACUUGUUUACCAUUUUUUUCAAAUGUUUUCUUUAAUAUUUUCUAAAUACAAGAUCGACUUUACUCACACACAUUGUAUAUUUUCUGUAUACAUUUUUCGUAUACACGAGAAACAAUUCUUAUAUACACAAUUAACAAUUUCAAGUGUUUGGUUAGCACUUUUUUAAUACAUACAACAUUUUUAUAUACACAAUUUAAACAUUUUUUAAUGCUUGAUUAAUAUUUUUAAAUACAAUAUUAAUAUUUUAAAUACAUGGCUAACAAUUAUAUAUUUACACAUUUUAACAUUUUCAUAUGCUUGAUUUAUGAUUUGUAUAUACUUGCUUAACAUUUUUCUGAAUGCUUGAUUAAUAUUUUUAAAUACAUGAUCAACUUUUUCCACAUACAUUGUAUAUUUUUUGUGUAUAUGGUAAACAUUUUCUUUAUACACAUGUAAGAUUUUUAAAUGCUUGGUUAACAUUUUUCAACAAAUUUAUGUGAAGUUAGUUUUUCAAUAUAUUUAAUUAUAUUAAUUGGAAGUAUACAUAAACGCAAGUGAAAGAAUAUUGAUCGAACGAAAAAACAAACAAAAAACGAGCCGCGGCCCAGUAGUUGGCCCACUCGGUGCACCGAAAAUCUUAAAGGAAAAAAAAGAUGCCCUCGUCCCAUCGAGGCCCAAGCCCACUCGACACUACAUUAAAAAUGUUUCAGGCGUAGUUGCAUCAUUAUCUGGGUCGUGGCCCCGUGGUUUGUCUGUGUAGGUUAGCUUGACUGGUCACGAGUUCGAGUCUCGUGGCAAACAUUUAUUUUUCUCAUUUUUCCUCCUUUAUUCACCUUUGUGGAAUGAGUCCCACAUGUCAUUAUAUGGAUGUCAACUGGUAGGUGGCUGUUGGACGAGACAACUUAAAAAAAGACAAAUUUUUCCUCCUUUAUUCACCUUUGUGGAAUGAGUCCCACAUGUCAUUAUAUGGAUGUCAACUGGUAGGUGGUUGUUGGACGAGACAACUUAAAAAAAGACAACUAGGCACACACGUAGACAAAUUGACACGUUGUCAUCCAAUCACCCUCGUCUAAUUUCUAUGAUGAUAUAAUUUGGUCAUGAGGGACUUGAAAUAAGGUGGUAUGCAUCAUUCACAUCUUAAUGACCAUUCUAUGCAAUCGGAUGACGACCUUUUUGCCACGAAUUGUCACAAGAUUAUAGGGUUUGGACCCCUCUAGACUCUUGAUGACUAAUUUGUGAAUUUUGGUCAUGGAUCAAUGACCAAUUAAAUUGCCGUCAAUAAUUUUAGUCAUAAUCGAGCAUUUUUCUUGUAGUGCAACUACAGGCCUUCAGGAGCAAUCUGAACCUUGAUACGUUAAGAUUGAGGGAGGAUGUUAAAAGAGUAGGGCCGUAGUUGUGUAACGUGACAAUGUGUCACGUGUGUAUCCAUGUAAAUUGUGGCGCAGGUUGUUGGCUAGGAUAUCCUCUAUCCCGUGUAUAGCUUGGAGUAGAGGACAAGUUGAUAACUGACCAACUACCUGUGCAUAUCUUGUAAUCUCCCUGCCUAUAUUAACACGAAGGCGUCCCUGCCAAGAGGCAUCACGCUUAACGCAGCCAACCCUAGUUUUUACACUACCCUCGUGCCGCCACCACUGGUCGCCCACUUGCACGCCGUAUAGCUUUGAUGAGGCAAUGUGGAUGCCACCUUGUACUGAGAUGGUGCCAGCCCAGAUAAGGCUUGAUGAUGCCCUGGUAAGCACCUUAUUCGGGCGCGCGCAGUUGACCAUGCCCUGUUGUGUGCUUCUGCUUGGUCUUCGGCUCCACAGCCCACGCAUCGCCGCCAGUUUUUGGGAAGCUUGUGGGCUAGAUUUUUCUUAAUUUUAUUAACAUGUUUCUUAUGUUGUUUUUUCUAUUUUUACUUUUUUCGCCGUUAUAAUUCACAAAAAAUGAAUUCAUGAACAAUUUUGAAUUCAAUAUUUUUGGAAUUCAUGAGCAUAUUUUGAAUUGGCAAUCAUUUUAAAUCCUUGAACAUUUUUGAAUUGGUUCAACUUUUCUGUUGAGUACCAAUAAAUAUAUCCUAUUGUUUUUUUCCUUUUGACACUUUAUCAUGCACAAAACGGAAGUUCUAGCAUGUGUUCUGGUAGCUUGCAUUUUAGUAAACCUAUUCCUAUAGCUUGGCCAAUCAAACUUGUACCUUUUCCAUGUAGCAUUGUUCUAUUCUCCUCCCUUAUUUGAUUACUGUAUUUGCGUUGUUGCUUUUAAAACUGAAGAUUUUGAAUAGAUAAGUUUUCUCUAAUUUAACAUAAAUAUGUACGUAUAAAUCACAACUGUUCUAUUUAUUCAUGGUAUGUAUUUGUCUAAUAUUAUAUUUUUUCUAAUAUUUUUUUUCAUGAAGCACAAUGGGAGCCAAUGGUGUUGUGAGAUCCCACUAAUGGCUUUCCAGACCAGGAAAGUUGUUGUGUGCAUUUUGAAUAUGUCAUGAUGCAAGUUUUCUCAUUAAAAUUGGCUAAGGUUUCUACAAACACAAGCUUAGCACAACUAUACGGAUAUAUAGCAGUGCGGGAUUAUAUGGAUUCAUUUCUUAACUAUAUUGUCAACCGUAGAGAGGAAACUUUAUAUUAUUGCAAUAUGUAAGAGCACAUGUUCCUCUCUCAUAAUAAUUUUUAGUAGCAUCAUGAAUGAAUUCAUCAAUAUAACCAUUACAUAAAGCAUUAUUCUCAUGAUGCACAAGCAUAUAAAUUUUACUACUCUCCACAUAAGCAAAAUUCUUCUCAUUCAGAAUAGUGUGAGCAAACUCAACAAAAUAACUAUCAUGUGAGGCAUAAUCCAAUUGAAACUAAAAUCAUGAUGACAAGUUUCAUGGUUAUUAUUAUUCUUUAUAGCAUACAUGUCAUCACAAUAAUCAUCAUAGAUAGCAACUUUGUUCUCAUAAUCAAUUGAAACCUCUUCCGAAAUAGUGGAUUCAUCACUAAAUAAAGUCAUGACCUAUCCGAAACCACUUUCAUCAACAUAAUCAUCAUAAUUAGGAGGCAUGCUAUCAUCAUAAUAAAUUUGCUCAUCAAAACUUGGGGGAAGAAAAAUAUCAUCUUCAUCAAACAUAGCAUCCCCAAGCUUGUGGCUUUGCAUAUCAUUAGCAUCAUGGAUAUUCAAAGAAUUCAUACUAACAACAUUGCAAUCAUGCUCAUCAUUCAAAUAUUUAGUGCCAAACAUUUUGUAAACUUGUUCUUCUAACACUUGAGCACAAUUUUCCUUUCCAUCAUUUUCACGAAAGACAUUAAAAAGAUGAAGAGGCAAUCUCAAUUCUAUUUUUUUUGUAGUUUUCUUUCAUAUACAAACCUAGUGAUAGAACAAGAAACAAACAUAUUUGAUUGCAAGAUCUAAAGAUAUACCUUCAAGAAUUAACCUCCCUGGCAACGGCGCCAGAAAAGAGCUUGAUGUGUACUACGCAAGCUUCUUCUUGUAGACUCGUGUUGGGCCUCCAAGCGCAGAAUUUUGUAGGACAGCAGCAAAUUUCCCUCAAGUGGAUGACCCAAGGUUUAUCAAUCUGUGGGAGGCAUAGGAUGAAGAUGGUCUCUCUCAAACAACCCUGCAACCAAAUAACAAAGAGUCUUUUGUGUCCCCAACACACCCAAUACAAUGGUAAAUUGUAUAGGUGCACUAGUUCGACGAACAGAUGGUGAUACAAGCGUAAUAUGGAUGGUAGAUUUAGGUUUUUGUAAUACGAAAAUAUAAAAACAGCAAGGUAGCAAAUAAGAAAAGUAAGCGAAAACGGUAGUGCAAUGCUAGGAAACAAGGCCUAGGAUUCAUACUUUCACUAGUGCGAGUUCUCUCAACAAUGAUAACAUAACUGGAUCAUAUAACAAUCCCUCACCAUGCAACAAACAGUCACUCCAAAGUUACUAAUAGCGGAGAACAAACGAAGAGAUUAUUGUAGGGUACGAAACCACCUCAAAGUUAUUCUUUCUGAUCGAUCUAUUGGGCUAUUCCUAUAAGUGCCACAAAAAACCCUAGAGUUUGUACUAAAAUAACAACUUAAGACACACAUCAACCAAAACCCUAAUGUCACCUAGAUACUCCAAUGUCACCACAAGUAUCCGCGGGUUUGAUUAUAUGAUAUGCAUCACACAAUCUCAGAUUCAUCUAUUCAGACCAACACAAAGAACUUCAAAGAGUGCCCUAAAGUUUCUACUGGAGAGUGAAGACGAAAACGUGUGCCAACCCCUAUGCAUAAGUUCACAAGGUCACAGAACCCACAAGUUGAUCACCAAAACAUACAUCAAGUUGAUCACGUGAAUAUCCCAUUGUCACCACAGAUAAGCACAUGCAAGACAUACAUCAAGUGUUCUCAAAUCCUUAAAGACUCAAUCCAAUAAGAUAACUUCAAAGGGAAAACUCAAUCCAUUACAAGAAGAUAGAGUGGGGGAAACAUCAUAAGAUCCAACUAUAAUAGCAAAGCUCGCGGUACAUCAAGAUCAUGCCAAAUCAAGGACACGAGAGAGAGAGAGGGAGAGAGAGAGAGAGAGAGAUCAAAUACAUAGCUACUGGUACAUACCCUCAUCCCCGAGGGUGAACUACUCCCUCCUAGUCAUGGAGAGCACCGGGAUGAUGAAGAUGGCCACCGGUGAUGAUUUCCCCCUCCGGCAGGGUGCCGGAACAGGGUCCCGAUUGGUUUUUGGUGGCUACAAAGGCUUGCGUUGGCGGAACUCCCGAUCUAGGUUCUGUUCUAGAGGUUUGGGGAUAUAUAAGAGGUGUUGGCGUCGAGAACAAGUCAGGGGAGUCCACGUGGGGCCCACUGUUGGGGAACGUUGCAGAAAAUUAAAAUUUUUCCUACGGUUUCACCAAGAUCCAUCUAUGAGUUCAUCUAAGCAACGAGUCAAGGGUGUGAGUUUGCAUCUACAUACCACUUGUAGAUCAAGUGCGGAAGCGUUCAAGGGGAUGGUGAUGAUGGAGUCGUACUCGCCGUGAUUCGGAUCACCGAUGACCAAGUGCUGAACGGACAGCACCUCCGCGUUCAAAACAGGUACGGUACGGUCGACGUCUCCUCCGUCUUGAUCCAGCAAGGAGGAAGGAGAGGUUGAGGAAGACAGCUCCAACGGCAGCACGACGGUGUGGUGUUGUUGGUGCAGCAGUACUCCGGCAGGGCUUCGCCAAGCACGUAUGGAGGAGGAGAGGUGUUGGGGAGGGGAGGGGCUGCGCCUUGGCUUGUGGUGUUCAGCCCUCCCCUCACCCCUCUAUUUAUAGGGGAGAUGGCAAGGGGGGCCGUCCCCUCUAGAUGGCAUCUAGAGGGGGGGCGGCGGCCAAGGGGAGGGUGGCUUGCCCCCCAAGCAAGGGGGGCGCCCCCUUUAGGGUUUUCCCCCCCAAACCCUAGGCACAUGGGCCCAAGGUGGGGGGCGCGCCCAGCCCACCAGGGGCUGGCUCCUUCCCCCACGCAGCCCAAGUGGCCCCCCGGGAGGGGUGGCCCCUCCCGGUGGACCUCCGGAACCCUUCCGGUGGCCCCGGUACAAUACCGGUACGCCCCCGAAACUUUCCGGUGUCCGUUUGACAACUUCCCAUGUAUAAAUCUUUACCUCCGGACUAUUCCGGAACUCCUCGUGACGUCCGGGAUCUCAUCCGGGACUCCGAACAACAUUUGGUAAUCACAUACAAGUCUUCCUAAUAACCCUAGCGUCAUCGAACCUUAAGUGUGUAGACCCUACGGGUUCGGGAGACAUGCAGACAUGACCGAGACGCUCUCAUCAAUAACCAACAGCGGCAUCUGGAUACCCAUGUUGGCUCCCACAUGCUCCUCGAUGUUGUCAUCGGAUGAACCACGAUGUCAAGGAUUCAAGCAACCCCGUAUACUAUUCCCUUUGUCAGACGGUAUGUUACUUGCCCGAGACUCGAUCAUCGGUAUCCCAAUACCUCGUUCAGUCUCGUUACCGGCAAGUCACUUUACUCGUACCGUAAUGCAUGAUCCUGUGACCAGACACUUGGUCACUUUGAGCUCAUUAUGAUGAUGCACUACCGAGUGGGCCCAGUGAUACCUCUCCGUCAUACGGGGUGACAAAUCCCUGUCUCGAUCCGUGUCAACCCAACAGACACUUUCGGAGAUACCUGUAGUGCACCUUUAUAGUCACCCAGUUAUGUUGUGACGUUUGGUACACCCAGAGCACUCCUACGGUAUCCGGGAGUUACACGAUCUCAUGGUCUAAGGAAGAGAUACUUGACAUUGGAAAAGCUCUAGCAAAACGAACUACACGAUCUUGUGCUAUGCUUAGGAUUGGGUCUUGUCCAUCACGUCAUUCUCCUAAUGACGUGAUCCCAUUGUCAAUGACAUUUGAUGUCCAUAGUCAGGAAACCAUGACUAUCUGUUGACCAACGAGCUAGUCAACUAGAGGCUUACUAGGGACGUAUUGUAGUCUAUGUAUUCACACAUGUAUUACGAUUUCCGGAUAAUACAAUUAUAGCAUGAAUAAAAGACAAUAUAAUAAUAAUGCUUUUAUUAUUGCCUGUAGGGCAUAUUUCCAACAGUCUCCCACUUGCACUAGAGUCAUUAAUCUAGUUACAUUGUGAUGAAUCGAACACCCAUAGAGUUCUGGUGUUGAUCAUGUUUUGCCCGCGGAAGAGGUUUAGUCAACGGAUCUGCGACAUUCAGAUUCGUAUGCACUUUACAAAUUUCUAUGUCUCCAUCUUGAACAUUUUCACGGAUGGAGUUGAAGCGACGCUUGAUGUGCCUGGUCUUCUUGUGAAACCUGGGCUCCUUGGCAAGUGCAAUAGCUCCAGUGUUGUCACAGAAGAGUUUGAUCGGCCCCGACGCAUUGGGUAUGACUCCUAGAUCGGUGAUGAACUCCUUCACCCAAAUUGCUUCAUGCGCUGCCUCCAAGGCAGCCAUGUACUCCGCUUCACAUGUAGAUCCCGCCACGACGCUCUGCUUGCAGCUGCACCAGCUUACUGCUCCACCAUUCAACAUAUACACGUAUCCGGUUUGUGACUUAGAGUCAUCCAGAUCUGUGUCGAAGCUAGCGUCGACGUAACCCUUUAUGACGAGCUCUUCGUCACCUCCAUAAACGAGAAACAUGUCCUUUGUCCUUUUCAGGCACUUCAGGAUAUUCUUGACCGCUGUCCAGUGUUCCUUGCCGGGAUUACUUUGGUACCUUCCUACCAAACUUACAGCAAGGUUUACAUCAGGUCUGGUACACAGCAUGGCAUACAUAAUAGAUCCUAUGGCUGAGGCGUAGGGGAUGACGCUCAUCUCUUCUUUAUCUUUUGCCGUGGUCGGGCAUUGAGCUGAGCUCAAUCUCACACCUUGCAGUACAGGCAAGAACCCUUUCUUGGACUGAUCCAUUUUGAACUUCUUCAAAAUCUUAUCAAGGUAUGUGCUUUGUGAAAGACCUAUGAGGCGUCUCGAUCUAUCUCUAUAGAUCUUGAUGCCUAAUAUAUAAGCAGCUUCUCCAAGGUCCUUCAUUGAAAAACUUUUAUUCAAGUAGGCCUUAAUGCUGUCCAAGAGUUCUAUAUCAUUUCCCAUCAAAAGUAUGUCAUCUACAUAUAAUAUGAGAAAUGCUACAGAGCUCCCACUCACUUUCUUGUAAAUGUAGGCUUCUCCAUAAGUCUGCAUAAACCCAAACGCUUUGAUCAUCUCAUCAAAGCGAAUGUUCCAACUCCAAGAUGCUUGCACCAGCCCAUAAAUGGAUCGCUGGAGCUUGCAUACUUUGUUAGCAUUCUUAGGAUCGACAAAACCUUCCGGCUGCAUCAUAUACAGCUCUUACUUAAGAUAACCGUUAAGGAACGCUGUUUUGACGUCCAUCUGCCAUAUCUCAUAAUCAUAGUACACUACAGGAAUCAGCUACUUUGCCGUCUGCCAUGGCGGACGGCAAAGGCAUGAAUGGCGGACGGCAAAAUCCUUUGCCGUCAGCCGCGGACGGCAAAAGGCUCCGGCAAAGUAGGCUACGGUAAACAGCUACUUUGCCGUCCGCUACUGAUGGCAAAGUCUUUGCCGUCUGCGGCGGACGGCAAAGAGAGCGGACGGCAAUAAUUGCGCUGUCAGUCCAUUAAGUGGCUAACGGUAGGCCUUUGCCGUCCGCCGCUGACGGCAAAAUUUCUAGUGUCUUUGCCGUCCGCCGCUGAUGUCAUCUACACGUCAGUACAUGACAGGUUCUUUGCCAUUUGCCACUGAUGGCAGGUCGGGGUGUCGGGGUCCGGGUCAGGCUCGGGGUGUCGGGGUCGGGGUCUCGGGGUCGGGGUGUCGUGUCGGGGUGCCGGGUCGGGGUCUUUUUUCCUUUUCUUCUUCUUCCUCUUCUUCCUUUUCUUCCUUUUCUUCCUUUUUUCCUUCUUCUUCUUCUUCUUCUUCUUCUUCUUCUUCUUCUUCUUCUUCUUCUUCUUCUUCUUCUUCUUCUUCUUCUUCUUCUUCUUCCUCCUUUCCUUUUUCCUCUUCUUCUUCUCCUCCUCUCCUGUUUUUUUCUUCUUCUUCAUCUUCUUCUUUUUUCUUCUCCUCCUCCUCUUCUUCUUCCUCCUUUCCUUUUUCCUCUUCUUCUUCUCCCCCUCUCCUGUNNNNNNNNNNNNNNNNNNNNNNNNNNNNNNNNNNNNNNNNNNNNNNNNNNNNNNNNNNNNNNNNNNNNNNGUUUUUUCCUCUUUUUUCCUUUUCUUCUUCUUCCUCUUCUUCCUUUUCUUCCUUUUCUUCCUUUUUUCCUUCUUCUUCUUCUUCUUCUUCUUCUUCCUUUCCUUUUUCCUCUUCUUCUUCUCCUCCUCUCCUCUUUUUUCUUCUUCUUCUUCCUCUUCUUCUUUUUUCUUCUCCUCCUCCUCUUCUUCUUCUUCCUUUCCUUUUUCCUCUUCUUCUUCUCCUCCGCUCCUCUUUUUUUCUUCUUCUUCUUUCCUAAAACUAAACUAAACCUAAACCUAAAUCUAAAACUAAAACUAAAACUAAAACUAAAUCUAAACUAAACAUAAACCUAAAACUAAAAAAACAGAAAAAAAAGGAAAAAAACUAAAUCUAAACCUAAAACUAAACUAAAACUAAACCUAAACCUAAAACUAAAACUAAAACUAAAUCUAAACUAAACAUAAACCUAAAACUAAAAAAAGGAAAAAAAGGAAAAAAAGAGGAGGAGAGCUCACCUGGGGCAGGGCCGGUGGAGGAGGGGGGCCGGGCGGCCUGGGGCGGCGGCGCCGGGCGGCNNNNNNNNNNNNNNNNNNNNNNNNNNNNNNNNNNNNNNNNNNNNNNNNNNNNNNNNNNNNNNNNNNNNNNNNNNNNNNNNNNNNNNNNNNNNNNNNNNNNNNNNNNNNNNNNNNNNNNNNNNNNNNNNNNNNNNNNNGCGCGUAUGGGAGGAGAGAAACAGAGAGAGAGGGCGUGGGGUGGGGGGCGGGCCGUUAGAUAUGUUAAAUCUUAGCCGUCGGCCCCCCUUUGCCGUCCGCUUAUUUGCUCUUUGACGUCUGCUAGCAGACGGCAAAGAGGGGGGCCCGUUAAGUUUUUUUUAACCAGCUCCUCAGUGGGGCCCCCUCCCUCUUUGCCGUCUGCUAGCGGACGGCAAAGAAUCUUUGCCGUCAGCUAGCGGACGGCAAAGAACUGGCUGAUGGCAAAGGCUUUCUUUGCCAUCAGCCAGUUCUUUGCCGUUUGCUUUCGAGUAGCUGAUGGCAAAGGGCUUCUUUGCCGUCUGCUAGGAGACGGCAAAGAUCUGGCAGAUGGCAAAGUAGCUGAUUCCAGUAGUGGUAUGCGGCAAUUGCUAACAUGAUUCGGACGGACCUAAGCUUUGCUACGGGAGAGAAAGUCUCAUUGUAGUCAAUCCCUUGAACUUGUCGAUAACCCUUAGCGAUAAGUCGAGCUUUAUAGAUGGUAACAUUACCAUCUGCGUCCGUCUUCUUCUUAAAGAUCCAUUUAUUUUCUAACGCUCGCCGAUCAUCGGGCAAGUCUGUCAAAGUCCAUACUUUGUUUUCAUACAUGGAUCCUAUCUCGGAUUGCAUGGCUUCGAGCCAUUUGUUGGAAUCCAGGCCCGCCAUCGCUUCUUCAUAGUUCGAAGGUUCACCGUUGUCUAACAACAUGAUUUCCAGGACAGGGUUGCCGUACCACUCUGGUGCGGAACGUGUCCUAGUAGACCUACGAAGUUCAGUAGCAACUUGAUCCGAAGUACCUUGAUCAUCAUCAUUAAUUUCCUCUCCAGUCGGUGUAGGCACCACAGGAACAUUUUCCUGAGCUGCACUACUUUCCGUUUCAAGAGGUAGUACUUCAUCGAGUUCUACUUUCCUCCCACUUACUCCUUUCGAGAGAAACUCUUUUUCCAGAAAGGAUCUGUUCUUGGCAACAAAGAUCUUGCCCUCGGAUCUUAAGUAAAAGGUAUACCCAAUGGUUUCCUUGGGGUAUCCUAUGAAGACGCAUUUUUCCGACUUGGGUUCGAGCUUUUCAGGUUGAAGUUUCUUGACAUAAGCAUCGCAUCCCCAAACUUUUAGAAACGACAGCUUAGGUUUCUUCCCAAACCAUAAUUCAUACGGUGUCGUCUCAACGGAUUUAGAUGGUGCCCUAUUUAAAGUGAAUGUAGUUGUCUCUAGAGCGUAUCCCCAAAAUGAUAGCGGUAAAUCGGUAAGAGACAUCAUAGAUCGCACCAUAUCCAAUAGAGUGCGAUUACGACGUUCGGACACACCGUUACGCUGAGGUGUUCCAGGCGGCGUGAGUUGUGAAACGAUUCCACAUUUUCUUAAGUGUGUACCAAAUUCGUGACUUAAAUAUUCUCCUCCACGAUCUGAUCGUAAGAAUUUUAUCUUUCGGUGACGUUGAUUCUCUACUUCAUUCUGAAAUUCCUCGAACUUUUCAAAGGUCUCAGACUUGUGUUCCAUCAAGUAGACAUACCCAUAUCUACUCAAGUCAUCUGUGAGAGUGAGAACAUAACGAUAUCCUCCGCGAGCCUCAACACUCAUUGGACCGCACACAUCGGUAUGUAUGAUUUCCAACAAGUUGGUUGCUCGCUCCAUUGUUCCGGAGAACGGAGUCUUGGUCAUCUUGCCCAUGAGGCAUGGUUCGCAUGUGUCAAAUGAUUCAUAAUCUAGAGACUCCAAAAGUCCAUCAGCAUGGACCUUCUUCAUGCGCUUGACACCAAUGUGACCAAGGCGGCAGUGCCACAAGUAUGUGGGACUAUCGUUAUCAACUUUACAUCUUUUGGUAUUCACGCUAUGAAUAUAUGUAACAUUAUGUUCGAGAUUCAUUAAGAAUAAACCAUUGACCAUCGGAGCAUGGCCAUAAAACAUAUCUCUCAUAUAAAUAGAACAACCAUUAUUCUUGGAUUUAAAUGAGUAGCCAUCUCGUAUCAAACGAGAUCCAGAUACAAUGUUCAUGCUCAAACUUGGCACCAAAUAACAAUUAUUAAGGUUUAUAACUAUUCCCGUAGGUAAAUAUAGAGGUAGCGUGCCGACGGCGAUCACAUCGACCUUGGAACCAUUCCCGACGCGCAUCGUCACCUCGUCCUUCGCCAGUCUUCGUUUAUUCCGCAGCUCCUGCUGUGAGUUACAAAUAUGAGCAAUGACACCGGUAUCGAAUACCCAGGAGUUACUACGAGUACUGGUAAGGUACACAUCAAUUACAUGUAUAUCAAAUAUACCUUUAGUGUUUCCGGCCUUCUUGUCCGCUAAGUAUUUGGGGCAGUUCCGCUUCCAGUGGCCCUUCCCUUUGCAAUAAAAGCACUCUGUCUCAGGCUUGGGUCCAUUCUUUGACUUCUUCCCGGCAACUUGCUUACCGGGCGCGGCAACCUCCUUGCCGUCCUUCUUGAAGUUCUUCUUGCCCUUGCCCUUCUUGAACUUAGUGGUUUUAUUAACCAUCAACACUUGAUGUUCUUUCUUGAUUUCAACCUCUGCUGACUUCAGCAUUGAGAAUACUUCGGGAAUGGUCUUCACCAUCCCCUGCAUAUUGUAAUUCAUCACAAAGCUCUUGUAGCUUGGUGGGAGCGACUGAAGGAUUCUGUCAAUGACCGCCUCGUCCGGGAGGUUUAUGUCCAGCUGGGACAGGCGGUUGUGCAACCCAGACAUUUUGAGUAUGUGUUCACUGACAGAACUGUUUUCCUCCAUCUUACAACUAUAGAACUUGUCGGAGACUUCAUAUCUCUCGACCCGGGCAUGAGCUUGGAAAACUAGUUUCAGCUCCUCGAACAUCUCAUAUGCUCCGUGUUGCUCAAAACGCUUUUGGAGCCCCGGUUCUAAGCUGUAAAGCAUGCCGCACUGAACGAGGGAGUAAUCAUCAGCACGAGACUGCCAAGCGUUCAUAACGUCUUGGUUCUCUGGGAUGGGUGCAUCACCUAGCGGUGCUUCUAGGACAUAUUGUUUCUUGGCAGCUAUGAGGAUGAUCCUCAGGUUCCGAACCCAGUCCGAAUAGUUGCUGCCAUCAUCUUUCAGCUUGGUUUUCUCUAGGAACGUAUUGAAGUUCAUGGUGACAUGAGUGUUGGCCAUUUGAUCUACAAGACAUUUUGCAAAGAUUUUAGACUAUUGUUCAUGAUAAUAAAGUUCAUCUAAUCAAAUUAUUUUAAUGAACUCCCACUUAGAUUAGACAUCCCUCUAGUCAUAUAAGUGUUACACGAUCCGAGUCGACUAGGCCGUGUCCGAUCAUCAUGUGAGACGGACUAGUCAUCGUCGGUGAACAUUCUCAUGUUGAUCGUAUCUUCCAUACGACUCGUGUUCGACCUUUCGGUCUCCGUGUUCCGAGGCCAUGUCUGUACAUGCUAGGCUUGUCAAGUUAACCCUAAGUGUUUCGCAUGUGUAAAUCUGUCUUACACCCGUUGUAUGUGAACGUAAGAAUCCAUCACACCCGAUCAUCACGUGGUGCUUAGAAGCGACGAACUUUAGCAACGGUGCACAGUUAGGGGAGAACACUUCUUGAAAUUGUUGUAAGGGAUCAUCUUAUUUACUACCGUCGUUCUAAGUAAACAAGAUGCAUAAACAUAAUAAACAUCACAUGCAAUUAUAUAGUAGUGACAUGAUAUGGCCAAUAUCAUAUAGCUCCAUCCAUCUCCAUCUUCGGGGCUCCAUGAUCAUCUUGUCACCGGCAUGACACCAUGAUCUCCAUCAUCAUCAUCUCCAUCAUCGUGUCUUCAUGAAGUUGUCACGCCAACGACUACUUCUACUUCUAUGGCUAACGCGUUUAGCAAUAAAGUAAAGUAAUUUACAUGGCAUUCUUCAAUGACACACAGGUCAUACAAAAAUAAAGACAACUCCUAUGGCUCCUGCCGGUUGUCAUACUCAUCGACAUGCAAGUCGUGAUUCCUAUUACAAGAACAUGAUCUCAUACAUCACAAUAUAUCAUUCAUCAUUCAUCACAACUUCUGGCCAUAUCACAUCACAUGACAAUUGCUGCAAAAACAAGUUAGACGUCCUCUAAUUGUUGUUGCAUCUUUUACGUGGCUGCAAUUGGGUUCUAGCAAGAACGUUUUCUUACCUACGAAUAACCACAACGUGAUUUUGUCAACUUCUAUUUACCCUUCAUAAGGACCCUUUUCAUCAAAUCCGCUCCAACUAAAGUAGGAGAGACAGACACCCGCCAGCCACCUUAUGCAACUAGUGCAUGUUAGUCGGUGGAACCGGUCUCACGUAAGCGUACGUGUAAGGUUGGUCCACAACAAAAUUAAAAUUUGACAAGAUCCAUCCGCCAGACACCCGCCAGCCGCUUCAUCCCACAAUACCGCUGAAGUAAGAUAAGACUAGUAGCGGCAAGCAAGUUGACAAGAUCCACGCCCACAACAAAAUUGUGUUCUACUCGUGCAAUAGAGAACUACGCAUAGACCUAGCUCAUGAUGCCACUGUUGGGGAACGUUGCAGAAAAUUAAAAUUUUUCCUACGGUUUCACGAAGAUCCAUCUAUGAGUUCAUAUAAGCAAUGAGUCAAGGGUGUGAGUUUGCAUCUACAUACCACUUGUAGAUCGAGUGCGGAAGCGUUCAAGGGGAUGGUGAUGAUGGAGUCGUACUCGCCGUGAUUCGGAUCACCGAUGACCAAGUGCUGAACGGACAGCACCUCCGCGUUCAACACACGUACGGUACGGUCGACGUCUCCUCCGUCUUGAUCCAGCAAGGAGGAAGGAGAGGUUGAGGAAGACAGCUCCAACGGCAGCACGACGGUGUGGUGUUGUUGGUGCAGCAGUACUCCGACAGGGCUUCGCCAAGCACGUACGGAGGAGGAGAGGUGUUGGGGAGGGGAGGGGCUGCGCCUUGGCUUGUGGUGUUCAGCCCUCCCCUUACCCCUCUAUUUAUAGGGGAGAGGGCAAGGGGGGUUGGCCCCUCUAGAUGGCAUCUAGAGGGGGGGCGGCGGCCAAGGGGAGGGUAGCUUGCCCCCCAAGCAAGGGGGGCGCCCCCUUUAGNNNNNNNNNNNNNNNNNNNNNNNNNNNNNNNNNNNNNNNNNNNNNNNNNNNNNNNNNNNNNNNNNNNNNNNNNNNNNNNNNNNNNNNNNNNNNNNNNNNNNNNNNNNNNNNNNNNNNNNNNNNNNNNNNNNNNNNNNNNNNNNNNNNNNNNNNNNNNNNNNNNNNNNNNNNNNNNNNNNNNNNNNNNNNNNNNNNNNNNNNNNNNNNNNNNNNNNNNNNNCCCCCAAACCCUAGGCACAUGGGCCCAAGGUGGGGGGCGCGCCCAGCCCACCAGGGGCUGGCUCCUUCCCCCACGCAGCCCAAGUGGCCCCCCGGGAGGGGUGGCCCCCCCCGGUGGACCUCCGGAACCCUUCCGGUGGCCCCGGUACAAUACCGGUACGCCCCCGAAACUUUCCGGUGUCCGUUUGACAACUUCCCAUGUAUAAAUCUUUACCUCCGGACUAUUCUGGAACUCCCCGUGACGUCCGGGAUCUCAUCCGGGACUCCGAACAACAUUCGGUAAUCAGAUAUAAGUCUUCCUAAUAACCCUAGCGUCACCGAACCUUAAGUGUGUAGACCCUACGGGUUCGGGAGACAUGCAGACAUGACCGAGACGCUCUCAGGUCAAUAACCAACAGCGGGAUCUGGAUACCCAUGUUGGCUCCCACAUGCUCCUCGAUGUUGUCAUCGGAUGAACCACGAUGUCAAGGAUUCAAGCAACCCCGUAUACUAUUCCCUUUGUCAGACGGUAUGUUACUUGCCCGAGACUCGAUCGUCGGUAUCCCAAUACCUGAUUCAGUCUCGUUACCGGCAAGUCACUUUACUCAUACCGUAAUGCAUGAUCCCGUGACCAGACACUUGGUCACUUUGAGCUCAUUAUGAUGAUGCACUACCGAGUGGGCCCAGUGAUACCUCUCCAUCAUACAGAGUGACAAAUCCCUGUCUCGAUCCGUGUCAACCCAACAGACACUUUCGGAGAUACCUGUAGUGCACCUUUAUAGUCACCCAGUUACGUUGUGACGUUUGGUACACCCAAAGCACUCCUACGGUAUCCGGGAGUUACACGAUCUCAUGGUCUAAGGAAGAGAUACUUGACAUUGGAAAAGCUCUAGCAAAACGAACUACACGAUCUUGUGCUAUUCUUAGGAUUGGGUCUUGUCCAUCACGUCAUUCUCCUAAUGACGUGAUCCCGUUGUCAAUGACAUCUGAUGUCCAUAGUCAGGAAACCAUGACUAUCUGUUGACCAACGAGCUAGUCAACUAGAGGCUUACUAGGUACGUAUUGUAGUCUAUGUAUUCACAAAUGUAUUACGAUUUCCGGAUAAUACAAUUAUAGCAUGAAUAAAAGACAAUUAUCUUGAACAAGAAAAUAUAAUAAUAAUGCUUUUAUUAUUGCCUCUAGGGCAUAUUUCCAACACCCACAAGGUCGGGGGCGCGCCCUAGGGGGGAGCCCCCACCCUUGUGGUGGCCUCGGGACUCCUCUGGUGCAUAUCUGGUACUCCGUGGGCUUCUUUUGGUCCAAAAACAAUUGUCGGAAAGUUUUAGGUCAAUUGGACUCCGUUUGAUAUUCCUUUCCUGCGAAACUCAAAAACAAGGAAAAACAUAAACUGGCACUGGGCUCUGGGUUAAUAGGUUAGUCCCAAAAAUCAUAUAAAUAGCAUAUAAAUGCAUGUAAAACAUCCAACAUAGAUAAUAUAAUAGCAUGGAAAAAUCAAAACUUAUAGAUACGUUGGAGACAUAUCAUGGCCCCGUAGGUUCGGUAAACCAUAGACAUGAACGAAACCCCUUUUGUUCAAUGACCGAUAGCAGAACCGUGGACAUCCAUAUUGGUCCCUAUGAUUACAUGAAUGAUAUUCGAGUGUACCUUUGGUUAUCAUGUGAUGUUCCCUUUGCUCCGCGAUACUUUACAAAACCCGGUGUGCAUCGGUAUCCUCCUGAGACAUCACCAUGCUCACUAUACUAUUGCUCCAGUUACCGGUUUUGUUCUUAUUUCUCGUUGACGUGUUUCGGCAUCCCCGUGACAUAGUCACCUGUGUCUGGCUAGAUGAUGGUGGAUUCUGUCACGCCGAGAGGGCCCUAAGAAUAUCUAUCCAUCGUCGGAGGAGCAAAUCCCACUCUCAAGCUGUCCGGUCACUUGUCAAACUUUCCGGUGUGCCUGAAAGUUUUUGUUAUGAUAACCUUGUUAUAGAUGACGUUUGCGUAACCCGAAAGCCCACCGUCUGGUAGGAAGUGACCCGAGACACUCUCAUGGUCUGAGGAAGUAAAACACAUGCUAGCACUUUGUGUUAUAACAGAUGAUUUCAGACCAUAUAAUCACAUAGUAUAAUAGACAAGUAUUGGGACGAUUCAAUAUGAUCAUUCUUCUAGCAUCAUAUAUAUCCUCAAUGUUAUUUUAGGAUUAUCUUUACACUUAACGAUGUCCUAAGAUCCGGAAACGUGAUCACCAACAACACUUGAGCCAGUCUUAGAGGCAAGACCGGGAACCUAUUGUUUAUCGUUUAUCAUUUCACACGUGAUUAUGAGUUUUCCACUAAAUCGCAUAUUCCAGGAUCAUACCAGUUAUACCAUGAAAUAUAAACUCUUAAUUAUGAAUAAUGGAAGUAUAAUAAUACAAUAUUAUUGCCUCUAGGGCACAUUUCCAACAAUUAUUUCUAUUAUGUUAUUGCUAACACGUUGCAGGUACGAGAAGCUUGAAAACAGAGUGAAGAAAGUAUGCUUAUAUCUGAAAAAGCUACAUAACCAGCUCCAAAACGAGGACAAAUUUAGGCACCAUUGUUCUAUUGCAUCUCAGCCGCAAUGCCAACCAAACACGCGAAGACAUCACUUGUGGAGGAGCCAUCACCAUCUUGGCCAACACACUUGGUCUCGACUUCGACGUGCUAUAUCCAUUAGGCGGUAACCGUUUUGUUUCUCUUUGCUAGUAUGACUGUCACUAUGAAUGGUAGGAUCCUUAUUCGUAUCCCUAGAAUUGGGCAUUUGCUACCCACUCCCAUACCUAAAAAUUUCUUGAUCGAGGACGAUAUUUUACAUUAUGACGCACAUGAUGAAGAGGAAAGGAGGAUUCUGAUGCAACCAUGCUAAAGGAUUUGGAUGAAGAAAAACUCACACCUGAACAAGAGGUGUACCCGAAGAUGAUGAUGAAUGAGUUAGGAUGUAUGCUACAUAUAUUGAUGCCUAUGAGGUCGGAGAGUCCUACAAACAACAUGAGCAGUUUUGGGGUGGAGUAUUACCUAGAGAUGUAUAUGGAUAAUAGUCUACAGAUAUAAGGGUGUAAUGCCUAUAUGCAAAUUAUGCCACAUAUAGUCAUACACGUAAAAAAUCCACUUCAAUCGAUACGCAACAGUAAUUUGUUCACCACACCUAUUCUAUGCUUUAUGGAGAGAUGCCACUAGUGAAGUUAUGGAUCCUAGUCCAUUCAUAUUCAUUACUUUCAACCUCGAUCAAUCAUUAUUAUUUACAAUAUGAAAUGUUUAUUUAAUUACUUGCAAUUAUCAAUUACAUCUCCUUGAUGUAAUUGGCAAGGUUUAUGAGACCGACAACCUCACUGGUUUCAUUGGGGACCAAGACAACUUUCACAAUUGCGUGUAAGUGACGAUAAUCGGAUAUAGUCCACACUCUUACAGGUUUGAGAAAUCUGUAGGUCAUCCAAUUGAGAGAAAAAUGUUGCUUUCUGCAAACCUCUACACUCGGGGGAGGGGGGGGGGCACCAACUUCCUAACAGAGAUGAAGCAGUCCUACUACAUGAUUUGGAUGUAUAAAAGAAGUAUGCACCAUGUCUCAAGGUGAGAGUAGUGAAUGCUCAAUACCGAAGGGGCUACCAUAUGAAAGAUGAAAUUGACGUGCAUAAAAUUUUGAACAAACUCAAUGUACUACACAAGUGUUGUGUGACAUUAACAUAGAACCAUACAACCAAGUACUCAGAGGGGGUACUUUGGUAUGAGUUAACCAUUUUGCAUCUGGACUUGAACCAAAGUCAUCAGUUUACUUACAACACCACAUCAACACUUUGAUUUACUCAUGUUUCUACCUAAGUUAGUAGCUUUUAGUUUAUUAGGUGAAAGAAUGGCCUAGGUUCAGUCAAUUUUAGCACACUAACCACUUCCAGUUAGGUUCAUCUAUCACAAUGCCAAUCUAUUGUUAUCAAAUUAUCUCGAAACAAUUGCAAAAAAUCCAGUUCUCAUUUAAACUUCUAGAGUUCAUGAUUUUUUUAUCAUGCCACUUAUACAUACUUAUUAUCAUUUAAGUACAGACAUUUUAGUGCCAUGCCAUAUGCAAAUCAAUUCACAAACCAAUUGCAAUUCCAACUCUCCAAAAUAUAUAAGUGAGCUACGAAGAGUUUAAAGUGUUUUUUACUUUGACCAUGCUCUAAAAUAUACAAGUGAAGUUCUAGAGCAAUUCUAAAAACAUGUAGCCAUGCAUACACUCCAUUUUUUGUUUUUAAUGAUGUUAUCCAUUGUCAGCAUGAUUUAUGGUGGCACAAUGAUGGUAGGUUCCCUUGUGCUUUUGGUAACAUUUUUGGGAUAGAGAUAGUGUCACAGAUUUAGCCUUCAUGCGGUAUGGGUUAUCCAGCUCGGCCCAGUACAACCAACGAGGGCUUGUGUUUUGUGGAGCAGACAACAUGAUUAGGAAGACGUAUAAGACGAGGGUAUCUGCAACAAGAAGAUGAAGGCUCCAUUGAAAGAGAGAACAAAAGAAAAGCUGAUCGCAAACCCUAGCCUCGUCCUCAAUUGGUCGUGGCUAUGGCAUGUCCACUAAGAUGACGGAGGUUACUAUUGAGAAUGAUAAAACAACAUAUAUUCAUAGUGACAAUGUUCAUUUUUAAUAUAUACAAUUCCACAGUUAAAUUGUCACUGUCCGAGCAAAGGAAGCACUACACCCGAGUUGCACUCUGUAGGGUCAUCGAGGAGCGGCAAGCUACUCAUGAGAACGUGGGGGUCAAGGACACGUAGAGGAACUAGUGGCGAGCAAUGGGAAAAGGCAGAGGCGGGAUAGGUGAAGGCAAAUGCAAAUGGUUCUCCCGACAAGCGCUUAUGUUGGGGUGGCGGUGGUGCGAUCAUGCGUGAUCACCAUGGCAAGCAGAUAGGAGAUGUAACACUUUUUUUCAGGAAUGUCAUCAUGGCUUGUUUUAUCGAUUUGGUAAAAAGGUUACAUCGUUUGCAAGAACAUUAUCCAGGAAGUCCGUGGGUUCAUCAGCCCAAUUACAAGAACUAUUGCUAUCAUCAGCAAAUUUCGCUAAACUAUGAGCAACCUCAUUUGCUUCCUGGUUACAGUGCGAAAUUGAACCGCACUAGUUGCAAUAAUAAUCUCUCAUUUCAUUUUUUUUAUUUAACAUUUUUAGCAAAACAUUUCAUUUUCUUGGGUCAGAGUCUUUUGACGCUCGCGAGUUCAGCUGGUCCACGGAUUUUCGGCUCCACGUGGCGUGUGUGAUUCAGCCCGGCCCGGCAUGGCCCGGCCCGGCCCACGAGGGGGCCCGUUUUGUGGAGGAGACAGCAUGACUAGAGGAUGAGAGCCGCAAGGGAAAGAGGGAAGCCUCCAUCUCCAGCGAGAAGAGAAGAGAAGAUGAGCCCCAAACCCUAGCCUCGAUCCUCGCCCACCCCGGUUCACCAUGGCGCUACGCAGCCUGGCCGCGAGGAUGCGGGUCGCCGCCGCCGCCCGGCUCCCGUCGGCCCCUCGCGUUUCGCCGGCGUCCGGCAGUCGGGCCCUCCCUUUCUCCUCCUCCUCCAGUAAGGUAUGCCCCUUCUCCCCCUGCACACCGCGCUCGCUCAGGAAAACCACUGGCUGGAGUAGGCAGUGCUAGAGCUUCCCUCUGCGUGUGAUGAUCAUGUAUGCCUGCAAAUCGACGAAAUAGACCAAUAAUUUCUUUGAUUUCCUCGGCUCCGGAUCUAGACCCUUCGCCGUGACCAACUCUUGCUGCUGCGUUGCUACUUGUUUCGUUGAGCAAUUUAUAAACUGUAUUGGCGUUACAUAGUUUCCAAAGGCACGCCCUUGGUGCAAAGGCCGCAUACCUGCAUUGCUAGCUAAUGAAUGCUAGCUAAUGAAUUUUGAAUGCAAAUUAAUCCUUUUUAAGGGGUGAAUCUAUGAUUUUGAAUAUGAUUUUGCACUACCAAACCAUUCAACUAGGUUUAUCAUCAAUUGCAUAUUUGUUCAUAAUAUAUUUAUUGGGUAAUGUGUGUAUUGAUUUUUUUGUAUAAACUUGGUCAACUUGAGACAAGAUUAAUAGUACGUAUAAACCCGGCUGGAGGGAUUAUGUCUGUGCUUUAGCUCCCCCGUCCAUGAGCCUAUUUGCAAGAAGAAAGGGAUGCUGUCAACUGUAGGAGGCUUGUCAGUAAUCUCCCAUUGCAGUUGAUAUUUGCUACAUGCUUCUUACCUUCUAUGCACUUGUUCAUCUGAAUUGGUGGUCUUGCCCUUUACAAACGCAUGGUUUUCAUGGUCGCCAUGCUUUCACUGUUACAAAUUAUGCAUAGAUGCACAUGCAAGUUGUUUAGUGACUAUCCUUGUUAGCAGUAUUUUUAAAGAGAUGUGGCUGUUAUAGAUAAUUCUAACUUGACAACAAUUUGUAUUGUCAUGAAAAUUUCCCCCUUUUCCCUCUGCACGAGAUUGACGGGAUUUUACAACACAUUUUAACAUGAAAACCAUUUGUAUUGUCAUGAAAACGUUGAUCGUUUUUACCUUGCAUGAGGCUGGUGCUCAGAAUUUGUCAACUACCAGCAUGACUUUCUCAUAUAUUUUAGUUAUUCAUGGAUUUGCACAAGAGACACAUAGGUAUUUGUUCUGACUUAAAAGCGUUAAUCAGAGGAUUGACCACUUGAUUUUGGGAUGAUGGCAAAUUAUACGUGUAAGUUUUGUAAGCUCUGAAAUUAGGGUACCAGCAGUCAUUAAUGCUUGGCAAAUAUGUGUAUUUAUCAUGUGUAAUGAUUUCAAGAGCUUAUGGUGCUGCAAAUACUCUUGCCUAAUGAUAUUUUUGUUCCCCUGUAUCCUUACAGGACAUGUAAGGAUAACAAGGCUAACUCUUGCACCGGAUAUUGCCUUCUCAGCUUUCUCUUACUUUGUUGUUAAAAUUGUAGAGCGCUAGAGACUGGUACCUGCUUCAGCGAGAACGUUAUGACAGUGUGACAAGAGAGUUAAAAAACUACAGGUAUAAGCUUCAACAACUUUCAUUUUGAUAUUACUGCUCAAAAGGUUGAAUAUGAUAUGUAAUGCCUCAAUUCCUUGUUCUUUUUGGCAGCCGUGAGGUUGUGUGGACUGAAAGGCUAGCUAAGCUGCUUAAUGUGGUAUACGUGCUGGGUAUGCCUUUUAUCGUUGGCCCUUUGGUCUUAAAAGGGAUUGCCAUUCGGAGAAUGUGAGGGGGUAGCAGCCAUACACUGCUUCGUUUAUUACUGCUGAUGCAUGUGAACUCGUAGUUCAGCACUCUCUUUGUGUUAACUGCCUGACUUGCAAGAGCAGAUAACCAUAUGGGAAUAAUGGCUUGUUGCGUCUGUGUCUUGACCCGCAUUGCGUCGCGGAUAACCUCGUGAUUAUGGCUUUAUGUAGAUUUGUGCAAGCGUAGUUGUUUGCUGUAAUGGUUUCUUGCACUUGUUUGCCGUUAACUUAUGUCUGUCCCUAUGGAGCUACUGUUUCUGAGUGGUGUUGGGUUUCUCCAGGUGCGCUUUGUUGGCCCUGAUUUAUGUACACUGGACUGCUAUGUGCAGCCCCAACAUUGCUCUGUGCAGAGCUAAGCUAUUAGCGAAAUCAUAUGGCUUAAGAUUAUAAGCAUUCCAACAUAAGCAGGAACUGCCUGGCCUGAAAAUUUGAAACUCACCUGUUACUCAAGUUUGAGAAUGUGCACAUCAAGGUUCCAAUUUUCUUAUAUCAAAG
rnacentral:lncRNA from 1 species